rnacentral:lncRNA from 1 species
UUUUUUUUUUUUUUUUUUUGUAUUUUCUAUAGAUUUUUCCACGAAAAUAUCAAUUUAUCUUUUAUAUUAAACUUAAAAAUAUGGAUGAAAAUAUGAAAAUGUCAAUAGAAAUUUAAUAUUAUGGGCUUAGCUUAGGUUUCAAUUUCUCGAGUAAAAAAAUCAUGUUUUUCUCAUUAAUAUAAAAUCUAUACCUUUUUAACCAUUUUUUUUUUUAAUUUUCACCAACCUUUUAUAGUGGUUAAGCAAAUACUUUUAAUUUCGUUCUCAAUUUUUUAACCUAAAGCAACGAGUCUCACUCUUUGUUCAUUGUUCAUUAGAAAAUCAGAAACGUACCUACAUAAGUAAAAGAAUCACGGUUAAAGAUUAAGGACAACACAUUACUAAGACCACCCAGGUUAAAAUAACAACUUUUCAAGGAAUUACUACUACCCUCCCUUAAGAAUUGGAUGUUCAAAAUGUUCAGAUCAAUGACAUAUAAUGCAUACAAUAAAUGAGAGAGAAAGAAGAGCUGAUGUACUAAAACAAAUAGAAUAAAUUAUCUGCUUCUUCAGGAACAUCAAUAUGCACUCUCACUAACAACAGGAUGUACAAUUGACUAUAUGUGUAAAAAGCUGAACUGAACAAACCCAGGUUUGUAUAAAUCAAAUCCCAUAAGUUAAAAAGAAGAAAAUAGAAGGGUAACCGUAAUCUAACUCCUUAAUCCUUCCUUACCAGUAAUAGCCACUUUUCAUCUAUGACACGAACCGAUGCAGAAGCUAUGUACAUGAUUUAAUGCUUGAGAUCGAACUCGGUGAAGAAUUCAUGUUAAGAUCAAACCAACAUCAAUCUUUGACAGUCACCUUCUUGUUUUUGUUUCGGUUGCUUGUAUUUGCUGUGGUGGUGGCUGUGAUCCCCCACCAAGUGCAGCGGCUGCAGACUCGACGUGCAUGAGAAGAUAUUCAUAGAUCUUCUUCCUCAGCCUGUCGAUUGUUUCAGUUGAAAUGUGAGUGGUGUCUCCUUCGUCCUUGUUAGAAGCUAUGCCAUCUAACCAGUCGUUUACACUCUUCAGCUGUGUCAAUAUUCCUGCUAAUUGUCCAUUAUCUGACAAGGCUGCGGUGUCGACCCCGGCAUCCAAAAACCUUUCCAUGAAUGUCAAGAACCAGUCCUGGGAUUGCAGCCGUAACAUCUCGGCCAAGUCGACUGCUUCGUUGAGGCCGUUUCCUCUGAUCCAUUCUGGUGGAGGUUGGGGCUGCACCUUCUGACCGAGUGUCGCUCCGUCCUUCGUUCGACUUGGAUUUCCUGAUCCAAUAGGUUUAGAGCUUAUCAUUUGGCGGAUUUUCCCUUGGGAUUUUGACGAGCUGUUCUUAGAUGAGUUUUCUAAAACCACAAUAGGCUGAUUUGCAGAAGCACUCUUUUGGUUUUGAGAUAGAGAUAAGGGCAGGUUUAGAGCCGAGGGUGGAUCACGGCUGUAUACUGCAAAAGAUGAAAGGUUAGUGGCUAAAGCCGCCUGGACCCAAGCAGAUGCCUGUUUUCUCGCCAUUGAUGUGACCUUCAAUGUUUCUUCUGAAGCGGUUUCUUCGCUCUCAUUGGUUGAACCAGAGAGACAAGUUUUCGAAAGAGAUUCAGCUACCAUGUGAGCAUUGGUAAGGCUCGCAUGAAGGGUCAAAAACUGUUCUACUGCAGGCUGUGGAUUGUCUUCUUUGGCAGCAGUAUUUAACUCGGAAAAUAUACUGCAAAAGAAAGAACGUAAGCCAACAGAAGAGUGUUCCAACAAAAUAAAAUAAAAUAAAACUGAACACAGCUGAAAUCAUGGAGAAAACUUAAGAUAAAAUCAGUGGGAAAGUAUCUAAUUUUCAAGCACCUGACUAAUUGCUUACAAUCAGACCCAUCCAUCUACCGGAACUUUUCUUCUUAUUGAAAAAAUACAAGGAGAUGGACACAUACAACAUGUCCGGCCAAGAAACCGAGCAUGCAUUGAAAAGAAGUUCUUAAGUUAAACCAUAUGACAAUGCUCAGCAUCUGGAUGUGACUUUUUUACCAAUACUUAUCUACUUCCUUCCCCCCCCCAAAAAAAAAAUAAUUAGGAAUUGUUAGUGCUAUAACUUGGGACAUGCUCUUUGGGUCAGAACUUGAAAGUUAUUGACGCAUUGCUCUAACUAUGAAAUUUAAUCAGAGACCAAAGACCAAACAACUUCAGAUCAACAUAACCAUGUAGUUGGUAAAAAUGAUAUUUAGGAGCCUUUGGCCCCAGCCAGCAUUCACCACCCCACUAUUGUUGCCAUCGGCAUUGCUAACUGACAGUGGUUGCUUCCACCUUCUGACAACUAAUUAUAAAGAAAUAUCUUUCCAUAGUUUUCCACAUCCAUUUCUUGGGUAAAGAAAGUAAAAAUUACACACAAUUUCCAUCCAUUUCUAGUGGAAGUAUUUCCAAUAUUAAAAAAAUUGACAUUUAGAUAUCAGUAUACAAUCAGAAUAGAAAAAAUUGAAAAGCGUAAGACAAAAUAAAAUUUUAAAGCUUUUGUAACCACUAACCAUAUAAGACUCCUUUGAAUUUAUUCAUUAGUAUUACUAACCAGAUAGAACUCCUUUGAAUUUAAUCAGUCAUUCAUUAUUGUUAUAAUUAUUUUUAAGAAACCGACUUUCAUGGAGAGAAAUAAAAGAAUAUAUGAGGACAUACAAAAAACAAGUCCAGAAAAGGGGUCCACAUACUAAUUACAGAAACGGACUCCAAACCAAGAAGAUCAAAGCAAGUUCAUAAUUAAUAAAAUGUUGGGUAAUAGACACCCAUAAUGAUGCAUCCUAUGGGACUGAAAGUAAUUUUUAAGACAGGAAACCAAGUCAAAGUUAAUUGCAAUUCACGCUUAAUAUGUCCAAACAAGAAAUAAGUCCAACUUCAGUCACCAGAAAGAUAUUGCGGUUAAUUUCAUGUAUUUUCGUGCCUCAUUCUAUAAAAAACAAAUAUUUACUCUUAAAAAUGAAGUAAUGGGGAGAAGAACCAUACAGACUCAUUAGAGCAAGAGCUCCAACUGAAGGUGAAAAAAAAACUAUAUUACCCAAAAGCUCUCUAUAAACGCUGGUAAGUUCUUCAAAUCCUUUCUAACCAAACGUCCUAUAAAUACCACUGCAGCUUUCAGCAAAAGAACUUUAGCUUGCAUUUCUACAAUAGAACUACAGAUCAGAAAGAGAUACAAGUCUUGCACUGGGUAAGCUUUCAUACCUUAAACAUCGUAGACAGCUCUCUGCCACUGAAGCUUCUUGAAUGGCCUCUAUUGCUGCUGCUUGUGCAGCAUCUCUGUGUCUCAUUACUUCCUAUAGCGGCAGAUACAGAAGAACAAUGGGACGGAAUAAGACAAACAGAAGACAUAAAGUAACACUUGCCAAUACUUUGAAAUGCAAAAGGAGAUCCUCCCCCUCCUCCUUCUUCUACUAUUUUUCAUUUUUUUCUUGUAUAAGAAACUAAGUUUUCAUUAAGAGAAAUGAGAGGAUUUUUCUAGAUUCUGAAAUAAUGGUUGCGCUAUAUUGCAGAAAUGUUUCUAGUUGCAAUUUGUACUAAGUUGCUUAUACAUUGCCAUACUCCUCUACUAGGGGUGUCAUUGGAUAUAGAGGAGCUUUAAAUUUCAGACAUGGCUUUUGUGCUUAAUUUAUUGACACUUUCAAUUUUAAGAAAGAAAGGGAAAAUAUGCUGCAGCAUCAACAAUGUGCAAUAGAGUCAAAAUUUUGAGAAAAUAAGUGAUUAAUACAAAAAGAGAAUAAAUAAAGCUCAUAUAAACUCCCAAAACUAUCUAUUUGGCAGAAGAGUAACUACCAGUUAAACGAGAUAUAUUUGGUUAUCAAAUAUCAGAUCAAAGGUUCCAUACCUUUCCAAGCUUGGCGAGAGAUGAUGGAAGCGAAGCCCAUGAAACACUCCCUUCAUUCAAUCUUUUAUUACUAAGAGGAAUCUUCACCAAGUUUCCGGGGAAUCCAGCUGCAUCACUUGAGGAGGAUUUCCUUCCACUAGAAGAUUUUUGUCUGCUUGACCUUUCCUGAUUAUCUAAUUCUCCAUUAAUGGCAUUCUUCUUUGAAGACGCCUGCACGCUAUGAUCAUCUUUGGAUGUCUUUCCAGGUACCUGAAUCCUACUCUCCUCUCUUGAUGGCAACUUGUCACUUGAUGUACUUCUUCUAGGAGUCUGAAAAAUAUAAAUAAGUUAUUGACAUACAUAAGAGAAAGGAGAAUAGGUUGAGAGGUAAACUCUGGUGAACAAAUUAACAGUAGGACCGGUCCAACAAAGUAAUAUGUUCAUUUGCUCUUUAUAGAAGAAAUACAAUACUAUACAAAAAAGAACAAUAAGGCAGUAGAUUUAGUAGGAUCUUUUAAGCUCAUCCACGUUAAGGAUUUGAAUUACACGCAUCAUUUUGCUAUUCAAAUACCUCAAAGGGGAUUCAUGGUUACAACUUACAAGCAUAAAUGUAUGUAUAUGACAUUUUAGCAGGACAAAUAAAUAUUUGCCACGUAAAUACAAAUCAAAUCCGGAACAUACGAUCAUAUUGGGAAUGAUAAAACUUACAGUAACCCGAGCUUCAGGCUUGGGAUCAAGUUUGCUUGCUCUUAACAUUGAAUUAUCUCUUCUUUUUGUCUCCAUAUUCCCUUCCCAACUCUUCCUCAGAGCCUUGGCCCCAACCUCAAUGCCCUGAACUAAAUGUUUGAUCUGAUGUCCCACUCCCAUCUUCUUGGUUACAGGACUGGCUGAACGAACAGGAUUCGACUUUUCAACUGCUCCUAACUUGGUUGUUCCAUUAGACAAUGCCUUAACCUUCCCCUGCUGCUUAAUGCUAUUGGCAAACUUCUCAAAUGAAGAAGGCAACGAAUAACAGCUCGUUGGAGAUGAGGGUAUCGACCGUGAAUUCAAUGACUUUAGUCUCGUCAGAGGCUCCUUCUUCACAUCUACAUUCACUGUCAAUUUUGACAUCUGAGACUUGGAUCUACUCAAGGGAGAGGCUCUCUUAUCAAUCUUAUCCUCCUUGACAUUGCCAUUGAGUCUCACAGGCGCAGAUUUCUCCUUCUCCCCACCAAUGCCAAGGCCUAAAACUUUUGGGGUCGGCUUCAAUUUGUCCAAAGAUUUUAAAUUAGGAUUAUUGUUGAGAAACCCAGGAGAAUGAGUAGCAACAAUAUCUUCAGGGCUCCCCACACAAGGGUGUCGACCGGGCACCGGUCGAACUCCGUGAAGAAUGGGGACUGGGGAAGCAGCCUCAAGCCGUUCGACAUGAAUAAACUGACCCAAUUGAAUCUUGUCACUAAGAAUCAGAUCACCAUGUUCAUCAGGGAGUGAGACAUAUGUAGCAUGAGAAGAAUCAGAGACUUUGAGAUAAAAACCUUGAUUCGGUGAGAGAUCGCCCCCGGCCAAUGCCGGAACUAUGCUCACAACUUGUAACAGUGUCGACCUGUGCUCUCCAGCAACUUUCACAUCAGUGUUCAUGUGCUGCAGCAGUUUGAGAAGCACUCCAGGAACAAGAUUCGCCAUUGUUGGACACCUUCAGAAGGCAUCACUCUGAAAACCAAGCAGUAUUUAAAGAAGACCCCAGAAAUCUCAACCCUUUCUUCAAGAAAAAUGAAGAAGAGAGAGAAAGAAGGAAGAGUUUCUUCUACCAACGGCAAUGGCGAAAUGUGGGGAUCCAAAUCAAAAUAAGGAGAAAUUGCAAAAAUAGAAAAAUGGGGGAUACCCUUUAAACCCAGAUUAAAAUCUUUACCAAAUAUAAAUUCAAUCAAACAAAACUCCAGCAAGGAAAAUGCAUAGUACAGGAUUCAGAUUUGGUAGUUUUCACCAAUUGCUACCUCAAAAAUGAACACACAGUUCAUUUCAAAUCAGGAGAAAAACAAGAAAACCCCAAACGAGAUUCCUCUUAGAAGAAAAAAUGAUUCUCAAAAAUCGAUGAAGAAGCAAUAGAAAGAAAGAGGGGUACAGCUAUGAAUAGAACAGGGAAAAACAAGAAAACUCACCAACCCAGAUGAGAAAAUGACUUACACAUACAAACCCAUUAACAUUUUACACUAAAAGACACAAACAAAUACUCCACUUCUCUGCAAAAACACCAUGGAAAAGGGAAAAAAAAAAAAAAAAAAAGCAAAAGAAAAAUUGGGAAUUUCUUGAGGAAUUUAAACCCCCCUUUUUUAAAAAAAGAACAAGAGUAGCUGUGUGAAGAGGUUUAGACAAAGAACAUGGGGUGUAGGGAUGGUGAGAAAUUGAGAAAUGAAAUGGAAAUGGAAAAUCUUACAGAGAAAUCAGAAAAGUAGAGAAAGAAUAAAUGAUAGCAGGCUCAAUACAUGAUUAAGUAGAGAAGCUGUCAGUGUCUGACACCCACCAUAUACAUACAAAUUACAACAUGCAAAGUAUAAAGAUUUUACACAAAUGUUAAUCUGACCCAUUAUUGUUUUCUUCCCUUCCAUUUCUAAUGGGGGAAAUCUUAUUUUUCAAUUUUCUUCACAAAUUUGGUGUCUAAAGUUGAGUACUUACAACAUUAGUAUCCAUUUUAGCCUAGCUUCAGUUUGAUUUAGUAAUCUCAAAUCAUUUUAAAAUAGAUAGUUUUUGGCAAUGUAAAUAUAGUUCUACCGAUAAAGUAUUAAAUAUCGUCUUAAUUAUCUAAGAUUUUAUCUUUUACUUCGUGAUUAUUAAACUAAAAAGAAAGAUAGCUUUGUUUAGAAAAUGUAAGUGUCAAAUUAAUCUAUAAAGGACUAACGAUUUUAUAAGUUAAAAGAUAUAAAGUCUCUCCUCCAAUAUAAACUCCUAUAUUAUAUGUUUGAUAAAUCUCCCACUAUUAAUGUUAUAUUUUUAUUAUUGAAGAAAAAGUAUUUAACAAGUUUCGAAUUAAAUUUUAUAUAGAAUACAUACUAGAAAUAUAAAAGGAGUAUAACGAGUAUAAUAAGUUGUUGAAAUUUAAAAAGAGUAUAAUAUGUUUUUUUUUUUUACAUCUAAACAUCUCGCCUAUUCAAUAUACAAACUAUUAAACAUUAUAAUCUAUUAAAUAUACAUUUCAACCAACACUUAAAAUAAAUAAAAAGAAAAUCUCAUACGUAGGAAAAAGAAGUGAAACUAUUUUAAAAUUAUAGCAAAAGAAAAUACUUAAACGAAACACUCGAUCACACUCGUCUGGCUCUACAAUCAAUUGAACUUAUAAUCUUUUAUUUAUUAUUAAGACUACGUCUCCUUUUUUACCAUUGGGUCAAACCAUGAUAUGAUAGUAGUUGUACGAUAUUUAUCAAAAAAGUUAUUUAGUUUAGUGGUUGUUAGUAUAUAUAUAUAUGUGUGUGUAUAUCAUAAAUGGACUUUUCAAUGGUCUAUUAUUAGUACAAAUAAGACUUACUAAUGAAAUAAUAAACAUAAAAAGUAGUUGAUGACGUAGAAAGGAAAGAACCUAACAUUGAUAGGGAGAAAAAAAAAUCGUUUGCUACACUGCAACAACUUUGACUUUAGAUGUUAGUUUUGACCUGAAAUCGUUAUGGAUUACAAAUUCACAUCGUAUAAUACAAUUUCAAAGGAUCUUUGAUGACAGUUUUAAACCACCAUCGAGAUUUUCAACAUUAUAUAAAUAACGGUUGUGUAUGAUAAUGCUGUUAUUAUUGAUACUUCAACUUCUAAAUUAAACAUAUGCUCUUAAUUUCUGUUUUAAGUGCCAAAGAGAAAAAAAAGCUCAAACAUACUAUUCUUACCUAAACACUUGACAACAAAUUGUUACCUAUCAAUUAAUCACUUUUCUUACACUUUAACAUUAAAUGUUACCCAUAAGAUUGUGUAAAAAAAAGAAUAAUGGAAGAGGGAGAAAGGGAUUAUUCCUUUGGACAACUUAACCUAAAUUAGGUCUUUCUAAAUUAUUGUAUUUAAAUUAACUUUUUUUUCUCCUUUUUGUUGGAUAUUCUUAAAUUAUAAUCUUUUUUUUUUUUAAUCUUAACACACAAUCAAUAAAAUUGAUUAUACUCAAAUCAUUAUUCUCUCUUUUACCUAUUAAACAUCAAUCAAUUAAUAACUUGAAGUUUAAAAUUUUCUUACUAAUUCUACAAUAUUCUAUAAAUAUAUCUCAAUGUUUAAUCUUAAUUCUAAAUGGAAUUGAUUUUUUCAAAAGAAAGAGAAUUGAUUUAAUGCUAAUUGUUAUAAAUUUCUUGAAAAUCAAUUAUUAGCAAUUAUUUAUUUAUUUACCAAAUAUAUUGUCCACCAAUAAUAAUCUCUUGAGAUUGUAGUAGUUUAAAUGUCAACUUUCAAAACAAAUAUAAAUCCAAAUUCUUAGCAUAAUUAUUAACCAAAAAUGAAUGAUUAGAAAUAUAUUAUUAUUAUUAUUUCAAUUUCUAAUGUUUCUAAUUCUUAAAUUUUUGGAGUUCCUUAACCUCUCUUCCUCGACCACUCGACCAGAGAGGAUAACUCUUACCGACUAUAUUAAUUGUAGAGUCAUAUCCAACAAAUAUCAUAUGUAUCCUUACGAGUCGAGCGCCAAUCUUUCUAAAACUGAGAAUGUAACUCUUUUUUUUUUAAUCGUCAUAAUCUUUACCCACGAAGGAAGAUUGUGUUGUCUACUAAAAAGUUGAUUACUAUGUUGGGUGCCUUCUACUCGUAACAAGGGAAGAUUUGUUAGCUUAAUGAAGUUUUUCUUAUAUAUGUAAAAAAAAAUCUUUAUUAAAUUUGGUAUUUGUUUUCAUUUUAUCAUUAAGCGCCAAAAAUAUCUAUUCAUAGACCAAAAGAUUAAGAAAAGUAACAAAUUUUGAUUAAUGACAACGCUUUUCUAUUAAUUAUUGUUAUCAUCAAGCAAUAUAUGCUCUUAUCCUAUCAACGAAGGCAUAUGACAAAACUAUAUAGAUUUGUAGAAGUAAACAUUUUAUGAAGAUAUUAGUUGACAAAAUAGCCAUCGCCACUUAAACAAUCCUUACUACGUUCAAAUUUACUUUUUGUAUAUUAUUUCAAAUGAAGAAAAAAAAGAAAUUACUCCUUACAUUUUCCUUAAAUUUUAAAUUUCUCAAAUUUAUAUAAAAAAGUAAAUUAUAAUAUUCACACGUCCUAGAAAAAUCAAGCAUAAUAAAAUUUAUUAUUUUAGUAGUUUUUUUUUCGUGGAGUGUAAAUAGUUGUUACGAAUAAUUUAAGAUUAGUAAGAUAAAGUAGAGUGUUAUUAUUGGAAUAAUAUUUGAUUGGAUGGAGAAAAGAAAAAGGUGUGAAUGAUUAUUUAAUUGACAUUGGUAUUUGAGUAUUUUGCAUAUGGAGGCAUGUGCUAUAGUUGUUAGAGAGAAAUAGAUAAUAGGAAUAAAGAAAAGGAAAUAUUGGUGUCGGCUAAGAAGCAAAAGAGAGUCAUAUUCCCACUAUAUGUAUAUCACAUUGAGAAUUGCAUUUACAAACGCAUAUAACUAAACACACCCUUAUUCAUAUUGUUUGUAUUCAAUUGUUGUUUAUAUUAAAAUGAGUCUGAAAAAGCCAAGUGGCCAACUCAUAUGCUUCUCUUCUUCUUCUUCUUCUUCUUCUUCUUCUUCUUUAUCCUUUCACAAACUUCACUUCUUUUCUUUUAUUUGUGUAAAGGCCACAAAGGUCAUAUGCUCACCACAUCCAAACAUGUGGUGCAUCUAUUGGUGGACCCAUUCUCAACCAGCUUCUUUCACAUAAACUCUUUUCUUCUUCUUCUUCUUUUUUCUUUAACUUCUAGUUUCGGAAACGAAUUAGGAUUCGGAAUUCUAAUUUCACAGUUCACAACUAUCUAUAGUAGUUCUAUGCAACUCCUACUGACUAUGCUGUUCUUACUUGUUUUGAAUACUUUUUGUAAAAGUGAAAAUUGUUGAAUUAGGAUUUCAAGUCUUGAUUUGAAUCUUAGACAUGUGACGUUACAAAUGGUAUAACAGUGAAUCUUCUUCUAGUAAGAUGUGGUUUGGGGACGAACCAAGUAGAAGCUGAAUUUAGGAGCAAACAUAAACAAACCGAUAAUACGUUUGAAUGAGAAAGAUCAUGAGAAACAUGAAAGUAUGGUUAAGAAACACUUAAAAGAAAUAAACUAUACCAACAUGUAACUAGGUUGCACGAGAACGUUGAGUCGUCAGUUGUCGAAUUAAGAUUUUGAAUCCUAGGCCCUUUUUUACCUUCCAAUUUUAUUUAAUAUCCUUCCGUUGCAAACAAAUCUUUGGGACAACAAAAAAAGUAGGUGAAAGAGGUGUUGAGAAACGAAAUGAUGACGACAGUAAAAAAACAAAACAUAGUAAGAAUAAAGAAUACACCUUAAUAAUUCGUCUUGUAUUAUUACGUAAACUAUAUAGAAAGUUAAACGAAAGAGCAUUUAUGUUAAAAAAAAAAAACUAAACCGUAUUUGUAUUUGUAUUCGUAUUUAAAGUAAAAGAAUGUAACAUUGAAAAACGAGAAGUGAAGAAAUAAUUAAUUAAAACAAAACAUAUAUAAGCAUAAAGUGUUUCCUCUAAAAUAACAAUAACAGGAGCAAGGUCAAAGAACACAACAACAGAAAAAAAAAAGAAAAAAAGGGCAAUAAAUAUUAAGAAAACAUUGGAUUAAAAAAAUUGAUGUGACAAUGCAUCUAAAAUUUUCACAUAUUUAAACAAAUUAAAAGAACAACUCAUUAAAAGCCAUUUUGUUAAUGGCACAUCUUUAUGGUUACCACUUAAUUAACACAUUCAACACAUUAUUAAAGUGAUAUGAAAAAGUAUCGUAAGAUUUUAAUGUAAUAACUUAUUAUUCUAUAAUUAAUAAGAGUAUUUUAUUUCUAAUAAUAUAUUAGUAUUAUAUGAUACUUGAAAAAUAGGAAUAUUAAAGAGAAGUAUUAGAUGAGUUUAGAAUUAUAUAUUUUGAAUGUAAAGGAAUAUUACUCAUAAAGAAAGUAAAAAAAGAAAAUAAUUGAAAUAGAAAAGAAAAGAAAAAAAAAUGAAAAGAAAGGGUUAGUUAAGAAAAGGGACCCACUGUACUUUAAAUGUCAGGUGUAGCUGCCUCCUUCUGUGGACCCGCACACACACGAUUGAACCCUUCAUUUAUUCUAUUUUACAAUUUUACAACUUUUUCUAUUUUUCUAAUUUUAGAGAUGCACGAUUCCAAUUAUCAUUAUUAAUUCUUUUCCAACCAUUACUUUUUUCUAUCUCAUAAAUAAACAAUGUUCCAAAAAAUAACAUUCAUAAACAAUCAAUAUUAUUAUUGAGGAUUGGGCUAAAAGAAGAAAAAUAGCUAUUAUUUAUUAUUGCUUCUCUUCCUCCACAAACUUGAAAUAAAAAGGAAGUUGAUAGUUUGAACAUGAAAUUGUUUGAUUUCCAUAUUCAAAGUUGUUGAAAAAGAAGGUUCAUGUUCAUAUUGACAAGAAACACAAGUGAAACAAAUGAAACGAAGAAGGCACCGUCAAUUUUGAGGGGAAAAAAAAAUGCUAUUUUGAGGUAUUUUCUCUUCAUUUGGUGGGUGUUGUUUUAGAGUUUAGAUUGGAUUGUUACCUUUGAGACUACCUCAACAAUUUAGUUAACAAUAGAUAGAAGGAAAGCUUGGAGAAUGUUGUUAACAAUAGAUAAAUCCUUCUUUUAAAUUGAGAUCUAAAACUGAUGACUCCUACAUUCUCACUCAUAUCUAGAGGUAUUUCAACAAACUUGGUUCUCACUCACAUGUUUAUGUUUUCAAAAGAAGGUAAAAAAUAUUUGAAAAGGUGAGCAAACUAGGAUUGCUUGAAGACAAAUCCACUCAACAUUGGAGUUCCUAUUACCCAAGAGUUGCACCAUGGUCGAACGUUUAAAUCUCCCCACCAUUGGACUAAAAAAAAAAAUUGUUUCAAAAACUAAACGAGGAAUAAAAGGGUGCAUGAAGAAAUUUUCCUUUUGUUGAAGAUAUAUUUGGUGAAACAUCAACUGCAUAGAUGAAAAACUCUGACAUCCAAUCUCUACCCGAAAAUGAAGAUAGUGUGUGGAUUACUACAAGCUCAAAAAUGAAAUUUAAACAUAUGCUAAAUAGUUGGAAAAAAAAAACUAGUCCUCAUCCCUGUGAUCACGAGAAAACUUCAACCAUUCUUUCACAGAUCUUGUACACUCAAACCUGCAAAAGUUGAGAAGUAAAUGUCAGGUUUCGCUGUCAAUAUCAAUUUAUACUCGGGACCAAACCCAUCCUCAUCCCAUUUUACAAAACUUAUUGAGGAAAGGAUUAUAGAGACCUUUUUGUUGAAAAAGGUGACCAUAAACAAAAACAAAGACAGGUGUUUUUAUGUAUACAGAACCCGCCUUUCAAUGAAAAGACAUGGAAGAACACACCAUGAUCCAGAAUACUGACCCACAAAAGGUAACGCGACAGAAGGAAAGGGUGUCAGGCUGUCAGCAAAGCAGAGAAACCUAAAGAAUAAUUACGAAAGACUAGACCAAACUCACAUCUCUACAAGAUAUGAUCCAACUCUUCCUCCAAUUUCUGACGAAGGUUGAUAAAAAAACAGGGCAAUAAGAAGACAACUUCCUCGAAAGCCUAUCAAGAGCAUUAACUUUUCAACGGAUAUCCUACUAGAUAAAGAACGUGACCUUUUAGGUAUGGUCCCAUCCAAUCAAAGAUAAGAGAGCCAUGAAAUUCGUUGGUUCCCAGUUCAACAAAUUACGACCCAACCCAAGUAAAAGAGAGUAGACCACUCAGAAAACACCACAGCAAUUUAGCCAAUAGGCUUUGUUUCUAGCUUUUAAAAUAUCUAAUUCUAAACCCCAGGCUCGCUAGUUUUCCCACAUUAACUACUUGCCACAAAAAAAUCCCUCAAGAAGCAAGUCUUUUAUGCAUCGAAUCCACCACACAAGGUCCCAAGACGGGAGGUUUCUUGGGUCAUAAUCUAAGGAAAAACAAACAUGGGAGGAAGGGAGAUAACCAACCUCACAGCCCACUAGUCAGAAAUCUCUGAUCUCUAAACUCCUAAAAAGUCUAAACGUCCUCUCAAGUCAAAUCCCCCAAAGAAAGGUGCGUUUUAGGGACAAACACUCACCCAAAUGAUUUUGCCCGUCUACAGAGUCAUCGAAAGCAAUUUAUUUUUAUAGCUAAGCAGAUUGAGACUAAGUAAGUGCAACAGAGAUACGCAAAUUUUUGUCACGAAACGUAUGCGAGGAAGUAAGAUGAAAAUGCGAAGUUGUAGGAAAAAAAAUUCACUAGGGAGAGAUUAGUGAGAAGGUCUAUUAAUACUAAUAGAGAAUUUAGUAAAAGAAAAGGUGCGUUUUAGGAGAUUAAAGUCAAGUUCCUUUCAGUCAAAAUCAGAUGAUGGAAGCACAUGUGAGCGCUGAUAGUCGCCACAAACAAAAAAUGGAACACUUCUAAUCUAUCAAACCAUUUAAAAACACUUAAACAACAUACAUAGCCACUUCCAAUAUAGCGUUCCAAUGUUUGUUAUUAAGAGUGAAACCUAACCUGGUGGAAGGGAUUGCUUCAACUUGUCUGCCUUCUCAGAGUCGAAAACACAAAGAGUAUAAAGAUAUUUGGAGCAUCGAACUUUGAACUUCACAACAUCCUUGCUCCUCUUAAUUUUCACAGAACGAGCAUCCUUCCUUCUAGCAGUGAGAAGGAAAUCUUUGAUCUCAUGAAUUUGUUUCGGCUGCAAAUCCAAAUAUGGAACAAGAAGACACAAUUUGAUUAAUUUCAAAAUAACCUAAAGCAUAAGAUAUCCAAACGAGAUGAAAACAUGUACAUUACGGUUAUUAAAUCCGCAUAAACGUUUACCAACAAAAACACAAGAAACCCAUAGAAUUGCAACGAGAAUAGAAAAUUAAAUGAUGAUAUGCACCCUCACAACGUUCAACUAAAUAGAACAGAAGCUAAUUCAGGGCAGAUAAAAAAUCGGCGACAGCAAACAUAAGAAUUCAAAAGUAGGUUGAAUCCGAAAUGCAUUAAGAAAAUGAACAAUAGAAAAAAAAUUCAAUCAAGGAUUAGAAAUUGAGAGGUACCAUUUUGGUGGCAGAACAGAGACUGCCGCGUAGUUGCUGAUUAUGGAGGGUCAAAACCCUAACUUUGAAAGUUGUUAUUUAUGUAGGGAUUCAAUGGGAAACGAAGAAGAAGAUGAAGCUGGCUUGUUCCGAACCCUAGAUGGGCCGAGAAUUCAAUUAAGCCCAAUCUAAGAAGGCCCAUUUACCCAUUUUAUUGAAAAGAAACACGAAAUUAAAUAAACUUAAUUGUUAUCAUAAAAAAUAGUUAAAUAAUACAUAAUGAACGACGUCGUUCAAAGGUUUGAGAACAACAUAUUAAUAAAAACCAAAUAAUAUUUCAUGUGUGUAUAUCAAAGUAAGGUUAUUAUAAAAAAAAUGUAGCUAAUAAAUACACUUGUUUUUCAUAUAUUUUGUGAAAUCUUCUACUUGUUCUUUAUUUUCUAUAUGUCAUCUCUUAGUUUUUUCCUCACAGAGUAAUUUAAAAUUUAAUGUUACGUUCAAUUUUGUUAAAAUAAUUUUCCUCUACCUUUUUUUCUCUAAUACCCUAUACAUUUUAUAAAAUAUAAACGUUAUAUUUUAUUUUACUCAAUAACAAUUAAAAUUAUAAAGGAAAAUAUGUCAUUAUCUUUAUCUCUGUUAUUACUCUUAAACUUUUUGUCCAAUAUAUUUUAAUAUAUAUACAUGAAAAAUGAAUUUCGUGUUUCAAAUACUAAUUAACAAAUAAAACACACAAAAGAUCAUUAUUCUUCUAUGUAACAAUUUAGGCAAUCAUUUAAUUAGGUCCUCCUUAACGUAAUAAACAAGGAAAUGUUUCAUUUUUGCUUCAGUUCAUUAGAAUUCCUUUUGAUAACCAUGGUUUUGGUUAAUAUGUUGAGAUCGUUGUAACACAUCCGUUAGCUGUUUUGGACGAGAUUCAAGAUGGUGCUCAAGAACUGGUGUGUGUUCAAGAAAUCAACAUCAAAAUCCAUUUACAUUAAACAAAGACAAGCAUUGAGGAGGAUAAGAGAUUUGCAAUAAGGUUACUCAAGGCCUAGCCAAAUCAAUCAAAAUCUUGAUAAUUUUCAAAUAAAAGCUUGGGUAGCCAUGAUUUUAGUGAAACAUCAACCCAUGUAAUAAACCCAGCAUAAGAAUUCUAAAUUCCAAUCAAUCCACUCAAAACCGAAGAUAAAUAUGGAUUACUACAAGCUCAAAUCCAAUUUAAAUAUAUUCUAAAUAGUUAGGGGGAAAAAACAUCAUACAAAAAAUCUAAUUCUCAUCCUUAUGAUCCUUCGACACUUCAACCAUUCUUUCACAGAUCUUGCACACUCAAACCUGUCAAAGUGCAAACAUAAAUGUCAGUCAAUAUUCAGACCAAAUUCUUCCUCAGCUUAGCACCAAUUUUGAUUAAAGUUAAAAUAACAUUUUGGGAUUAACUAUCAAAGGUUUGGUUUUAGUCACCUUUCAUAAAUUUUGAAAUCGAAUUAGUAAUUUUAUGUUAGGUAGAGGAUAACUUUUUUUUUUUUUUAAUAUAGAACUUCAUAAAAUGAUUACAAUAAUUUAUAUUGAAGAAAAUUCAAUGUCAAAUGUUAUGAUAGUAGAGCUAGAGAUCUUACAAUUAUGAAAAAGUUGAUCAUAAACUAAAAUAAUAGACUAAAAUACAAAAACUUACUAAAAAUGCGAAGAAUAGAUUGAGACAAUAUUAAAUGUAAGUCCUAAAAUACGAGACCAAAAUGGUAUUCUAAUAUUUACCUUAACAAGAAACCAUGCGUGCAAGAAGGGCACACAAAAUAGUAGUUCAAGAAAAGGAAUCUAAAAAGCCCCAAGAAUAAACACCAAUCCAAAAUAAUAAAGGGUUAGUUAAUCGAUUGAUGCCCCAAGAUGCUAAUGGCCUACUCAGAUUGCUCAACUUCAAAAAAGGUCUAAAAUUUCUGUCAAGAGUCAAGUUAAAUUCCCUAAAGAAUGGAAAAAACAAGCCUGCCAAAGAAUCUUUGCGCGUAUCUAAAGGGGGUUGUAAGCGAUUGAUCCUUGUAGUUAAGAAGAACAAUAUUCGGGGAGUCCUAAAGAACAACAAAAACUUUUGUAAAGAAGUCAAUGUAAGGAAGCAGGAGAUUUGUAGAAGAUAAAGGAUUGUUAGUAAAAGAAAAGGUAUGUUCAAGGAGAUUAAGGAUCAUUUGAGCCAAAAUCAGUGUUCGAUAUUAGCCUCUUCAAUGGAAAUUUGUACUCGUCGCGUACAAAUUAUGAAACAGUUGUAAUCAAUCCAACCAUUGAAGAGCACUUUACCUAGCUACAGUAACAGCCAUUUCCUAUAUAUCAUACUCUAAGCACAUUGUAGUGUUGGUUAUUAAGAAAGUAAAUCUAACCUGGUGGAAGAGAUUGCUUCAACUUGUCUGCCUUCUCCGAGUCGAAAACACAAAGAGUAUAAAGAUAUUUGGAGCAUCGAACUUUGAACUUCACAACAUCUUUGCUCCUCUUAAUUUUCACAGAACGAGCAUCCUUCCUUCUAGCAGUGAGAAGGAAAUCUUUGAUCUCAUGAAUUUGUUUCGGCUGCAAAUUCAAAAAUGGAACAAAGAGACCGAAUUUGAUUACAAAAUAAUCCAAAGCAAAAAAUAUGCAAACGGCAUGGAGAUAUGUACAUAAAAGUUACUUGAAUCCGCAUAAACCUUAACAAAAAAAAAAAAACUCAAGAAACGCAUCGAAUUUCAACGUGAAUAGAAAAUUAGAUGAGGAUAUGGACCGUCACAACGCUCAAUAGACAGAACAGAAGCUAAUUCAGGGAAGAUGAAAAAUCGGCGACAGCAAACAUCAGAAAUCAAAAGUAGGUUGAGUCAUCAAUGCAUUAAGAAUAUGAACAAUAAAAAAGCAAUUCGAUUAGGGAUUAGAACUUGAGAGGUACCAUUUUGGUGGCAGAACUGAGACUGCCGCUUAGUUGCUGAUUGUGGAGGCUCAAAACCCUAAUUUUGAAAGUUGAUAUUUAUGCAGAGAUUCAAUGGGAAACAAAGAAGAAGAUGAAGCUGGGCUUGUUCCCAACCCUAGAUGGGCCGUCAAUUAAGAUAGGCCCAAUCGAAGAAGGCCCAUUUACCCAUGCUAAUAAAAACAAAAUAAUAUUUAAUGUUGUAUGUAUCAAAGUAAGAGUUAAUAAAAAAAAUGUAGCUAAUAAAUUGUCCACAAUUAUCUCUAAAACUAUGUAAAAAUCUCUAAUUGAGGAAAGAGAUGAAGAUUAAUAAAAUUUAAUUAAAUAAUAAAUUAGAAAAAAUUGGUAACUAUAUUUAACAUUCACCCAACCAACUAUAGAGAGCACUACAUUCAAUGAUUAACUUUAAUAACCAUUUUAGACAACUAACUCCAACCACCAACUCUCUCAUUCAAUAUAUGAUCGUUAGAGUUUGUUUGAAUAUAAGUUUGAAAUUAUUAGUUUAUUAUGGAUAGUAGUAAUAUUUCAUUUAUGAUAAUUUUUUUUUGUGUUUGUUCAACUAUUCCACGAUUGUUGAACUAUGUAGUAGGGUUGUUGAUUAUAAAAAAAUAAUAAUGUUUUGUCUACAUGAAAUAAAAUAACUAUAGAUAAAAGGAUGUAACAUAUAUAAUUUUAUGUACUAAGUUCAUUAAUUAAAUGAAUGUUAAAAAUAUGAGAAAAUAUAUGUGUAGUUGAAUGGUUGAAUGCAAAGUUGAGGAGAAAAAUAAAGAAGAAAAAACCUAUAAAAUUUGCAACCUUUUUAGGUUACAAAAAAAAUGUAUCAUAUAUAUAUAUACACUUGUAACUCAACUCAACUAUACAUUCCAUAUAUAGACCGACUUCAAACUCAACUAUUUUGAAGUUUUUUCAUAGGUUCUUUGAGCUCUCCUUAUAUAUCAUCUAAACCCUCUUAAAUUUUUUUUCAUUGGAUUCUCUAAACUCUCCUAGAGCUUUCCGUCCUCAUAGAUCCUCUAAGUUUUCCUAAGUUCUUUCCAUUUGUACGCUAAGCUUUUCUAGGCUAUGUGGCUAUCCCCCAUUAGUUAUUUUAGGUUUUUUCACUCAUGGGUGUUCUCUCUAAUUAGUUCUACCAUAUGAGGUGUUUGAGCUUCUAGACUCUCCUCAAGGAUCCCAUUGAACUUAUACAUUAAGCUUCUAAGCUCUCUCCAUGAGUCCUAUUUAGCUCUCCCUUAUGAGUCUUCUUAGUGUUCUCCUAAGUUCUUUGAAUUCUUUUAUGCUCUUUCCUUGGGUUCUCUAAGCUUUUUGUAUGGAUCGUCCCACUAAGCAUAAUCUAAGCUCCUAAGCUCUUUUCGCAUUGGUCUCGUUGAGCUCCUCCUUCAUAGGUCUUCUUCCUUUGAGCUCUUUUAGGCUCUCUCUCAAAUGAGUCCUUUAAGCUCUACUCCAAGCUUCUAGGUUCUCUCUAUGAGUCUUUUGAGUUUCUAGGCUCUUCUCAUGCAUAUGUCUCUCUAAGCUCUCUAUCAUGGAUUUCCUUAGCUCUUCUAGUCUUAUGAGUUCUUUAAGCUCUCCCAGGCUUUUCUCAUAGGCCCAUCAAGUGUCCAUCUUGGGUUUUCUUAACUCUCUUUACGAGUCUUUAAACUCUCUCCUAUACAUUCUUUCAUGGGUCUCGAUCUUAAGAGGCUAAUCUACCCACAACGAAUUCAACCAUAACUUAGUGUCGUGAAUUCAUUCUCUUGUAAUGCUUGGUUGACUUGUUAGAUUUUAGGAGAUUUAUUUAGAAAUUAACCAUGGUUUUUGAGCUUAAUUAAAGUUUUUUAGAUCAAUAAUGUUUUUUUGAUGUAUGAUUAGAUGAAAAUAUGAUUAGAUUUGUGUAUCAUUAUGACAACAAAAUUAGCUCUUUUCAUAAAAAAAAAAAAACGUAAGGUAUAGAUAUUUUUUGAACUCCAAACUCCCUCUUCGACCGUGAUGACAAAUUAUUUGCGGCCAAUAAUGUGGAGAAAUUUAAAGUUGAUAAUAUAGUAAUUUUCGAUCCCUUUCCUUCCAAUCACAUCAUUUAACCUUUAAAUACUUCGAUACACUCCAAGAUAUACACUUGAAACAUUUGUAAACAUAAAAUUUCUAAGAACUAAACACAAUUUAGGUAGAAAAAGAUGGCUAUUUAAGAUAGCAAUAUCACUAUCUCAAAAUCAAUGGACACUUUAAAAGAUUAUGAUCUUCCUCCAUCUUUUCAAAUAUGGAGUAAUUCUCGACUACAACUAACUCUAUCAUCAAACAUAAAUCUACGUUAAAUAUUUUUGGUGUUUAAUAAUUAAUUAAUUUCUCCAUUACUUUUCGUAUCUCUUCUUUUUCUUCCACUUCCCAGUACUUUUGUUUACCACUGGAGUUACGUUGGAAACCAAAUACAUUUAAUAUAUUUGAAAACAUGAAGGAACCAAAAUGGUAAGAAAUGAUAUUAACCCACAAAGCAAAGCAAUACAAUGUUUAUUAUUAUUAUGUAAGAUGAAAAAGGUGGAAAGUGAAACGCUAUAGUGUCCAACUAAAAAGCCAAAAGUAAAGGGUUUUGUUUUGCAGAGGGUAUAAAAGAGAAAGGAAAGAUAUAUAUAUAUAUAUAUAUAUAUAUAUAUAUAUGUAUGUAUUAUAUAUACAUAUGAUAUAAAUUGACAAAAGCAAAGGAAAGUUAGGAGAGAAAAAGGGGUAGGGUGGUAGUACCAAUCCUUAUCUAAGAGAAAGCUAGAAAAAGUUGGUUUCCCACUAAAUAAUGUUGGGUUAAAGGCAGUACAAAUGUGUGGUAAUUCAAGCAAAAAUUAUGCUAUUCCAAUCACUGGACCAAAAGGCAAACAUGGGAUCAAGUUGGUAGACUUGUGCUUCCCACAAAGCCUUCCCUUUGGGUCCAUUUCUCCCAUCUUUAUGUCAACUUAUUUUCAAUUCCCUUUUCUCACUAAUCUCUCUUCAACUUCUUCCCCUUGGACCCUAACCCUAACCCUUCCCCUCCCUUUUUUGUUCUAUCAAUGCCAUGAACAUAGUUCGACUACUUAAAAUUUGUACUAUUGUUGAAUAAGCUGAGAUUAGAAGUCCAAACAUGUUCUUUAGCUAAGAAAGAAGGGAGUACUUAAUCUAUGUUCGACCACUCGGUUAGUAAUUAAAUAUUGAAUAUGUAUGGAUUUCAACCUUCAAAUUAACAAAAAAAAAAAAAAACAAUAACAAAAGCAAACUAUAUAUAUUCCUUUUUUCUUGUUUCUUUAUGACAAUGUAGAAGGCGGAAGAAUCAAACAUUUGAUCUCGAGAUGAUCAAUAGCUCAAACUUUAUAUUAGUUAACCUAUGUUCAUGAUUUUCUUUAGUAUUUAAUGGAGUAACUUACUAAACUUAGAAUGAUUUUUUUAGUACAAGAGCGGUGGGGAAAACAUCUCGAUCAUUAUGACAUAGAUAUAUAUCUCAGUUUAAACUACGAUCAUUUUGACAACUUGAAAUGACAUGUGAGCAGCAAAUGUUGCACUCGGUUGACAAUCUCUUUUUUUAAAAAAACACAUUUCCAAAUUUACACCUCAUUUUUAUUUUUUCACUUAGAGAUAUUAAAGAUAUAAGUAUGAAGUUAACAAAAAAAAAAAAAAAAACGACAAUAUAUCAUGUAUUACAAUCCCGAAGAGAUUUGUGAUUCGAAUCGUCUCAUCUCCUAUGUAUUAAGAAAAUGUUAAUUAAAUUAUUAUUAUUGAUCUAAAAUGCUUUAAUUAAUAGAUUAUAUUAGAUUUAAUGUUAUGUCAAUAUGUUUAGCCCCAUAAAAUUACAUUCACACCUUAACAAGUUACAACCAUAUUUCAAUCACUUCCUCCAUUAACUAAAGGAAAAGGAAAUGCAAAGAAAUUCCCCCAUUUUCAUAUGUUUGGGUCCCUAAAGGAAUUGUUUUGUUGCCUUGGGCCAACUCAAGGAUUAUUGUGCCAUAAAGUGAUAAAUUAGAUAUAACCAUUCUCUCAACUAUCUUUGUCUAUAAAGGUUGCUUGUAAACCCAUUAACUUCAAAACAUUAUUUAAUCAAUCAAUAACAAUGUAAGGUGCUUCAAUAUAUAUAAAUAUAUAUAUUCAAAAUAUCAUAAAUGAUUUGAUAGGUUGAAAUCAUACUUCAUAUAGUCAUUUGGAAUUAAAGAAUAUACUAAUUUGUUAUAAGAAGAUUUUUUUUGGUUAAAGGACAAAAACAACUAGAAAUAUUUUUAAAUAUAUAACAAAAUGUAAGUCUCUCUCGAUAUUUAAACGGUGAUAAGAUUAAAAGAAAAAAUAUCACAAGAUAAAACCAAAUUAAAAUUAUAAUAAAUGUUAAAGAGAGUGAAGAAGAAUAGACUCUUGAUUAUCCAACGCGUUUUUCUCAAGGUAAAUAUGUUAGACCAAUAUGUGACAAUAUCAACUUUACUUUUAACUUAGUACACACCAUAGUAAAAUUUUGUACUAAUUUUCAAACUCACAAAUGAAAAAUGUUAAUAAUUUUAAAUGUGGUAUCAUAGGGUUUUAGAAUUCAAAAUAAUGCUUUUUAAGGAAAACAAAAAAUUCCAUCUUUCUUUUUUUGCCUCCCAAAAAUACUAAGGAAAAAAAAAAAGUGUUUCAUCUAUUAUAGGUUUGAAUCUCUUUCUUUCUCUCCAAAUGAGGAAGAAAAAGAAAAAGCUGAAUUACCAAACUGAUUUGAAACAUGCAAAAUUGAAGAACUCAAUUUUUUUGUAUGAUUAAAACCUCUGUUCCCAAACUUUCCCUUUUUAUGACAUAUCAGCAUUUACAUUUAUAUAUAUAAUUGAAGAAUUAUAUAUAUAUAUAUAUAUACACAUUACAAACACUUGAAACCCUAUUAGAUCUCUCUCUUGUUCUCUCUUAUAUAUUUGGAUAUGAAUGUUGUUUUCCCAACUCCCAAACUGAUAAAUCCAACCACAAAAAUUUCAAUGACUUUUCACUUGCUACCUAUAGCUACAAAAGAAUUAUAAAGUUUUGUGUAUGUAUGUUAAGAUUUGAACCACUAACUAUUUCAUAUAUUUUCUCUAACAUUUCCUCAGAUUAGCCUUUGCCAUGAAUGUUGUAUAUAUAGGAUUAGUUGGAUGAUGUAUCGAGAUAGCCAAACCUAGAUAUUUCAGUUUGAUAUAUAUACUUUAAGAACAACAAAUUUUGAGUUUCUUUGAUAUAUUGUUUGUUUAUUUUCUUUUUUACCUUCAUUUUUCUUUGAACAUUUGUAAUUUCUUUUAGUAAAAUCAAAAAAGAAGUUUUUCAAAAAAUACUUGUUUUAGUUAAAAAAAAAUUUAAGCUAAUUAACUGUAAUUUUGGAAACGUUUUCAAAAAAGAGAUGAGAAAAUUAAAAAAAAAGAAAGUGGGUAAAUGAGUUUAACUUUCUUUAAACACAAUGAUUAUCCCCAUUUUAGAUUUUUGCUUUAAAGAAACCAAGUGUUCUUUUGAUAGCUCCUUUCUUUUGUUUCUAUUUUUUAAGAAAAAGGAAAUUUCAAAGCCCUAGGUCAAUUUCUUUUAAUAAUAGUUAUAAUUUUUUUUUAACGUAUUGAAUAGAUAGAACUAAAAAUAAAAAAUAAAAAAAGAGUUUGGGUAAUCUUGAAGUAUUGAAGUAUUUUUGUUCUUUCAUUUUUAGAUUUGUUAUUAUAUUCUUUUUUUUAUAUAUAUAUAUAAAAGAUUAGGUUUGUUGUUCUUGAUUAAAUUUAUAUGUAUGUCUAUAUAUAAACUCCAUAGAAUAUUCCUAUUGCUAGAUAUAAGGUAUCAUAAUAUAUAAAAAGUUGCUACACAGAUGAAACUAAGCAAAGUGCAUCCAAUUUUGGGAAUAAUGUGUUUACUUUUAAAGGAAAAUUUGGAGAGAAGAGAGGGUAAAAAUAGUAAAUGGGAGAGGCAGAAACAUCCACAAACUCCAUGAAAAAAAAAAGAAGAAGAAAAAACCAAGCAAAAAUAAAUUAGGCAACAAACACAAACCACAAAAUUAAAAGCUCCCCCAAGAAAAAUUGAAGAACAAUAUUAAAAUUUGAAUACAAAAUCUACACAAAUAUAUAACAAUUUCAUGGCUUAACUCCAUACAAAAAGAAAAAGAAAACUCCUUUAUAUGAAUAUUGGUAUUAUGAUAAUAAUAAAUAUAUAAAUAAUGUGAAUUUGUUCCAUUUAAUUAGGGUUUCCAUGCUGAAACCCAAACCACUGGUUCUUCCUUCCAUGUCAAGUAAAUUCCACUUGACUCACCAUCACCAUUUUCUUCUUCGUCUCUGACAGCAGCCGUGGCCGGACGCAGCAACGCCCAACCAGGUUUGUACCGCUUGAGCAAAGCCUUAACAUCAUCCAUUACAUCUUCACUAAAAUUAGCUGAUGAAAAAAGUGCUUGUUUGAGCCUUUUUGUCCAUUGCUUUCCUUUUUCUCUUCUCUCACUCCCAAUUUCUUCCUCACUAAUUUGAUCAUGAUCACACCCCAAAAGCCUCACAAUGCUUCUUGAACAUUCUCUUUCCAAAACCAAUCUCUCAUUGCUUGUUGCCACAAAGCUCUCUUCCAACAUCUCAAAGUAAAGAGUGUAAAAUCUAAGACACUCUUCAAAGCACUUCAAAAAGUCAUUUUUAGAGCUUAUGAAAUCAGCUUCUUCCUCUACUAUUGUUAAAACUCUAGGCUUUAGUGAUUUCAACAUUGAAAUCACAUUGUUUCUUUCUUCAACUUUCACUCUUCUUAAGGCUCCAAUGCAAUUUAUGGCAAUGGCCUCACCUUCUUCUACUUUGAGGGCUUCAUUUGUGAGGUCAGUUAAGUGGUCGAUAUUUGUUAUAGGGUUGAACUCAAAGGGGACUCCCAUUAGCCUUGCAAAUUUCUCCAUUCUUUGUCCAAUUUCCUUCAUUAAACACUUCACUAUACUUGUUGUUGUCACCACCGUUAGCUUUAGAUGUGGAGUGUCAUCAUUGCGUGUGGCUAGGGAUUCCAGUAGGGUUGGCCACUGAGUGCAAAGGGUGUUGCUUAUGUCGAUGAUGUGGAGUUUCGUUUCUCCCUCGAGCGCUUCGAGAAUUGCACCGUUCGAUGCUACAUGCCCGAAUGUCGUCCAUGGACUUGCCUGAAAAAUUAAAUUAAAUUCACCACGAAGUUUAUAGUUUUGAGUUUAAUGAGAUAAUUUGUCAGCCCAUCAGUUAUAUUAGAUACAUACGUGUAUCAUAUUUUCUUAUAAAUAUAAAGCUCAAAUUUCCACCGAAAUCAUUCUUGGUUGUAUUCUCAAGAAAAAGAAAUCUAUCUACUCUUUUUAACUAAUUGAAAAUCUUUCUAUUUCAACUCUAAAAUCAAGUGUUGAAACUAAUUUCAAACUUAGGGUAAAAUAUAUAAGAUCGAAUCAAGUGCAUUGGUAUAACUCAAUUAGGUUGACACAUAUCUAGUACGCUCGUCAACAUAAUAUAUAGCAAAAAAGAACUAUUAAAUUAGAACUAGCUAACCAAGCUCUUAAUUUAUUGUAGAAAUUGUGAGGGUUGAAAUAUGGAUAAAAAAGUAAAACAAGGAAAAUCAAUUUUUUAAAAGGUUUUUGAGUUUUAGUGGUGAUUUUGACACACCUCUUGAAACUUGAGGAUGAGCCUCAGGGCGGAGUCGAAGUUAUGAUUUUUCUCGGCGACGGCGACGAGGGUUUUGUAGCAAGUGAGGCCAGUUUCUGUGGCCCGGCAGAAGAGAGCUUGCAAGAAGUAGAAAGCCAUUUUUUGAUCAGAGUCACCAUAAGGGGAAGCCAACUCAUUCAACAUCCAAAGAAAAUGGUGGAUUUUGUUGGAGUCCUUUUCAGAGAUGGCUCUAGCACACUCCUUAAGAAGGGUGGAGGCCCAUUUUCCUGUGGCAGUAGCGGUGGCAGCAGCAGCAGCAGCGGACGGAGAGUGUUCCGGUGAGUACUCGGACGAAUGACUCGUGGAGCUUUGCAUGUCUAAGUUGGAGAAGUGAAGAUGAUGAAGUUGAUGAUGAUGACGAUGAUCAUGGCUUUGGUUGAAGAAGCUUGUGGGGGCUUCUUUGGCUGUGAAAAAAGUUAUGUCCAUGCUUUCUUAUGGAGAAAAAAAAAAAUUAAAAGGGUGUGUGUUUGACAAUUUUGGUUGAGGGAGGAAGGAGCAUUCUUUUGAACCCAAAAAAUAAUUAAAAAAAAAAACAAAAAAAAAAAAUAAAAUAAAUAAAAAGAACUAUUUUUUUAAAAAAAAUAAAAACAUUAUAUUAUAUAUUUAUAUAGGCAAGCACAAAGUUUGGUUGAGAAAAAGCUUUUGUUUAAUACUUUGGCUUAUGAUUAAAUGCAUGUCUCAUUCCUAUACAUAUAUUAAAAUUCAUAUAGUAUAUGUUUUUCAUUAAUUUAUUUAAACUUUAUUUUAUAGUCUACCAAGUCUUACAUUUGUUUUUUAUUUGAAUUUUUACUAUUUAUUUAAUUUCUUGUUUUUAGUCAUUUAAUUAAAUUUUAUCUCUAGAUCUUUAGGUAUAUCAAAUUGCAUGGUUUUCUAAUAUUUAUUCUUAUCAUAUUUAAAAUAAUUUUUUUUAUUUUAUAGGUAAGUUAAAUUAAAUUUAUUGAUCUUAUUUAUAUCUUGCGUUACAAAUAUUUCUAGUGUCAAAUAAUUUUCUAGGACUAAAAUUUAAAAUAAAGUUGGUGAGAAUAUUUUUGUUUUUCCUUUGAUUUUAAUACUUUCAGAAAUAUACUAUAAUUUGUAACCUUUUUUUUCUGUGUUCUCUGUAACUUUGAAAUUCUAUCUAAAAAUUUGUAAUUUUCAAAAGUUUCUGUCUUCUUUCUUUUUCUUUUUGAAAAUUGGCUAGCUUUUCUAAAAGUAAUUUUAUGCCAAAUAUAAAUUAGAUAAUGCAUACUGUUUUUUUAAAGCUCCCUAAUUUACUUUCUUGUUUUAUUAUAAAAAAAGAGAAAUUAUUUUAAACUAUAAAAUUGUUGAAAAUAUUUUAAAAAGUUGUAGUUUCUAGGUGUGACGUGAUGGAUCCAGAUAUACAUGGUAUUUAUCACUUUACUUUUGUUUAUUACGGUCUACUAUUGCUAAAAAGUAUAUUUAUAAAUAUUUUCAACAAUUUUACUAUAUGUUUCACGAUAAGAAAUCCAAUAAUAGACUUUGGUUAAUUUUUUUUUAAAGAAAAGAAUUACUUCACUAAUAAACUAAUUAUGUGAGAAACACACAUGAUGAAACACAAAUUAUAGAAAAAUAAGUAAGUAAAGAGUUAUAGAGAAAGAAUUGAGAUAGUUUGGCAUAAUUAUUUGAUUUUUUGUUUUUAAAAAUUAAGUUUGUAAACACAACUUUUAUCUACUUAAAUGAUAGGAAAAUAGGUUUAAUUUUAAAAAAUUAAAAGAAAAAAACGAUAAAACGAUUACCAAACCGAGUUUAAAUGAUUAUCUUUUAUUUUAUUUUUCUAAUAAAGAUGUCUAUGAGUGGUAGAUAACAUUCUAAUAAAGUAGAAUGUAAUUAAUGGAUCGACCAAAGUAAUUGAAAAACAACCUAAAGAGACUAAUUAAAUAUAGAAAAAUUGUAUGAGAUGAAAAAAAUAUUAGUCAAUAAUACUUAUUGAUGAUAUCAAACGGCUAUCAGAUAAUUAUCGACUUUUAAAUUUGCUAUUUUUAGGAUUUAGAGUUUAUCGUAAAUUUUUUUUUUGCUAUUUUUAUAAGCGUAGUAUGAAAUGUACUAUACUUUUGAAAUACUAUAAACAUAUCUCAAUCAACUACGCAUAUUUAUUAGUUUAAAACUUCCUGUUCAAAGCUAAUUUAAAUACUUUCAUUUCAACUUGUAAUUUUUUUAAAAAAAAAUUAUAACAUAUAUUAAUUAAAUUUAUUUAUUUUUGAUUACAUGAUAUCAACCAUUGGUAUCAAUUCCUUUUCAAACUUCUACAAGAUAACAACCCAUUAUAAUAAUAUAGUAUUAAACAUACUAUUUGUAUCAAUACAAAAAAUAUUUAGCUAAAAGAAUAAAUUAACUCUCACACAUACACACACACACAUAUAUAUAUAUAUAAAAGAUACAAUAAGUUCAACUUAGUUAGAUAACAACAAAGGAAGCUUAGAAGAAGAAUACAAAAAAAGAUUAUAUUUUCUUUAGUCGAAAGCAAACACAAUGUGUGACAAUAAAUGCUGAUAUAAUUAAUCAAUUAAUUAAUGAUGCAUUAUGGUUUGAGAUAUGGUAUAAAAUAAGCUCUAAUUGUCACUAUAUUUGGUUGCCUUAUUGAAGUUACAUAACACCAACUCUUUGAUUUACCAUAUUAUAAAAAGAUCACAAGACAUAUUACAUUAAUUAAUAAGCUUUUAAAUUAAAAAACUCACUAUUAGAGUUUGAAUGACUAACUUGAUGUUGCCUACCAAAUUUAAAAUAUAUAUAGGGUUGAUACUAUUUAAUUUAAUUAGUGGAAUUAUUUGAAAAGUUUCAAUUUGGUUUCUACUAUGUAUUUCUUUUUAAUUUAAUUUAUAUUACAUCAUUCAAUCUUAAUUCGUUACAAUUGAAUUUCACAAAUCAUUUUCUUACUUCUUGAAUUUCAUCCACUUUAUGAAUGUAGUGUUGCAGAUUUUUGGCCCGAUCAUAGUGCUACAAAGGUGUCUAAUUAAGAUGUUGAAUCUUAAUUAUACCAAAUCAUUUUCACACAAGCAUAUGAUAAAAUAUACCACUUUUUAACCUUUUAUCCACUCCAAUUUUUCUUUUUUCUUUUUAUAAAAGAUACGUUUAGGUCAGUAGGUGCAUCAAAACAUCUCAACUCCCGUAGCACCCUCAUCAUUUUCGCUUCACUUACCCACUCCAAUCCUAUAUUAAGAUUAUUCUCAAUUUUAUAUAGACACAAGCUCUAGCUCUUACAUACAUAGAUAAAAAGCACGUUGCUAUUCAAAAUUACAAUAAUUUUGAAACUAGUAGAAAUGAUUGGUGAGGUAAGUUUUAAAAAUGAAAAUUUAAGAAAUAUAAAAAACCAAAUUGGAAAUCAAGUGCAAUAUAUAUAGUAGAAUGUUUAAAGAGAAUUACUGUCAAAGAUUAUAGUGUUCUUUUUAAAGACAUCAUUGCAACAAUUUGUGGAGUCUAAUUUUUUCUUACUUUUUAUCGCUUCCUUUAUUUUCCUAAUUGGAUGGUUUUUCUCUAAUUUUUAAUCUAAAAUUAAUUUUUAAGUUCACAAAUAGUUGUCAAAGUGAAUGAUCAAAAUAAUUGUUCUUCGAGAUCAGGAUACAUAUUGUUGUCUUAUUUUUGUUGAAAUAUGCUCAUAAUAUUGCUAAGUCUUAGAAUAGAGAUGGGAGAGAGAUGGAUUUGGUACUAUUAAAGAGAAAAUGGUAUCAAGAUCUUGAUUAUUCUUGCAUGAACAUAAGGGAAAAUGACAAACAGAAAGUACUUAGAAAGAGGAGAGGUUUUAUGGUAUAUACUUUUAAGUACACAUAACUCAAUUCAAGACAAACAUAUAAAAUGGUGUCCAAUUUUAAUAACAUAUCUUUGUUUGUUAUUUCAAGAGUUGCAAAUUAGAUUUUUCAGCUGAAGCUAAGUGCUUCCUUAUUUUAUUUUUUGUUAAAUUACACAAAACCUUAUUACAAGUUAUGUAUAUUAGCCUCAACUUACAUUUUUAAAGUUUUAACUAUACAAUGAGAGGGUUAAGAGACUUAUAAAAUUUGAUAAUAUGAUCCAUCGAUUCUAUAUAUCUUUGGUUUUUUUCAAUGUAAGAGAUUCUUCCAAUAUGUCAUCUUGAGAUCACAUUGUCUUAUUUGAGUCAUCUUUUCUCAAUUUUGAUAAGUUUAAAACCAUCCAUAUUACAAAUAAUGGAUGAUCAUCUACUAUGAAACCGUUGAUGAGUUGAGUAGACAAUGCACUUAAGAAAAUUGGUUACACAUCUCGUGGAUUUCUAUUUCUAUAACUUAUGUAGUAAGUUUUAAUAACGUAAAAUUCAUUUUUACAAUUUUUAACCUAGCUCUCUUUACACCGUUUUCAUGGUUGACGAUUCAAUUUCUAUUACCCCAUGAUUCUCUUUACACUUCAAACCCCACUCAGAUUUUUGGCGAUCCUAAUCAAUUCAGCUGUCUAAGAUCGUUCUUCAAAAUCUCAAACAGUGAAGAUAAGAGAUUAUUAAAUUCACAAAAAAAGUUGAAUAUAAUUAUAUUUGUUUUUCUGAAAAAGUUGAGGGUUGAGUUAAAGUAAGACAUGAGAAUAAUAUUUUGCAGUGUAGGUUUGAAAAGAAUGGUAUGAUGACUCAAAUGAUUGGUUCAUAAGUGGGAGAAAUUAUUAAAAAGAAAGAUGGCAUGCAGUGCAUCAAAAGUCCCUCCCCCCAAAAGAAAACCAAAAAGAAAUUAAAGUAUAUAGAAUAUAAACACUACUUUCACACUUUGAUGUUACAUUUUUCCACUAAAAUAAAAAAUAUCAUCAAAUCAUACAUUUCUCUCUUCCUUCAUAUCUUUCCCUCAUUCAUCCAAAGAAAAUGAAAAAGCCCUCAUUGGAACUUGAAAACCCUCUCCUCUCUCUCUCUCUUUCUCUUUCUCUAUCUCUAUCUCCAUUUUCACAUUUUCCAAUUUCCCCCAUUCAUCCGUUUCAAAAAUGGUUAUCAUAUGCUCUCUAAAAACUUUACAAAAUUGAAACCAAAGUUAUCAUUAUUAAACUAUAUCAUACCCAUUACAAAUAUUAUUUUAAACCAAUCGUCUUUCUCAUGACUAAUUGAGAUAUUUUCUUUGAAAUAUAAGUUACAUUAUUUGAACUUUAGAGAUAAUAUAUAUUACUACAAGACACAAUCAUUCAAAAAGAAAAAUAGGGUAUAUACCUCAAACACAUUCUAUAUAAGUUUUAGCCAACACAUAUAGAGAAAGGUACUAAAAUUGAGGAGAGAGUGAAGAAGUGAAAUUGUCCUUUGCUAUUGUAUGCUGCCUGCUUUGGAAGAAUCUUGAGAACACAAGUAAACAAUUAUAGAAGAAGAAGAAGAAGAGGGGAAAUAAUAAUAACAAUAAUAACAAGAAGAAGACCCCCAUAGUCCCCAAUGUAUAUCCCCUAUAAAAAGAAUAAAAACUAUUAUAAUAAAAUUUGUUAUAUGUUUGUAAAUAGAUGAGUGGGUCAUUUGGGUUAUAUUUAAAAAUACCAAAAAGAAAAAAGAAAACUAAUUUGAAUUUGUGGCCAAUUGUUUGGAAUCACAACAUAAGCUAAAAGUUCUAAAUAGGAGAUUGAUUUAGACUACUUCUCCAACGUUGUUUGCCCAUUUGGUGCAUUACCCUUUAGCAUUUUUCUAAUAGUUUAGUGGGCUUCAAAUGAAUUAAUGCUUAGUUUAUUUUGAAGGUUAAUAGAGUGUAAAAUUAUAUAAAAACUAAAUGAACCAAUAAAAAGUUGUUUGUAUAUAUGUGAUCGAUUUGUUAAAUAAAUAAAAAUGAUAGUGAUUUUUUUUAAUAAGAUAUACUAAUUGUUGAUGGAGUAGUACUUUUAAUUAAUGAAACUUUGACUAUGAUUUUACAUACUCAAUUAGGGAAAAUGAAGACUGUACUUUUAAAAUUCAAUAAAAAGAACAACCAUUCAUUACAAAUUCAAUUUAGACUUGUUUAAUUGUGUCUAAACACCACAAAUUGGUCAAAAUUGUAAUGAGAAUGGAUAUGUAUGCAAUAUUGCUAUGAAAAAGAUGGAGCUGAUGUUAGAUGAAAGACAUUUGGAUGAUCAAACCCACACUCAAUAAUCCAUUUAGAAUGCAAACAAAACAAAUAGCUUUUUCUUUUUUUUUUUGUUGGAAUUUAAUUGAUUACACUUGAAAUUUUUGGGUUUGAUUAGAUAAAGAAAUUCAAGUAAUCUCUCAUUUAUAUAUCUGCAUAUAUAUAUAUAUAUAUAUCAUUGACAAUAACUAUAAAGGAGGUGAAGAUGAUAGCAUAUAAUAAUCAAAACAACCAUAGUUUUUAUUGUAGGGUUUGGAAACAUGCAUACCAAGGGGUAAUAUUGUCAUUAUCAACAAUAUAAUAUUGUGUAAGACUUACAAUGUUAUCAAAUAAACCAAAAUCAUCUAUGAUACCAAAUUGAUGCAUCUAAGUAACAUAACUUUCCUCCUUAACACUUCUAGAUUCUUCAAUUUGACUCCCACCGUAUAGUUGUUGUACUAGAAAAAAGCACAUAUACUCGAUUUGGACGACGUCUAAUCUAAUGACACACGUAGUUUUCUAUUUUAUACGGUUGAUUUGGCAUAGAUUAAUGGAUAUAGAUGAAGUUAUUGUUCCCCACAAACAAAAUUUAGGUUAUGUGUAAAGAAGGUAAGUGAUGUAAAUAUUUUCUUCCAUACUUAUGUUUUGGCUUGUAGUGUAUGUCAUAUAUUUAGAGGGCUUUUCCUUACUUUAUUUCCUUUGGGAUUAGAUUAGAUAUAUGGUCCUUGUUCUUUUUUGGUAUACAAGCCCAUUACUCUAGUAAAAAUAAAAUAAAAUUAAUGUUCACAUGCUUUAUAAUAUAUAUAUAUAUAUAUAUGUAUAUGUAUAUUAUAUUACAAAGUGUGUAUGGAGGGCUUUUCCCUUUGGGAUUGAGUUCAUUUUGUUCUUUUUCAAUAUUAGUACAACUAACAAGAGUCCAAUAGUUAGUUGUAGUUGUGCAUCUUGUUCAUGUUUCUUUCUUUAUUUCUACUAAAUAAUUUAAUUUUUGAUAUUCACCCACCUGUGCAUGUGUAAUAAUCUUACCCUACCACUUAAUCAUUCCAUAUAUAGGUAUAUAUAUAUACAUAUAUAUGUCGAGAGAGACGAGACUCUAAUUACUUAGUUCAAACAUAUUGCCAAUUUAGCUAUGUUUUCAUUUUGAGUUAUGUAUAACGUAGGAAAGUUUUAUCCGCCUCUAUUUGUAUGAAAAAGAUAAUUAUCCAUUUAAACCUAAAAUUCAUAAUUUAAAUGUAAUAAUAAAUACGUAAAAUGAGAAGUAAGGUCUUAUACUAGCUGAUAGAUAUAUGGUGAUUGAGCGCCAAAGACUACAGUAGAAAUUAUUUUUUCAAUAAACAUAGAGUUCUAUCUAAAAAAUUAUCAACAAUAUUGAGAGGUAUCUAUGUAUUUAAUUAAGAUUAUUGUAAUGUAUACGAUUAUUUUUAACGUGAGAUUAUAAACUUGUUGAUGAAGAUAUGACUCUUAAUACUCAUAAUUUUUUUAAACUAUAAUGAAUAACUCAGAUAUCAUAGCUUAAAAGUAAUUUUGAAUUGUUUUACAAAUACGAUAACUUUUACGACGGUUUAAAUUAACAUAUUUUAACUAAUUUAUAAGAUUGUUCAAUCACUCGAUUGACGUAGAAAAAUGUUAAUUUAUGACUCGACUUGAAUAUAUAUAUAUACUACAAAAAGUUAGUCAUCCUCACCAUUAUUGUAAUUAUAUGCCCAAUGCACAAUUAUAAGCUGCAAUGUCAAUUGCAAAGUUAAUCAUGGUAAGCAAUGAAAGAAAAAUGACAAAAAAGUUAGAUUUAUUGCUAAAUAUUAUUAUUCAAACAUUGAAUUAGAAGCCAAUAUAUAUUAUUUAGGGAAGUCUAAUUGCUUUCAUCCAUGGUUGGAUUAAUGUUUGUUAAAGUUAUUACAGACUAAAAAUACAUCACAUCAGCGUGUUAAUUAAACACCAACUUGUUUCCUUACUAAUAAUCCAUUGUUUAUAAGUUGUUUGUUUGACUGGACCCGUAAUUAACGAUUUUUCACUUAAAAAGAAAAGGACAAAAUUUCACACUAAUCUCGAUCUCGUUUUUUUUCUCUCAUUCCAUGUACAUUGUUUUCGAGUAGUUUUGAGUCUAGAGAAUUAAAGAAUGAGAGUUAAAUGGAGAAAAAAUGGAGAAAGUAACCUCAUCCCUAGAUAAGAUACUGAACGGACUAGAAACAAACCUAGAAGAGACUCGUGUGGAAGACUAAGCAAGACAAUUGGGCCCUAACAGAGAGGGUCGAGGCCACCCUCUCUUCUCCUUGGAGCCUACAGUUUUGCAGGCUUCUAUUUGGUUCUCCCGUAGACCUAGUUUGACCUCUUAGAUGUCCUAUUCAUAGAAGGAUGAAGGAAACCCUAAGUUUAGCCUUACUAUAUAAUUGAUCUUAAUGAUUCACAGAAAAGUAAGUUUGUUUUCUUAAGAUCAAAGUGUCUAUGACAAACAAUACUACAUCAAUAUUAAACUUUUCCUUUGUGCAUGUUGUUUUAUCUGAAGUCACAUUGAAUUUCUUCGGUCAUCUCAUCUCGAGUUUCCUAUAGUCAUCUCAUUUCAUAUUGUUUUGUUAGGAGUUACCUUAUUUCAAGUUACCUAUUUCCUAAAUUUUAGAAAAAUUUUGCUAUCAACACCUAUAUAUAUACGUUAGAUUAUUUAUCAAAUUUUCUAUUCUUAUCCCCUUUUUCUCAUUAAUUAAAUUGAACUAUUACAAAAGUGGAUAAUCAAACUAUCGACAUUAGUAUUUUUGUGUAUAUAUAUAUAUGCACAUUUUCUUACAAAAACAAUAUAAUUAUGUGGGAUAAUAGAUUCAAACUUUUUACCGCUUAAGAUGAGUAAUAAUAUUUUUUUGCUAUCAAAUUAUGGUUAAGUUGACAUGUUUAUAAAGUUAUAAAUGAAUCAUUUAUGUAGAUUAUUAAUGAAAAUGCCACGUAUGGUCGAUCUAUUGCAUUUAUUUUUACCUACAACCCUAUUUUCAUAUAAGACUUCAACUCUAGUGCCUCUAGUGCCUCAUUUUUAUACUGUACUCGAUCCUGAUAAUUUCUUUUAUAUAUAUAUAUAUAUAUAUAUAUAAAUACAUAUUCAUAUUCAUGUUUAUGAUUGGCUAUGAUAGAUAUUGAAUCCAAAAAGUUAAAUUAACAAAGUUGAAACAUAAAGAUUAUAUGAGCUGCCUAAAACAUAACAUUAAAGGUAAUUCAUGGAAAUUUCAAAAAAAGGAAAAAGGUUGAUGCAUUAAUGAGUAAGAGUGACAUAAGAUUGAAGAGUUUAGAAUGCAAUGAGGCAAGUGCUUCAAAAAAGAAGAAAAAAAAUCUUAGAAUUUGAAGUCAAAGAUGGAGCUAUCUUUAUCACCAUUAUUUGAUACCCACAUAAGAAACAGAUUGUGACAAAUCAACUGCCUUACCCCCCACCCAUUGGACCAAAUAAGAAUUAAAUUAACUUUUCUUCACCUAUUAUCUUCAUUUAAUUUUCCUUCCAUUUCUUGUUUUUCUUUUUAAAAAAAAACAAAUAUAACAAUCAAACUCAAAUUAAGAUUCAAUUUGUUAAAAUGUAUAUAAUUGAAAAUUGAAAUUUAGAAAGUAACGUCAUUAUCGAACAUGCAAACCCUUCUGAUAGUAUUGUAUUUUGGAUAGGUAGAUUAGAUAGUAGCCGACUUAGCCGGAUAUGAAGAUGGCAAAGAUAAAUAAGUAAAGAAGUUGAAAAAACAAAAUGAGAUACAAACCAAAUGUUUUAUUUUAAAAGAAGAAACAUAUUAUCUAGUGAAGUUCAUAUUUGAUAAAUACACAAUAAAUCAAACAGAAAGAAAGAAAAAAAGAAAAAAAAAUCAACUUUAAUGGUAUAAAGAUCCAAGUCUAAAAGUAUAGAAUAGUUCAUUUUAAAUGAUUAAAGACAAGAAACAUUUUAAACAUAGGCAAAACCUUCCUAAUUCAAAAGCCUAACAAUUACAAAUGUGGUCAAAAAUCAAGAUCGCCACCACCAGAUAUUCUUUUUAUUAAAGUAUAUUUAUGAAACUGCUAACAUCUAUUUCAUCACAGUUAUAGCAAUAAAUCAUGAAUUAUUACAAUAAAAACAAUUAAAGUCAAGACAGUAUGAUGUCAAAUGGGUAUCUAAGCAUAUUUUAUUCCUCUUCAAUAAUCAAGGCUAAAAGACAAGACUAAGAUGCAGCCUGCAGAUUACAAUGACAUCCUUCUAAAAAGUUGUUUCUACAUUUUCUUUAUAGUUUUCCUUUUCUUGGAGAUUUGAAGUUUGUUUCUUUUCUUUUCCCUAAAGAUCUCAAACUGUCUUAAAGAGCUAGACUACUACACAUCUAGAAAUAAUUUUUGAAAAUGGUUCUAGCAUCACCCCUAUUACUUACUAGGAGAUCUAUGCUAGUGUGAUGAAAGCUUUAAUUCUAUCUCCUAAAAUUAUUGUGUGAUGGAUCCAGCCCUCGAUAUUGACAAGUCAAUGUCAGUCAAUCUUCAAAAACUACAAUAAAAUCAAACUCCAACCAUGACUGUGAUGAAGUUUAAAUUUUGAAUUGGAUGGAAGAUUGAGUUUAAUACUGAGACUAAGUUAUGAAUAUAAUAGCCACCUACUUAAAAUUUAAUAUUCUCCAGUUUCUUCGAAACAUCCUAAAUGUUGUAUGGUUAGGAGAAUUGUUUUACGAGGUUGGUUAAUGUGCGUGUGUGCUAACCCAGAAGACACUCACAGAUACCAAAAGAAACAUCCAAAGUUACAUUGAACGACACCAGCCAAAAUGCCUAUUAUUCUGAGGCCAAAAGCCAAAUCCCUACUUGAAGCUAUGAAACAACUAAAUGAAAGAUAUAUUGAAAAGAACUCUGGAAGAAAACCAAUAUAUACUCUUUGAAUGAAGUUGUGUUAAGAUCAGUAGAUUGUUUACCAUAAUGAAAGUCAUUGUACGAAAUUGAAACAGCUUCCAGAAACUCAAGAUGCAUAUGUGCAAUGAAGAGUGAGAAUGUAAUGCAUAUUAGAAUGUAAAGCGUGUUCAUAUAGUUGAGCUGAUACAAUAAUUAGUUCCCAGACAUGAAUUAUUGCAUAUAGACUGUGCUUACAAAUCUCAUCAUGUGACAUAAAGAUUCUACUUUAACCAAGUAGUUGAUCUGCUUCCUAACAAGAAUCUCCUUUUCCUGUAGCUAAAGGGACCAAAAACAGCAGUAGAACAGUGAAAAAUAUCAAAAUGUCAUUUAUGGGCUCUGAAAAGAAAUUGAAAGCCAAUAAGUUCGCUACCUAGAAAAUCAUCCUAAGAAAAAAAGAUUAGUGCUUCCAUCCUUUUAAAUGCCCGUCUUCCAUGUAUGGCUCCAGAAAUCCAAUGAACUGAAAUGUUGAAAAAAAAAGUACAGCAAGACUUUAGUCUCCUAAGUGGUCAACUUUCUCCAUGGACAAACUCAAUCAACUUUCCUCGAAGAACUGAGAACAUCCAUUUUCGUGUAGGUUUUAUAGCAUUACCAAACAUAACUGAGCUGUUAUACAUACAUAUAUAUAUAUAUAUAUAUAUAUAUAUAUAUAUAUAUAUAUCAAUAACUCCAAAACUUAUUACAUAAGAACAGGGUCUUGUAUGAAAAUGAUACCUUGUUUCCAUCUUUUGACCACCUGGCACCAUACCCUUCUGCUAUCCUUAUCUCAAAAACGAUCCCAUGUGGUGCAACAAUAUGAAUAUUCAUCCAGCAACAUUGAGCUAUCAAGUGAACAAUCGUAUUCAUAGCAUGCCUAUUCUUAUCAGAAUCUGACAAAAGAUAUUAUUGUGCAAAGGAUGAUCAGUCAAGUACACAUUAAAAAAUAAACUUCAAUCUUUUCCAUUUCUUAUAUAGAAAAUGAUUGCAAUUCUUGAAACUUCUACGGCUAGUCAUAAUCAAUCGAGGCAUUUGUGUGCACUUAGAUCCAACAUAAUUUUGGCUUCAAUGUUUGAUAAUUAUUUAGGCUUUAACAACCACAUGGUUUUUUGUUUUUGAAAGUUCAAAUUACAAAACACUACUUCCACCUACAUUUUUUUUUUUUUUUUUUUUUGUAAUUCAAUAAGGACAAUAUAACUUCUACCUAUCUCAUAUUUGUGUGAUAUUGUGAUUGUCCACUUUGGGAACACUCAUGACUUUGCUUUUCGUUUCACCCAAAAGGUCUUAUACCAAUUGAGAUAAUUGUCCUCAUUUAUGUGCUACGGAUCUCCUCUUUCUCAAACUAAUUGUUUAAAGCUAACUAUACUCUCCUCAAACAAAGUACCACCUUAGUAAAGAAAUUGGGAGGAAAGAAACGUAAGUUUAAAAAAUAAAAUAAUAAAAAAGAAAUAGUUAUUAAAUGGAACUUUUAGAUAACACUUGAAAAUUUAAUGGAAUUCACAACUUAAAGAAGGAAUAAUUUUGAUGGUAAGCAAAAUAAAACAAUGGAGUCCAUAUUGUGCAACUAAUUUUGCACCCAACUUCAUUAAACAAUUCGAUAGUUGUCCAAUGCAACAGGAAUAAAACCUCAUAUGCUAAAUCUUAGAAUUAUAUAGCAAACAUACUUCAAUUUAUCGUUAGAAAUAUAGCAGGAAAAUUCUAUUAACGAAUAUGAGUAGCAACGAGGGAAACAAUCUGGUGAACAUAAAGAUAUCGGGAAGAGAAGGGCGAAAAAUUUCUCCAACAUGCAAAGGAGUUAGCUCGUUAAUGAUUGACAAUAAUUACCUGGCUGAUGAUCAGUGUUUUGAUUUUUUCUUAGAUUUCAAGGUUGUCUUGCCGUAUGCCAGAUUCCUAAAGUGAGACAAUUUAAGCUCAGCUUGACGUUGUUUUCUCCUGGCUUUCCGAGAUAAAUUGCCCUUGUCAACAUUAUUUACUUUGUCAUUCUCAUUGUCAUCCAAAAUGUGCAUGUUGGAGCAAUUUUUCCCCCUUCUCUUCCCAAUAUCUUUCUGUUCACCAGAUUGUUUGCCUCUAAGGAGCUCCCUAGACCUCAUUUUCAGGCGCUGUCUAGUACUAUUUGGCAUCUUCCAUUCUUCCUUAUAAGGGGCCAACUUUUUCAUAGAAACAAACUGAUUCAACUCCUUGUCAUCCAUUGCUAGGAUUUCAGCAGUACUCAAUCCAUAACGAUUAGGUUGUAUUUUGGCGUACUUAAACCUCGUCUUCAAGUCUCCAACUGUAUCCUCGUAAUCUAAUUUAUAAUACUCCUCCAUCAUGGCUUCCUUAGCUUUUUGGUACAGAGAUAAUUUACGCUUCCUCUUUCUUGUGCCUUUUUCAUCCUCAUUGCCUUGUUCUUCAUCUUCUUCAUUAUCUUCAUUGCUCAUAUCAUUAUCAAUUUUAUGGCUUAAACUCCUUUCCCUAGCUGCAAAGAAGCCAUCACCUGACUCAGAGGAUGUCCACCCUUUUGGCAAUCCAAGCAACUCAUCCUCUUUGUCGAAAUCAGGUUUCUCAUGCUCACCAAUGCCUUCGUCAUCCAUAUCACUUCCAAACCCAGGAUCAAUGUCUUCUUUCUCAUAAUAAUUUUCACUAAAAGCCACUUUCAUCAUCCUGUCAUACUCUUCAGGAUCAAAAUCAUCAUCUAAAUCUUUAAUAUCCAAUAAGCAAUUCUCGUCCUCCCCAAGUCCUGCUGUCUCUCUAAUCUUCCUAAGCUUCUGUUUUACCUCCUCCUUCUUCAAAUUUUUUAAAUGCUUCAACUCCUCCUCUCUCUCUAAUCUUGCAAUCUCCAUCCUCUCUUCCUUGUUCUUUCUCUGCUCUUUCCUCGAAUUCUUCUUUUUCCUAACUGACCCCUCAAUGGUCCUACUAUGCCCCCAAAUGGUAUCUUCUGCACUUUCUUGGAACCGGUAUUCAUAUUCCUCUUGUUUUUCAAUCUCUUCCUCGUCCUCCGAUAGCAUGUUCAACUCCUCUUCCUUAACCGUUGCAUCUUCACCAAUCCACAGUUUAUUCUUAAAAUAUUGUUUCAAGAACUUAGAAUUUUCAUCCAAUUGGUCGUCCCCAUCUCCAAAAUACUCAUCCAACUUCUUCUCAAAUUCUUCAUUUUUUUCCUCUUCCACUGAACCUGUCUCCUUCACUUUUAACAAUUCCUCCUCAUCAUUUUCAUUUUGCACUUCAGCUGCCUCCAAGAAUGCCUUGCGUAUUUCUUCUUGCUCCUUAUCGUAAACCUUCACAUUUUUAGUAUUCUCAUCAUUGAAUUCAGGACCCUCUUCAAUCAAAUGCUUCGCUACCACAUCUUUCAAAUACAUACUACUUUUCUUCUUUUCUGUUAAACUACCUUUGACGUCAUCACUUUCCUUGGCAUGGCUGUCAUCAUCUGAAUCAAAAAGCUUGGCCUCUUUCUGUUUGAGUGUCGGAUCCUUCUUCUUUACCUUGAUUAAUGCAUCGAAGAACUCCAAGUCCUUCCUAAAAUUUUGGCUAUCUUCUUCCUCUGAAGAAGAUGAUUCAGAUUCAGAGCUUUCUGAUUCAGAGUCUUCAAUUAGACCCUUCUUCUUUAGCUCCUCUAAGCGCUGAAGAUCCUGUCGCUUCUGGUUAUGCUCAAACCUUUUAGCAUAAUCCUGAUUAAUUUCUAUCUUUGAGUUGUCAUUAUCAGAAUCACUUCCAUCAAAUAACCGUAGACCCAUUGUUUCUGCAACAAAAGAAUGUUCAAAUUAGGAUUUUUCAUAAAUAUUGGCAGACUUUAAAUUAGUAAGACCCUCAAUCUAUGUGGUGCAAAUUUGUUUAAAUUAGUAAGACCCAAAAUUUAAUUGAAAUUAUUCAAAUGCAAGCAUAGCCAAUUACAUACAUUCCCAUACAUUCGUUUAAAUUAAGCAUAAAUUUCAAUUGUCUAGUUACACAUGUGCGGCAUCCAUAAAAGAUGUAGUUUUGAGUAUCUCAUACGUUCCCUUAAUAACUUUUGUACAUACUGUGUAGUGUGACUUUCCAUUUUUUUUGUUUAUGUAUAUCUCAUAAAGCAAAACUUCACAAAUACAAAUUGAACAAUAUAAUGCAUCAUGAUGAACUUACUUGGAGGAGGGCAGCGGCGAGUGGUGCGUCGAGGGGUCCGGCGAGCAGAUUGGAAACUACUUGCAAGAGAGGGAGGGAGGAAGACGGCAAGACGAAAUGUGGAAAACGGGAGAGAGAGGGAGGCGGCGGGAAGGGAGUCUCGGGCAGGGGCGAAUGCGGCGAGCGUCCGGCAAGUGCGGCGAGAAGAUGAAGUGUCCGGCACGGUCAGGGGCGAGUGCUGCGAGAAAGGGGAUUAUCGGACACGGAGAGGAAAAAUCGUGGGUGGGCGGCGGUUGUUUGGGACAAAAGGGAUUGGGAAAAAGUAGAAAUUAGGGUUUUUUUAAAAAUUAAUUUUCUAACAAAUAGCAAAUACUUUUUUUAAUAAAUAAACCAUAAAUCAGUAAUGAAAAAGGAAUUAGAAUUAAUUUUAAAAAUAAUAAAAUAAAUUAAAAUAUUUACGAGUAAGAGUAAAAUUUUAAAUUCUAUUUCUAUCUUAGAAGAAUAUCAAUGUUGAUGGAUAAAAUCUAAAAAUUUUGCUAUAUAUUAUAAAUAAACAUUUCGUCAAAUUUACUAUUUUUUUUAUGAUUAUUCAUCCUAACGUUCUUUUUAAGUAAUUUUAAAUUAAGAGAUAACAAAAAAAAUAGAAACUAUCAUUCACACUUUUAGAAAAAAAUAAUGUUAUUUUAAUCACCAAAGUUAUAUUAUAUAGUUUUAUUGGUUAUUAUAAAUGUUGUCAUUAUUUGUUAAAUUAAAGUAUUUUCAUAUUGAGAAUCGUAGAUCAAUUUAAACUAAAAUUAUCCUCACAAACAAAGUAACACCGUAGUAAAGAAAUUGAGAGGAAAGAAACCUAAGUUUCAAAAAUAGAAAACUAAGAAAGGAAGUACUUAACAAAUGGAACUUUUAGAUAACACAUGAAAAUUUAAUGGAAUUCACAACUUAAAGCAGAAAUGAUUUUGAUGGUAAGCAAAAUAAAACAAUGGAGUCCAUAUAUAUUGUGCAACUAAUGCAACAGGAAUAAAACAUCAUAUCCUAAAUCUUAGAACUAUAUAGCAAACAUACUUCAAUUUAUAGUUAGAUAUAUAGCAGGAAAAUUCUAUCAACGAAUGAGUAGCAUAUACAGUUGAUUGAUGAAAUCACAUGAAUGAAAAUCUUCAUCCAAGUCAUCAUAUGCAAGAUCACAAAAUCAAGAAUUAUAGAAAUCAAGACACUGCUCACCAUUUCCAUCAAAAGUACCCCAAUGUUUGCUGCUAGAUCUAUGAUGAUGCUUUGCCAAUGCCUUAGCUCCGUGAGUUAACUUUAUGCCUUUACCCUCGAUUCAUUAAGAAAACUAACUUCCAUAAAUGGGCGACAAGUAAACCACAAAAAACAAGUAUGUAACAAACAGAACUGUAAAUGUUCAUCUUUCAAAGCUUGAUUUGAAAAGUAGUUAUACUUUUCUUAAAGUACUAUCCAAUAGUUAAGACAUACUAAAUUCAACCAUUCCAAAUUUCAAUUACUUAUUCUCUUUCAGGAUUGACAUUUUAUGCUUUCUUUUUUUUUUUAAUGGAGUGCGAUUAUUAUUUGAUGUAAAAUUUAUAAAUAAGGAGAUUAAAGUUGAAGGCAGAGCACUAUAUCCAAACUUCAGAAAAUUUGGAGUAAUUGAUUUAGAUGUCAAAAUACUAUUCAAUACCAAUAGAAUUGACUGGACAGCGCAUGCAGCAUAAUAAACUCUUUUCGCUUGGGAUAAAAAAUGAAGCAACUCAUCAUGAAUUAUAUAAUCUGACCUCGGGUUUAUAUGGAAGCACAAACGAAGAUAAAAGAGCUGAUCUUGGUGGGGGAAGAGCAUCAGCAACCGUUCCUGCGGUAUGUGCCAAGCCAAGAAGACCUUGAAGACCUUCAUAACUCAGCCCCUGGAGUAGAGAAUUUGAUAAUCAAUGCAAACUAUAUAGUAUACCAUGCACUUCUAUAUGACUAAUGUCAGCAAGUUAACACAAAAGUUUGCUGUAUGUGAGGGCCAUUGAGAAGAGGAAAAUACAGCAGGGAAAGUAAAAGAAAAUCACAAAAACGACAUUAGAUGAAAUAUACUUCCUUAUUUAAACUGAAAGCGCCAAAGAAUGAAGCAAAAUGAAAAUCGGUACAAGAGUCCAAAAUGUAAAGACAUCCAGCAGUUGAACUUUAUAGCGUUCACAACAUAUAACUGAAGGACUUCUUGAAUUGAAUUCAUACCUUAUCAUCACGAGCAUUGAUACUACUUCAAUAUUCCUCCUCAUUUAAACGGAUCUUAUGUCAAAGAUAAACGAAUAGCACAUAGGACUAACUGCUAAUAACUUCAUAUAUAUACGUAUAUAUAAACAUAAGUACACAAUUAGAAUAAACUAGAAGAUGCAGUACCACAGAUCGGACUUGUGAUCAAGGUUACAAGUCUGUUAACAACUUCAUAUUAUUAGUCCUACAAUUUUGACUGGCAUGUAGCAUUGACCUAGAACUUUAAGAUGAUUUAAUUCAAUUCAAGAUGUACUCCUAAAUAUUCAAAACUUUGACUACAUGCUGAAGUUCUUUUAAAUUUUGCUAUUCUAUCACCAUAUAUUUUAGCAACAAAGAAAACUCACUGAGAUUAUUGCAGCUAAAGAAAUGUAUGGCUGAAAUGGCACACUUGAAAUGCAUAGAGCAAGAACACUGUCAGCCAUUUCUUCGUCUUCUCUGUUCAAAGAUUUCAAUAUUUGCAAACCUGAAAAUAUGUGCAGCAUAAUUGUUUCCUAUGAAGAAAUUCACUGUUUCAAUUCAACAACUUCAACCAUCUCUAUUUACUACUUUUUAGGUUUGUUUCAUUUUUAUUUCUCUCUCGCAAAUAUUAUAUGCCCAGUUUCUCACUUCCCUAAUGUUUAUCCUUGCAAACUGGUUAAGAGUUGAAAAAAGGGCCACUCUUGCUGAUCAUAGCUUUAAUGGUUGAAUUAAAUGGACUGGUCAAUUAUCACUAUUCCAAGAAGAAUAAAAAAUGCAUCAAAGGAGCAACUCAACCAAAGUUGGUUCUUUAACUAAUUUCUUCAUCAAGUUAACAUGUUCCAUCUGAGUCAAUAAGAUUAACUGCAAAGAUGUUCCAUGAAGUAAAUUUUCUGUUUCUACAAAAACGUUGGACUGUUUGGUAUCAAACCAAUUUCUGUUUUUAUGUUUUGGUAUUACCUUCAUCGAUGCUUUCAACUCCAGGCAGGAUGCUUUGAAGAUUUUCAGACUCCAACAUAUCAGAAAAAGACACAUACCGAUGGAUAUCCUUCAAUACUCAAUCGUUUAGCAAGUUACAAAAAAUAACUUAAGCCAAAGGAAUACAAAAUGAAAAGCAACAAUACAAUAUACCAAGAUUUCAAAUACAAGACAUUUAUUGACGAUAAUCAGCAUUCCUGGUUCAAGUCUGCAGCCACAAAGAAAAGGGGGAAAUCAAAUCUAUGUAUUGGCAAUAUUAUUGUUAUUGUUAUUUUUUAAAAAAAAUAGCUUUAUAAAGAAAACCAGGAGGGCUCUAGUUCAAUUGAGACGAGAGUGCAUGACACUGACAAGGAAUCUAUGGGAUUAUAGAUCAAAUGAACAAUUAUGCACUAACUUAAUUAUAUUUAAAGUGAGACUUGAAAUGAAUUUUGUACGAUGAUGAUAUGUGUUAAAAGAAAUACCUAUCGUAUUUGCCCAAAGCAUACUUUCCUUCAACUGUUUUUUGGCCAUCUACAAACAAAUUUAUAAGGCAGUCCAUUGAGGUGGUGAAUCAACAAACUAUGGAACUUGGAUAUACCUAUUGCUCUAGACUAAUAACAUUUGACUUUCAAUUCACAAUACCUUUUAGCUGCGUAAAGAAAGGCUCGUCGAUAUAAAGUUCAAGGUUAAGAGUUCUAAGCAUCUGCUGAAACAAAAGUCUUUUAACGCAUGAUAAAAUUGAUCUUAUCAGAUAAUACAAAAAAGAAAGCUGCACCCACUACGUACCUGUACCAUUUCAGACCCUUUAUCCAUAAUCAGCUUCAACCACAUUUCCUCUUUCUGCUUUAAAGAACUUUCUCCAUUCUUCAUUAACAUUUUCUCAUACAUUGGACAGAAAGUGCCGGAACAGAGAGAUUCCCACAAAGCCAACGAUAAACGUUCGUAUAAAGGAUAUGGAGGAACACCUUCAUUAAAAAGAACCAUACAAUUUUAUAUUGAUGCCCUUGAGCUAAAUCAAAAAGUCAUCCUAAUGUGUUGUAGACAAAAAUUAAACUAGACAUGAACUAAACAAAGACUAGCUACUUCAAUAAAGAAAACCCUUUUCGGUGAGAUGGGUCCAAAUUAAAGCAUAUAAUGCAACGAGUGAGCUGCCCUUGACAUUCAGUUACAAAAAGCUUCUCAACGAUCUUUCUACCAAAAACCUUACAAUUAUUGGAACAACAGUUGGAGGGAAAAUUUAAAAAAACAGAGAACACAAAAAAAUUGAACAAGGGAGUUUCCCAUUUUCACCUGCUUUGGAGUAUGGCAAGGGAUUGGAAGUGGAAGGAUCAUGUUUAAAGAGAGAAGAGCAGAAGGCACUGGAGAGACCCAAAUCAAAGUCUGGGGUUCCGUUAGUGGAUGAUUGCAGAACAAACUUGAGCAGCUCCUGCACACAAUCCUCGAGUUUGAUGAUCAUAAUCGGAGACGGAGAGCCUUCUGGAGAAGAUGAAGAUCGAUGAUGGCUACUCACAUAUUUGUUGUUUAGUUUACAAAAAUGACUAAAACGAAUGAUAUCAUAUGAUUUGAUCGUUGAUGAUAUAUAAUCAUGAACAUUUAAUUCAUGGUAUUACUUACUAGGGAUCCAAUCAUACUUAAUUAAAUAUAAAUGCCAUAGAAAUCUCAAAGAAUUAAUUUAGUUUGAUAAUUCAACCACAUGACUUUUAUUUUAGUUAUUGUUAUAUGAAUUAAACUUAUAGUUAUAAUAAUACAUUAUGUGGAUAUUCAAUUUUUUGAGGAAAAGAGAAACCUAAUAAGUAUUUUAGGAUUAUAAAAAAUUAUAUAAUUGAGAAAUUGAGAAUACUUUGCAUUUAGAAAUAAAAAAAUUGUUUUUUAAUAUAGUAAAAUAAACUAAAAUAUUUAGCAGUAUAGCAAAACAUUACUUAUAGAUAUUGAUAGGUACAACAAAUCUAUCGACAUGUUUAUCAUCGUUAUACUAUAAAAUUUUUGUUAUAAUUAUAAAUAAUUUCAACUAUUUUAUUAUUUACAACAAAUUUUCAAAAAUAAAUAUAUUACUUAUUUGUGAAUUCUACGUGAUUUUUGUUUGAAUCUAUGAUAUUUCUUUUCAAUCAACUAUAAGUCUUAUAAUAUAUUUUAUUAUUAUUUAGUUCAUGAUCAUGUAUCAAGUAUAAAAGAUUUUGGUAUACCAUAUUGGAAAAAAAUUGUUGAAUGUUGACUGAGCCAUCAUGGACAGAGUUUUUUCAUUUUCGAAAUUGUUCAAUAAAUAUUUUAUUGAUUUUUUAUAUUUUUAAAAAAUUCCAUUUAAAUAACCUAUUAACUAUUAUGCAUUAAAUGGUAGAAAACUGCAUUAAGAAUUUUAAGGGUGAAUUGUCAUUAAUCACAAAAAUAGUAAAUUUUUUAAAUAAAAUGUGGAUGGUGGAUGAAUUUUGUUAUAAUUUGUAAUUAGUUUUAAUAUUUUGUAAUUUGAGUCCAAAUCUAAAAUCUAUAUAAAGAAAAAAUUAAUAUGCAUCCAACUUGGAAUAUAUCACAUAUAAAAUAUAUAUGUUAAUAGAAAAGAGAUUAGAAUUAAAAUAUAUAUAACUUUUAGUAUAUAUGUUGCAUUGUAGUGCAUUAUUUGAUAGGUAAUACUUUUUGGUAGCAUAGUAAUAAGAUAGAUCAUCACAUUUUGAUUUAUUUCAAGCUUUAUCCAAGACAAGAGAUAAAGCUAUACACACAAUCAAAAGUAUAUAAAAGAAAAAUUAAGAAACGCACACAAAUGACAUAGGAGUGGCUGAUGGAUAACAUAGUGUGGUAUAGUGAUGAUGAAUUAUAUAGAUCAGAGAGGGAGAGACUUGCUUUGAUAAUUAAAAUUAAAGGUAUAGACUCCAGUGUAAAGACCAUCAUCACACACUCUCUCAACUUUUCUUCCAUUCCGAAGAAGAUCUCGUUGCGUGUACGAAAAUGGAAUAUCACAUUUGGCCUUAGUUGCAAGAAGAGUAACUUUCAUCUUUGUGUUUGGUGGUACAAUAACAGUAUAUGUUCCAGUUACUUCUUUACUUUCUUGAAUAGUUUCUCCCCAUUUGUAACUACCUUCAAAAGUGUAGUUGACUUUAAUCUCAGUUUCAAAAAGUGAAGGAACCCCGGCUUUAAUGGAAGUCUCUAUACCCACACCUAUGGUUAGUGAAGAUUCCCAAGUUUUAGAUUUUUCUUCUUGGUACCUCAAACUUACGGUCAUAAUCGCCUCUUUUGGGCUCGUGUUGAUAGCCUCCUCCGCGGCCAUUGUUAGUACUUGUGCGUCAUAUUUCCUCGCAUCCAUAGUUCGGUAUUGAAUAUUGUAGAUUUCCCUUGAAAUAAUUGGCUCAACGAUCUCCAAUUCUGCAUCCUGUGUGAUAGAAUCAAUAUUAGAGUUCAAAAAGUUCGACUUACCAUCAGCACUUAAAUUCCUACAGAACAUGCCAUUGGCAACGUUUCGAAGCGCGACUUUAUUUUUAGCAAUCUUGAUUGGCCAAAACAAGGUGUUUUUGUCGUUCUCCGUCUGGUCGUCUGAGUCAGCCUUGAUCCAGUUUGGGUCACGUCUCCAAAACAUCUUCGUAGAUUCAUUCUUAAUUCUUAUAGUUCCAUCGCCGACGUUGAAAACUUCUUGGCUCACCCUAGGGUCUCCAACGUCGUGGGCAUUGAAUUGCAAAUAUGUGGUGUAAUUAUAAGGAUAGGCAGCGAGAAACUUGUCACCGUUCUUAAAGGUGACGUAUUUAGGGAGUCGGAUGAUGUUUUCAAAAUCGACUAACAAAAGUAAUUUGUCGCCAUGAUGUUUUUCAUCUUGUUUAUAUCUAGUUGUGAGAACAUUGGGAUGAUUCUUGCAACUAGUACAUCGACAUGCAUAGGUUUGAAGCAAUACAUCAAAUAAAUAGUAAGUCCCUACAGUAGGACCUUGGAUGAUAUUAAACAAUGUGCAUGGCCAUGAGGUAUCGUUUUCACUCGGCUUGCUAACAAAGGGACGAACAAAGCGAUUGUAGUCAUUGGAAGAGGCUAAGUACUUGUUGUUGUAGCAACAUUUAAUGUGCCAAUAUUUACCAUUCUUGUCGGGCUCAAUCUCGAACUUUGUAAACGGGGUCAAAGCUUGAUCAGAAGAGAAGUAUAGAUUGCCCUUAAAAAAACCAUGGGUAAGGUAUUGAAGGUACUUCCUUUCUGUGUGGUUCUGAAAUCCUACAUACUUAGGGAGAAACGACAUUAUUAUAGAUAUGAUCAACAGAUACAAAGAGAGAGAGAGAGAUGAGCUUGAGUGUACGUGUAUGUAUGUAUAAGUUUUCUUCUUCUUAAUUACACACUUAAUUCUCUAAGGUGUGAGUACUAAUACCCAAUAUCCAAACCUCUUCUCUUUAUAUAUACAUGUAUGGAUAACUAAUAUUAACUAUUAUCUUCUGCAUGAUCGUAGGACGAUACAUCACUUAUAAUAUGGAUAACAAGGAAUCCUUACUUUACUUUUUUUCUUUAUUGACUAAAUAAUUUAAACUUUAUACUUUGUGUCAAUCAAAAAUAUCUCUCAACCCUAAAUAUAUAUAUUUUUAAAAAUAAUUUAAAGCAGCAUUUUCAAAAAUAGCAAAAUAAAAUAAAAUAUUUACAAGCUAUAACAAAAUUUUAGAUUUUAUGAGUGAUAAAAAUGUAGCAUAUCAAUGAUUAUCAGUUAUAGAAUUGAUUGUAAAUAUUUUGUAAAAUCUACUGCUUUUUUAAAUUUCCCUAAUUUAAAAGUAUUUACAUUGCAUUGCACAUGUUAUGUAAAAAGAAAAUAUUUAAAAGUUGUAGAUUCAUGGUACGGUGAUAGAAAACUACUAGCUAUAGAAUCCAAGAUUUUGCUAUAGUUUUUAAAUAUUUUAAUUAAUUUAUUUUGCUAUUUUAAAAAAUAGUCAUAAGACCAUAAAUUAGUUAUUUAAGAUUUUUUUCGAAAACUCAUUCUUAUGUUUUAGAUUUGGGAAAUUGUCAAAUAUUCAUUUACACUUUAUAGAAAAAUAAAAUUGAAUCACUCUCGAGAAAAUAUAAUUUUUGUUUGUUUUUUUGGAUGAAGUGAAAAUAGUUUGUCAAAUUUUUUUAUAUUUUUUUAAAAAAAUUGAAGAUUUGGUUAGCUUAAAUUAUUAUUUAUUAUUAAAAACCAUUAUAUAUAUUUUAAAAUUUUGUGAAUAUUUAGAAAUCUAAUUUUUUUAAAAACAUUGUUCACUUUUGGUUGUAGUGAAUAUAUAUCAAAAUCUAUUAGAUUUUCAAAAAAAAAUUAUCUCCAACCUAAUAUCUAUUAUUAUUUUCUAAAAAUUGUUCCGAUAGAAAUAUAUAAAAAAAUAUUAAUUUUUAUAUGUGGUGAUAGACUCUUAUCGCUGAUAUAGUCUAUAUUAUUGAUAGAUUUCCAAAUAUUGAUCUAAAUUUUGUUAUAUCAAAAAAGAAAAAAUAAAAACCAAAGUUUUUUACUACCGACACCUUUUUCCACUCUCCAACACUAGAGUCACCCACCUUUCUACAACAUAAUGGAUGUGAGACAAACACUUUUAAUAUUUUGCCAAAAAUUCUUACAAAAAUGAUAUUUUCAGUACGUGGAACCCUCCGUUUAAAAUUUGCAGAACUAGGAAGAUUUAGAAAAAGUCGUUUUAGAAAAGAGGUUAAUAUAAUUGCUAACCUGAGUAGUUAUCUCAAGGACAAGAGAUCUCGAAUUCAAAUCUUUCCACGCUUCCGUAUUGUAUUAUUUAAACAUAUCUUUAAAAAAACUUAAUUAAUUUGUAACCUAAAAAUAAAUAACAUUAUCUUUUUGUUUUCUUUUCAUACGAAGAUUAUAUUGCUGCUUAAGAACAAUAUACUUUACUAAAUUCUUUUGUUUGAGCAGACUAGAACAUACUGAUAUAUUCCAUGUUUCACAUUGUUGAACGACUUUAACUUUUACAUUCAUACAACUUUUGUACGAGCAUCUUAUUUUUGUUUCGAGUCAUUGACAUUCAACCUCGCCAGUUCCAAAAUAUGGGGCUGUUUAUUAAUUCUCUCUCUUUAGUUAGGAGGGUCUCUAUCUCUAAAUAAAAAGUUGUUUAAAUAAUUGAUCCUCAAUCUGCUUUUAAUAUACAUGUUAUUGACCAAGGUUAUAUAAAUGUUAUUAGUACAUAUUAAUCAAGAGUUCAAAAAUGUUAUGUAUUUUUUUCUUAAACUAAUAUUAUUUAAGGUAAUGUGAUCCCAAACCUUAAGUUACUUAAUGAAGCAAUGAAGAAGAAUAUAGCUAAAUAUAGUAGAUGCCUUUAUCUUUCUUUCUUUGAUCAUUUCGUCUUCAUCUUAUUCCAUUGCUAGAUUAGAUCUUGUUGAACUUAUAUCUAAUACCAUAAAUCUUUCUUCAUUUAUGCUUGAAUUAUUAAACUACAUUCUAUUUCCUUACCCGAACUUUGAAUACUUUAAAGAAAAAUAUUUAAAAAAGUAGAUUUUACAAAAUAUUUACGAACAUAUACCAAAUUCUAUCAUAUCAGUCAUAGAAUCUAAAAUUUUGCUAGUAAAUACUUUAUUUUAUUUUGUUAUUUUUAAAAAUGUUUUAUAUAUAAAACAUCGAUAUAAAAACAGUAAAAAGACUUUUAAAGACAGAUUUGUCCGGUUUUAAAUUAAAUGUAUUGAAUUAAAAAAUUAUUAGGUAAAUUGAUUUUUAAAAAGAGAAAUUUUUAGAAAUAGUAGAUUUUACAAAAUAUUUACAACUUAUAGCAAAUUCUAUCACUGAUAGUCAUUGAUAUGCUAUCGUGAUAGAAGACUAUCAUUGAUGGAAUCUAAAAUUUUGGUAUAGCUUGUAAAUAUUUUAAUUUAUUUUGCUAUUUUAAAAAAUGUUCCUCCCCAACCUAAAAGUUUUGUUUAAUUAAAUAAUUAGAGUAAUAAUAAGAAUUUAGCUUUAAUGAUUGGAAUAAAAAAACGGUUAAUAACUAAUUGAGUCCAAACUUACCGUAUAAACACACACAAGAUUGAAGAUCGAAAAUUGCUCGAAGAUGAAGAUGAAAAUUGAAAUUGUUCAUAGUAAAACAUUAUUUGUUAAUUUAUAAUUUUUUUUGUUAUAGUUUAUACUGUUUUUUUUGUUAAUAAUUCAACCGUUUAUAAUAUUUUUUGUGCAUAGAAACGUACAAAACUUUAUUUUCAUAAACUUUUAAUUUAUCCAAAAAAAAAUGAGAUGUGUUAUUUUGAUUUAAUUAUUUAGUUCAUUUUCUAUAAGAUAGAUGAAAAAAGGUGUGAUUAAUAAAGUUAGAAGUUUUUCUAAAAUCGUGAAUAAAAGUAAUUACAAUUGUUUACAAAUUUAAUUAUAUUAUAGCAAAUCAAAAAUAAAAAUAGAAAACCUGUUAGCAUUUAAAAUUUUAUAGUUUGUUACAUUUAUUAUAUAAAUGUGUUUGAAAUCGUAUUCAAAUAUACAUUUUCUUUCACAGAAAUUUGUUCAAAAUAAUAUUAUGUAGAUUUAUUGUAGCAGAGAUUUAUAGAGAAAAUGUCAAUAAAGCUGAUAAAUAAAAAAAGGGAUAAAAGUUCUAUUUUUUAAAAAAUGGAUCAUACUCGUUCACCCAUCGUUGUAUUGCAUAAAUUUACGAGCAUUUCCAAUCUUAUAAGUAUUUUUUUGAAGACUAAAUGUACAAUUGUAUUGAUACAAAAGCAUACAUGUAUGGUAAUACUUAGUGAAUUAAAAUUAUAGUUAUAAUACAUUGUGUGGACAUUUAAUUUUUUUUUAAGGAAAGGAGAAAUCUAAUUAGUAAUUUAAGAUAAUUAUCCAAAAUUAUAUAACUGUGAAUGCUUUGUAAUUAAAAUAAUAAAUAAAUUAGUUAUUUUCUAAUAUCAAAAUAAACUAAAAUAUUUAAAGUAUAGGAAAGUAUCACUUAUAGGUGUUGAUAGAUACAAUAAAUUUAUGAAUGUUUAUCAUUGAUUUACUAUGAAAAUUCUCUUAUAAUUAAAAAUAAUUUCAACCAUUUUAUUAUUGGGACACUUGCAAAAAUGACAAAACAAGUUAUAAUAAUUAAGUCCAUAACACACAAGUUUUAUUAUUUUCGAAGAUGGCAAAAACGAAGUCCAACCCACACAUCAAGAGGUAAAAUAUCACUAAUGUCUUUGUUACUAAUAUACAUCUGAUACACCUUAUACACGUCUGAUACACCUAAUACACCCCUUGAUACACCUAAUAUACCCCUUGAUACACCUGAUACUUCUUGAUACACCCGAUAUAUUUGAUUGAUACACUUGAUGCACCUAAUACUUUUUGAUACAUUCGAUACCUUUUGAUACACACCUGAAACAUUACUAAUAUAUGUUUGAUACACUGCAGAUACAUUUAGUAUUCUUCACUUAUACAAUUGAUUGAUUAAAUGCACUUGAUAUGCUUGAAGUCCUACUUAUAUACUUGAUAUAAUAUUGAUAUACACUUGUAAACUUGAUUCAUAUACUUGAUAAUGAUUCACUUUACUAAUAUGUUUUAACAAUAUAUUGUUAAUAUACUUGAUAAUGAUACACUGAGUUACAUCAUUCAUAUACUUAAUAAUACUCUAACGAACUACGUAAAGUUUGAAAAAACGAAAAUCAUGUAGUAAGUAUAUUAACCAACUAAUACAUAUAAUAUAAGUAUAUCACAACACUAUAUACGAAACUGAGAAAAAGUAAAACAAAAAAAUUAAUGUAAAAAAAUAAAACAAAAUCAUUUGGAAUCUAAUUCAACUCAAAAUACAUAUCGAAGGAAGUAAAAAAAAAAUCACAAAUGAAGUUAAUUACUCCGAUCAACAACCAUUAUAUUAUAUUUCAUAUUGCAAUUAUUGUACUAUUGAUAUUUUAAAAUUAAGAUUAAGACAAAAAGAAUAAAUUAUUUUUUUAGUAUAAGAAUAAACAAAUAAUUAGGGUCUUAGAAAGUGAGAGAAUAAAUAAAUAAUAAGUAGACAUUAAAUAGAGGAAGAGAAAUAAGUUAUUGAACGGUAAUUUAGGAAUAAUAACAAACUUAAGAUGAAGAAGUAAAAAUUUUGCCAUAUUUACAAAAUUCUAAAACAAUGUGCUAUAAUUGCUAUAUUAUAUUCUCGAAAUGUUAUCAUAAGGAAUUUUUAAAUAUUAUUUACAACUAUUUUUUAAAAUUAUAAUAUAUUACUUAUUUGUAAAUUCCCACCUAAAAGUUAACAUAGCUAGAUUAGGAGAUGAUUGCAAAUAUGAUUUUAGCAUUAUGGUUAUAAAAAUUUGAAGCAUACAUUUACAAAAUCACCAACUUUAUGUGUGUAUAUAUAUAUGACAAAUUAUGUGCAAUAGAAUCUUUAGAAUUUGAGUCUAAAAUCAAAAAUUUAUAAUAUAUAUGUGUGUAAAUUUUAAAAUAACUAAAUAUGCAUCUCAACUUCAAAUAUAUAUAUGUGACACAUAGAUAAAAUAUAUAUGUUAAUAGAAAAGAGAUUAGAAUUAAAAUAUGUAUAAUUUUUAGUAUUAUCUUUUUUUGCAUUGAACUGCAUUAUUUGUUAGGUAAUACUUUUUGUAGCAUAGUAAUAAGAUAGAUCACAUUUUGAUUUAUUAAAAGCUUUAUCCAACACAACAGAUAAAGCUAUACACACACUCAAGAGUAAGUAAAAGAAAAAUUAAGAAACACAAACACAAAUGACAUAAUAGUGGAUGAUGGAUAAUAUAGUGUGGUAUAGUGAUGAUGAAUUAUAUAAAUCAGAGAGGAAGAGGCUUGUUUUGAUAAUCAAACUUAAAGGUAUAGACUCCAGUGUAAAGGCCAUCAUCAUACUCUGUCUCAACUCUUCUUCCAUUUCGGAGAAGAUCUCGUUGCGUGUACGAAAACGGAAUAUCACAUUUGGCCUUAGUUGCAAGAAGAGUAACUUUCAUCCUUGUGUUUGGUGGUACAGGAACAGUAUAUGUUGCCGUUACUUCUCUACUUUCUGAAAUAGUUUCUCCCCAUGUGUAACUCGCUUCAAAAUUGUAGCUGACUUUAAUCUCAGUAUCUAAAAUUUCAGGAAUCCCAGCUUUAAUGGAAGUCUCUAUACCCACACCUACGGUGAGUGAAGAUUCCCAAGUUUUGGAUUUUUCUUCGAGGUACCUCAAACUUACAGCCAUAACCGUCUCCUUCGAGCUCGAGUUAACAGCCUCCUCCGUUGCCAUUGUUAGUACCUGUUCAUCGUAUAUCUUUGCAUCCAUAGUCCGAUACCGAAUAUUGUAGAUUUCCCUUGAAAUAAUUGGCUCAACGAUCUCCAAUUCUGCCUCCUUAGUGAUAGUUUCACUACUAGCAUUCAGAAAAUCCACCUUACCAUCACCAGUGUAUCUCGUAACAAACCUGCCAUUGGCAACGUUUCGAAGUGCGACUUUGUUUUUAGCAAUCUUGACGGGCCAGAACAAGGUGUUCUUGUCGUUCUUCGUCUGGUCGUUUGAGUCAGCCAGGAUCCAGUUUGGGUCACGUCUCCAAAACUUCUUCGUAGAUUCGUUCUUGAUUCUAACAGUUCCAUCACCAACGUUGAAAAUUUCGUGGCUCACCUGAGGGUUUCCAAUGUCAUUGGCAUUGAACUGCAGAUAUGGGGAAUUACGAUACGUAUAGGUAGCGAGAAACUUGUCAUUGUUCUUAAAGGAGAGGUAUUUAGGGAGUCGGAUGAUGUUUUCAAAGUCGACUAGCACAACUAAUUUGUCGUCGUGUCGUUUUUCAUCGCGUCUAUAUCUAGUUGUGAGAACAUCAGGAUGAAUUCUGCUACUGGUACAUCGACGUGCAUAGGUUUGAAGCAAGACAUCAAAUAAAUAGUAAGUCCCUGUAGUAGGACCAGGGAUGAAAUUAAACAAUGUGCAUGGCCAUGAGGAUUCAUUUUCACUCGGCUUGCUAACGAAGGGAGUAACGAAGCGAUUGUGGUCGUUGGAAGAGGCCAAGUACUUGUCGUUGUAGCAACAUUUUAUGUGCCAAUAUUUACCAUCCUUGUCGGGCACAAUCUCAAACUUUGUAAAUGGGGUCAAAGCUUGAUCGGAAGAGUAUUGUAGGUUACCCCUAAGAAAACCAUCAGAAAGGUAUUGAAGGUACUUUCCUUCUACGUGGUUCUGGAAUCCUGCAUAUUUGGGGAGAAACGACAUUGUUAACGGAGAGAGAUGGUAAAUAUGAGUUUUCUUCUUCUCAAUUACACACUUCUCAAGGUGGUGAGGAACUGAUGCCCAGUCCCCAAACCUCUUCUCUUUAUAUACAUAUAUGGAUAACUAAUAUUAAUUAUUAUAUUUUGCAUGAAUGGGACGAUACAUCGCUUAUAUGGAUAAAUCAGAAUAUAUACUUACUUCACUUUUUUGUUUGUUGACUAGAUAAUCUCAACUUUUUACUUUGUGUCAUUCAUAAAUAUCUCUAAAGUACCGUAAAAAAGUUCAAAAAAAUAAUCUUGCUGCUUUUUAGUGUGUCCAAAAGUUUUCGAUUUUUUUAGUUGUAGUAUUUCUUCUAUACCGCUUAGUUUUUUAGUUGUAGUAUUACUUCUAUACCGCUUAGUUACUUACGUGUGUUUUUAUAAUCUGUGCAUAACUUUUCGAGUUUCUUUCUAGCAUGUUUUGUACUUUUCCAUUGAUUAUUGAUAUCGUAUUUGGUCUUAAGAUGGAAUGAAGGGUGUUAUAGAGAUGUUAACCGAGUUGAAAUAUCUUGGUAUAUUCCAUGAUCCCUCUCUCUAGUUGGAUACUAAGUGCAUUGUAGUACAAUUUAAAAAGAUAACUUAAAUAUAAAUGGUUAAUAAAAUAACUCGUGAAAUUAAAAAAAAAUCAUUAAAAAAAUGAGUUAUUUAUAAAAGAAAAUUAAAAAGAAUCUUUUGAAUAAAAUAAUAACAAGAUUUGAAAUCAAAAUAUUUGUGUACUAUUAUAUGUUAAAUAUAUUAUCACAUAUUAAAUAAAAUAUAAUAUUUUAUGAUAGCAAAUUAAGUAUGAUUAAGUGUUUGUAUUUACAUCUAUGGAUAUAACUAUUAUUUUGGAAAGUUAGUGUAAUACGUAAUUAAGGGUGGAGGGAUAGUUUGAACCCACGGGGAUACACGUUCCUGUAUUAUUGUUAUUGUUAUUAAUUUAAAUAAGUCAAUCAACUAGCAAUGGAAUAAUUAAGAUCAAAAGGAAAUGAUGAAAGAAGGAUAAAGGCAUCCAUCAACUCAAUAAACUUAAAAGAAAUGCUCGUAUAAAAAGUUAAAGUCAUUAAACAGUGUGGAAUAUGAUUGAUUCGUAUAGAGUUGAUGGAUGCAAAGAUAUAGAGAACCAAUCAGCUUAUCUAUAGGUUUUGAUGGUUACACACUGCAAAAUUAAUUUUCACUAACCAAAAUGUUGCAAAUUUUUAAGUAUUAGAAAUAUAUUAUUAUAUACUUUUAAGUUUAUUCAUUUUGUAGUUGGAGAGAAUGGAAAAAAAAAAGUGAGUAGUCAAUAAAGUUUUGGGAGAUUUUUUUUUUAAUUACUGUGUUUUUGUUAGCUUUUUGUUUUCUAUUUUUUGUUUUUCUUUCAGUUAUUAUAUCGUUAAUUUUUUUUGAAAUAUACAAAAAAAAAAAAAAAACUAAAAUAUUUACAAAAUCAAAUUAAAAAGUCCAUGAACCCAACCGUAUAUUUCUUUUAUAAAAUAUUUCAUGUUUGUCUAGCCACUUUCAUUCUACUUUUCUAUCUUCUCUUCGGAUCUAUGUUUCCAAUCAAUCAUAAAUUUUGUAUUUUUUUUUCCAAAGUGUUAUUUGAUUCAAGAUCGUGUACCAAGGUACACAAUCUUGAACAAAAAUCUUUGAGAUAUUGGUACAUGAUAACUUAGAUUUAGCUACACGAUCGUGUAACAAAUCUAAAAGAUAUUGGUACAAGAUCGUGUGCCAAAUAUAAAAUAUAUUGAAAAAAAUCGUUCGAAUAUUGGUGUCGUCACGUGCACGAGACGACACAGAGAGACCGACAUCCUAACAAUGUGUUAGUUUUAAAACAAAAUAAAAAAAAAAAAAAGUUGCCACCAAUUUUUUUUACGAGGUGAUUGAACACCAAAAUAAAAUAAACAAAAUUUAAAUAAAAUCAUAAAAAAAUGGUUGACAAACAUUAGACUUGAGUUUGUGAGUCAAUUGUGCAUGAGGAAAGUGUCACACCCAAAACACCCAUUCAGAAAACGGUGGCAAAAUUGUAAAUAUUGAAUUGAAAAUAUUCUUUAAUUUCUUUUAAAAUUAAUAUCUUAUUUUACCCCCGACUACUCUCAUAUUUGAAGUAACGAUCUCAUAAAAUAAGUGGAAAGCAUUCCACCACACUAUAUUCAUGAAAAAAAAUUUCUCAUCCUCAAAAAUUAGUACAAUUUCUCAAAAUCUAUCCUAGGCAUUGUCUUCUAAUUAUAAAGUGAUUUUUUUCUAGGACAUUAAUUAAAAGUAAUUUUUCUUGGAUCAAAUCUCGAACUCCCAAAAAUUCCAAGAGUUUUAUGAUUUUGUUUAAGAAAAACGGUAUAAGUUAUUAUAAAAGAUUGAUUAGAAAAUUUUAUGAAAUCACAAAUUAAAUUUUGAAGGUUCGAACAACAUAAAAAAAAAAUGAUAACUUGAAAAGAUUUUUUUUUUUCUAAAAUCACUUUUAGAAAAAGAGUUUUGUGAAAGAUUUUUAAACCUAUAAAAAUUUAAAGUAGAAGGAUUUUAAAAUAUUGAAAAUUUUAAAUAGAAAGAUAUAUCAAUUUUGAAUGGAAAUGAAAAUGAGGCUUAAUAGAAAAAUUAGAUAAGUAAAAACAAAAGUAAAGAAACGUCAUAAUAAAUUAAGCAAACAUAUUAAAAUAGCUUAAUGAGAUUUUAGUAAAAACAUUGUUGAGCAAGAAAUUUCGGCCAAUUAAAUUCUGCCACAUCAUCCCAACAAAUAUUUGUCAAAUAAGUAGAUUAGCCAAGUCUAAGCUCAACAAGUAGAUGGGCCUAAGCCCAAUAAAGCAAAUGGGCCCAAGCUCAAGUUUAAGCUUAAGUCCAAGCCCAACAGCCCCACAAGCAAAUGAGUCCAAGCCCACCUAAAGCCCACAAAUUUUCUCUAUAAAUAGAAACCUUUGUCAUUCAUUUGAGAGGUCUUUUUUGUUGAAGGAAGAAUUGAAGCUCUGAAGUACUGAAAUUGUGAAGAAUUGAAGAUUCAAACUUCUAUAAAAAAUUGAAGAUUCAAACUUCUAUAAAAAAUUGAAGAUUCAAACUUCUAUAAAGCUCUCAAGACGUGCAAGUUCUUAUCAACUUCGAGAUCAUCAUCUUCUGAAAGAUUGAAGACUUGGAAGAUCAAACUUUCCUUGAAUUCCAGAAGAUUGAAGCUUAAAUAGACUUGCAACUACAACAUCCUAAAGACCGAAGAUCAAUAAAUUCUAAAUUUUUAACUUGUAUUCGAGAGAAAGCAUCAAAUGAGUAAAUACUAGAGAUUGUAUUUACAAUAUUCAUCAAUAUACAAAUUUCAAUUCCCCGAAAUACAUUUUUUCGAAAUCUCGUGUGAACAAACAUAUUGGAGAUCGACCUCAAACUUUCAAAUAAUCGAUUUUCUCAUCUCAAGAAUUCUAGAAAAACGAACUCUCUAAUUUUUUAGAUUCCAUCGUUGAGUGUUUUUUAAAAGAAAACUAAUUAAAAAUAUUAAAAUAUUAAACAGCGAAAAUGUAAAAUAAACAAUAAUCUAUAAAUAAAAUAAAAUAUAAUGCAAAACUAUUAGAAAAAGAAAGAAGAAAGUAAGAAUAAAUAAUGAUUAAAAAAAUUGAUAAACAAGGUAUGAAAUAACGUACAUCAACAAAUAAAUUUAUUAUAUAAAAAAGAAAAUGUAGAAAUAAGGUAAUAAAGAAAUAAUUAUAAGAGUAGAAAAAUGGAGAAAUAAGAAUUAGAAAAAUAAACAAAUAUGGAGAGAAAAAAUAAACGUAUAUAAAAAUAAGAAAAUAUUAAAAAAACAAUAAUCAACUUUAUGAAAAGAGAAUAAAAGAACUAGAUAUAAAAUGCUAAUUAAAAAGAAAUAAAUAUAAUAUAGAAAGAAGAAGAAGAUAUACAACAAAAUGUAUAAUAAAAAAAAUUAUAUAUAAAAGAGAAGUUCAAAAGAUAAUAUAAAAAAAAAUAGGAAAAUUAGAAAAACAAUAACUAAAAAAUACAAAAGAAAAAAUUAAAAAAAAAGAAUUAAAACAAUGAACCCUCUUGCUGUUUAAAGCGUAGAUUAUUGAGAAUUAAAUCAUACCAUACACAUCUAAUGAUUAAGUUAGAGAUUUUACUGUAUGUUGGUUUUUCGACACUUUUAGAAAAAUAUGAUAUUUAGGGGUUUGUUACGCGAGAAAACAAAAUAGAUGUUGUAGAUUUUUGUUUCUUAAAGAAGAGAUUAAGGGUAAGAGAAGUAGUGACUAUGAAAGUUAGAGGUUUUGAUGAAGAAGAGAGAACGGUACCGAUAUCUCUAGGGUUUUUUUUGUGUGACCUUCUCCAUUGGUGGUGUUUUUUUCAUGAAAGAAGAAUAAGAGAAUAUUUAUAUAUAGCAAAAAAUAAAAAAGCUUAUUCAAAAAGGCUAAAUAUUUCAAAAUUAUUUCUCCACGUAACUUAAUUAUGCUAAUUAAUUGAUUUAGUUAUUCUAAUGACCAAGCAACCACAUAACACAUAACUUUUAAAAUGAGAGGAUCUAAAUUUCUAUUAUAUCACACUGCAUUUGCUAAUACUUUUAAGUCUUACAGAGUGGCAUAGUAAUAAGAUAGAUAUUUUUAUUUAUUUCAAGCUUUAUCAAAGACAAGUGAUAAUAAAGCUACACACUCAAAAGUCAAAAGAAAAGUUAAGAAACACACAAGAUGACAUAGUGGACGAUGGAUACAGUGGUAAGCGGUAUGGUGAUGGUGAAUUAUUUAGAAUGAAGAGGGUAAGGCUUGUUUUGAUAAUCAAACUUAAAGGUAUAGACUCCAGUGUAAAGACCAUCAUCACACUCUAUCUCAACUCUUCUUCCGUUUCGGAGAAGAUCUCGUUGCGUGUACGAAAACGGAAUAUCACAUUUGGCCUUUGUUGCAAGAAGAGUAACUUUCAUCCUUGUGUUUGGUGGUACAGGAACAGUAUAUGUUGCCGUUACUUCUCUACUUUCUGAAAUAGUUUCUCCCCAUGUGUAAUUCGCUUCAAAAUUGUAGCUGACUUUAAUCUCAGCAUCUAAAAUUUCAGGAAUCCCAGCUUUAAUGGAAGUCUCUAUACCCACACCUACGGUGAGUGAAGAUUCCCAAGUUUUGGAUUUUUCUUCUAGGUACUUCAAACUUACAGCCAUAACCGUCUCCUUCGAGCUCGAGUUAACAGCCUCCUCCGUUGCCAUUGUUAGUACCUGUUCAUCGUAUAUCUUUGCAUCCAUAGUCCGGUACCGAAUAUUGUAGAUUUCCCUUGAAAUAAUUGGCUCAACGAUCUCCAAUUCUGCCUCUUUAGUGAUAGUUUCACUACUAGCGUUCAGAAAAUCCACCUUACCAUCACCAGUGUAUCUCGUAACGAACCUGCCAUUGGCAACGUUUCGAAGCGCGACUUUGUUUUUAGCAAUCUUGACUGGCCAGAACAAGGUGUUCUUAUCGUUCUUCGUCUGGUCGUUUGAGUCAGCCAGGAUCCAGUUUGGGUCACGUCUCCAAAACUUCUUCGUAGAUUCGUUCUUGAUUUUAACAGUUCCAUCGCCGACGUUGAAAAUUUCAUGGCUCACCUGAGGGUUUCCAAUGUCGUUGGCAUUGAACUGCAGAUAUGGGGAAUUACGAUACGUAUAGGCAGCGAGAAACUUGUCAUUGUUCUUAAAGGAGAGGUAUUUGGGGAGUCGAAUGAUGUUUUCAAAGUCGACUAGCACAACUAAUUUGUCGUCGUGUCGUUUUUCAUCUCGUCUAUAUCUAGUUGUGAGAACAUCGGGAUGAAUUCUGCUACUGGUACAUCGACGUGCAUAGGUUUGAAGCAAGACAUCAAAUAAAUAGUAAGUCCCUGUAGUAGGACCAGGGAUGAAAUUAAACAAUGUGCAUGGCGAUGAGGAUUCGUUUUCACUCGGCUUGCUAACGAAGGGAGUAACGAAGCGAUUGUGGUCGUUGGAAGAGGCCAAGUACUUGUCGUUGUAGCAACAUUUUAUGUGCCAAUAUUUACCAUCCUUGUCGGGCACAAUCUCGAACUUUGUAAAUGGAGUCAAAGCUUGAUCAGAAGAGUAUUGUAGGUUACCGAAAAGAAAACCAUCAGAAAGGUAUUGAAGGUACUUUCCUUCUGUGUGGUUCUGGAAUCCUGCAAACUUAGGAAGAAACGACAUUAUUAACCGAGAGAGAUGGUAAAUAUGGGUUUUCGUCUUCUUAAUUACACACUUCUGAUGCCCAAUACCCAAAUCUCUUCUCUAUAUAUACACAUAUGGAUAACUAAUAUUAAUUAUUAUACUAUGCAUGAAUGGGACAAUACAUCACCUAUAUGGAUAAAUGGGAAUCUAUACUUACUUCACUUUUUUGUUUGUUGUCUAAAUACUUUAAAUCAAAAGUAUUUCUAAAGUACUUUAAAAAGUUCAAAAAAAUAAAUUUACUAGCUUUUUGGUGGGAACUUUUUUUUCCUUCUUUUCAUUUUGUUUGAAUGGUAGAAUUUCUUCUAUAUCACUUAACUGGCAUGCGUCUUUGUAAUCUAUGCAUAACUUUUCGAGUUUCUUUCUAGCUUUCUUUGUACUUUUUCAUUUAUUAACGACAUUGCUUUUGAUCGUAUGAUGGGAUGAAGGAUGGUAUAGAGAUUGUCAAGCCAGUUUAGAUUUAGAUUUGGUGCACCCAUGAUCCUUCUUGCCUAAAUUUUUUAAAAAAUAUUACUAGUUUCAUACCAUGUAAAAUUUAUAAAGAUAAUUUAAAUAUAAAUGUUUAAUAACAUAACUAUUAAAAAAGUUAUCAUAAAAAUAAUAUAUUCACAAAGAGAUUUUUUAAAAUAAAAUAAUAAUCAAGUUUUUAAAUGAAAGGUAACGAAAAUAAAAAUAUCAUUUACAACCCCACAAAACCAUAAUAAUUUUGAAAACGAAAAAAUUGUAUACUGUUAUAUGUUAAAUAUAUUAUUACAUGUUAAAUAAAAUAAAUAUUAAAUUUUUUACCGUAACAAACCAAGUAUGAUUCAUUUUUAAUAUUUAAAUGUAUCAAUAUAACUAAUUAACCUAUCUUGAAACUAAUAAUAUCUCAUUCAAAAUUUUACUUAACAAUAAUUUUAUAUGAAUGAUUUUAUAAAUAUUAAUUUCAAAUUCUUAUCUAAAUAAAAAAUAUUAAUUCUUUUAUCUUUUUAUACAAAAAAUGAUAAUCCUCCUCUCUUAAAGAAAAAAGAAAAAUUAAGAUGCUCGUACAAAAGUUGUAUGAAUGUAAACGUUAAAGUCAUUCAACAGACACCAUUUAUUCAUAUGAAGUUGAUGGAUAUAAGAUAUAGAGAACCAAUCACUCUAUCCAUAGGGUUUAUGGGUACACAAAACUCCAAAUUAAUUUUCACAUACUAAAAUGUUGCAAAUUUUAAAGUAUAUGAAUAUAUUAUAUACUUUAAGUUUAUUCCUUUUAUAUUCCCCUUAUUGGAGAUAGGGUAAAAACAAAUGUAAGCAGUCAAAAGUUUGGGAGAGUUUUAUUUAUUAUUAUUAUUUUAAUAAUUAGAGUGGGAGAGGAAAAUUAUUGAGUGUGAUUAAGGAUUGUUUUAUAAAUAGAAGAGAUUGAAAUGAUAAUUUUGUUAUAUGCAACCAUUUAUUUGGUUGUGAAUUUAAGAAUGCAUGUAAUGUUUAUAAUUUUUUACAACAAAAUUUAAUGGGAAAUGAAGAAAAUAACAAUUUAUUGAUUUGUUUUUGUUUUUGAAAAGAUAAAAAGAAAAAUAAAUCACAAAUGAAUGGAUAGGUUGAAGUGGUGGAUAAUUGUUUGAUAUUUUGUUCCACAUUUUUGGCUUUAAUUCCAACCACUUGUAAUUCCGCUUGCACUUUUACUACUAAAAAAAUAAAGAAAAAAAGUUGAUGUUAAUGAGUUGAUAGAGGUCUUUAUCUUUCUUCCAUCAUUUCAUUUUGAUCUUUAAUUAUUCCAUGACUAAAUUUGGUUCCAUUUUUUUUUCAACUUAUUUAAAUUAAUAACAAUAAUAUAAAAAAUAACAAUAAUUUGCAACCUUGAGAUCGAUUGAAUUGACAGAUGUUUACCAAUUAUAAAAAAAAUUGAGAAAUUAUUUACCAAUUAUAGACAAAAAUUUAUUGGGUAAAUAUUUUGUUAAAUAUUCUAUUUUCGAAAAACUUUUGAAAAAGAAAAUCUAUCUAAAUUCACAUUUUUUUUAAAUAAGGUAAAAUUUGAAACAUAUUUCUAAAAUAGGUUGUUGCAAAACUACUUUUAAAAAUAGGUGAUUUGAGUCCCAUGAAAUGGAUCCCACCUCUUCUAUUUUUUCUUAUUUUUAUAUAUAUACUACAUUGGGUCCCACAUGUUUUUAUUUUCUAAUUAUUUGUAUAUACGGGUCUCACACAUUUCAUUUUUCUCUGAUAGUAAUAAUAAUAAUGAGAAGAAGUUAUUGUUAAACAAAAUAAUAAUAAUAAUAAUAAAUCAACAAUGCACAUUACUAAUUGAAUAAAUUUUUUUUAAUAUAUAUAUAUUAAAUAUUUCAAUCUUUAAUUUUUCUUAUUAAUUCAUCUUUUUUAAUUUAAUUAAUUAUUACUUAACCAAAAUUAUAUAUCUUUUUCUUAUUUUGUGUUUAAAAAAACACAUAAAUUAACAAAAUAUGUUAUUAAAAAAUAUAUUAAACAAAAUAAUAAUAAUUAAAAGAAGUGGAAGCUUACUCUAAAAAUAAUAAUAAUAACAAAUUUGCAAUAGAAAAUUAUUCGUUAAGUUUUUAAUUUGUAAUCGAACCAAUUCUUGUUUUUUUCUUUUGACAUGAACUUUUUUUUUAUUCAAUUACCAAUGUGCAUUGGUGGCUACAAGUGUUAUUAUUUUUUUUAGUAACUUCAACUUCUCUCCAUUAUUAUUACUACUUUUAUUUGUUUAAUAUAUUUUUAAUAACAUAUUUUUUUGUUAGUAUAUGAGUUUUUUUAAAAAAUAUUAAAAAUUGGAAAAAAAAAUGUAUAAUUUUGAUUAAGAAAUAAUUAAAUUAAAUUAGAAAAAUGAAUUUAAUAAGAAAAGUUGAAGAUUGUGAUAUUUAAAUAUAAAUAAAGAAAUAAAUAAAAAAUAAAGAAAUAAAUUAAUUUAAUAAAGAAAUAUAUUUUUAGAAUUUGAAUGUUUAAUAUAUAUAUUAUUAUAUGUGGGUAUAUAUAUAUAAAUAAUAAGAAAAAGUGAAAUGUGUGGGACCCACAUAUAUAAAUAAUUAAAAAUAUAAAAAAUGUGAGGCCCAGUGUAGUAUAUAUAUAAAAAUAAGAAAAAAAUACAAGAAGUGGGGUCCACUUCAUGGAAGUCUGUAUACAGGGUAUACGACUUCACCUAUUUUAAAAAAUAGUUUUGCAACAACUUAUUUUUGAAAUAUGUUUCAAACUUUACAUUAUUUUUAAAAAUGAUCCUUAAAAUAACAAAGCACAUUCUAUUACUUUGUCUCUCGUCUUUGAUAAAGCUUAAAAUAAAUAAAAAUGUGGUAUAUCGAUGAUGAAUAUGGAUGAGAGAGGGAGAGACUUGUUAUGAUAAUCAAACUUAAAGGCAUAGACUCCAGUGUAAAAGACCAUCAUAACACUCUGUAACAACUUUUCUUCCAUCCCGAAGAAGAUCUCGUUGCAUAUGAAAACGAAAUAUCACAUUUGGCCUUAGUUUAGUUGCAAGAAGCGUAAAUUCUCCCUAUAAGUAAUUCAUCUCACUUUCUAAAAUAUCAGGAAUAAUCCCCCGCUUUAAUGGAAGUCUCUCUACCCAUACCUACCCUUACCUAGUGCUUUUGAACUUUUAGCUCCUUAGGAAUAUUUUGUGGAUAUAAGCCCAUUUGAAAGUGUGGGAAUAACUCUUUUCUAAAAGAGUUAUCUCUUUGUAAAAGACAUAUAGUUAAAUCUGUAAGUUUUAAUUUCUUGUCUAACUAGAGUUUAGCUAAAGGUGAUAGGGUAGUCUAUAAAUACUCUUGUAUCUCUUUGAUAUUUUGCACACACAAAAAAUUGAAAAGAAAUAAUACCUUGCUCUCUAAAGCACAGUGGACGUAGGCCUUGUCGAACCACUUUAAAACAUCGUGUGUUCAUCUUCUCCCUCUUACUCUCUUCAUCUUCUCUUCAUCUCACCAUAAUCCAAAACAAGAGAAAUAAGAAAACAAGAAAUACAGUAUAGAAAGAAAAAACAAGAAAAUCUUGAGAGUUUUUUCAAUCCUCUGUAAACGUAGAUCUAUAUGCAAGUGAAAUGAGAGGGAAAAGUAAAACACAAGUUAUGCAAUUAGGUGGCUUUCCUGUGUUCAUACAAGUGGCUAUCCCUUGAGAAAGGGUUAAUCUUUUUAAUCUUCAAUGGAAAUUAUCCUUUAUAAAGAAUUUUCAUGGACAACUUGGGUCCAUUUACUUGACGGAUUUGUGUAUGGGCUCAUUUUGCUUAUUGGACUUGAACGAACUUUGACUUUGAGUUACACUAUUUUAUUUGGUCCAAAUUUCUAUCAUGGGCCUGAAUUGAAUUGGAUCUAAAUAUUGUCAAAUUUGAGAGUGGCCACAAUCUAGUUGGGGUUAAAAAACCCGAACCAAAUCGAAGAACUUACCUGACUUGAUUCGGUUCGGUUCGGGUUGGAUUGGACUUCAACAGUAUUGUUACCGAAUUGAAUUGGGUCGGUUCGGUUCAAAUGUAAAACAAAACUUUAAAUUGAAAUUAAACCCUAGUUUGCCAUUCGUGCGACUUCCUCCAUCUGCGCCAUUCUUCGUUCCUGGCCGUUCUUCGUUCGUGGGUCUUCUAUCUUCCGUCUUAUGCUCACGUGGGUCUGAAAAAAGAGGAAGAAAAGUUUUGUCUUUCGCUCACAUGGUUCUAAAAAAAGGGAAAAAAGUUCUGUCUUUUCUAUGAUCUGACAUCUGUUAAAAAUAAUACAAAGUUGAAGAAGUUGUUGAUUGUUCUCUUGGUCAAAAGAAGAAGGGGAGGAAACAGAAGAGGAGAAGGGGGGAGAAAACAGAGGAGAAGGGGGAAGAAAACAGGAGAGAAGGAGGAGGAAAGAGGAGAAGAGAAGAAGAGAAGAGAAGAGAAGGGAAGGGGGAAGAAAGAGAGGGAAAAAUGAAAGAGAAGGAUGAAGAGAAAAGAGAGAAUGAAAGAGAAGGAUGAAAGAGAAAGAAUGAAAGAGAAGGAUGAAAAUAAAGAAGAAGAAAACAGUUGAGAAGGGGAAGAAAGAGGGAAGAGAUAGUGUCAAGAGUGUUUUUAAUUUAUUUUUUAAAAUCAAUUGAAUAAACAAAUUUAUCAUUUUAAAAAAAACCCAACCUGGUUUGGGUCGGGUUGAUUCCUAAUAUUGAAAGAUCUGCAUAUUUUGGGUCGGGUUUUAAGGAAAAUCGACCCGGCCCAGUCUAAUUACACCCCUACUAUCUAGGCUAUUUGAUUGAAGAGAAACAACAGAAUUUUCAACAAUAAAUAUGCAAGCACUAUAAAUAUAUGGGAGAAUAUAUGCAAUUUCACUAGCUCUUGGUCAUCGAGAAACAAUUUUUUUAUGAUUAUUCCCACGGCUAUUUCGCUAAAUUGCACUGCUUUUACUUUGACUUAUUCUAUUUAUUUUGUUCAGGGCUUACUUCGAGCCCUUAUUUUGAUCACCAUCAUGUACCUUGUGCUUCAAUGAAUGAAAUAUUUAUGGAGAUGACAAGGGUAUUAAAAGAGUGUCCACCAAGUGGGAUGCUUUGGUGCACCUAUUGACCCAAGUCGUAUCCUUAAAAAAAAAGAAUUAGAUCUAAAAAUUUUAAUUACCUAAACCAAAUAAAAUUAUAAUUAUCAUACAAGAACCUGUUUUUUAUGAGAUAAUGUGGCAAAAUUUAAUUGAUCAAAAUUUUCGUCCUAACAAAUCCUUGAUUUGGUGGUAUGAGUUAUUUGAUGUAAUUUUACUUUAAAAAUUAAAUUAAAAAUCCUCCAUUAAUCUUCACCUUGGUUUUAAAAAAUUACAAAAAAGAUUUAUGUUUAUAUUCAUAUACUAAAUAAUUUAGAGUUUCUCAUAUUCGAAAAAAAACAAUAUUGUUUUAGGAGCAUUAUUAAAAUUAAAAAAAUAAAUUAAAAUAUUUACAAGCUAUAGUAAAAUUUUAAAUUCUUUGAAUAAUAAUCUUCUUGACUAUCCGCGAUAAAAUUUUGUUGAUUAUAAAUAUUUUAUAAAUUUUUUCAUUUUUUUUAAAUUUCCAUUUUUUAUUGCAAUAAACUUCAAAAUUAAAAAAAAAAUAUAUAUGAUUGCAAAUGUAAACCCACGAAAAUAAGAUUUUAGGGUUUCUCAAAUAGACAAAAUAAUAUUUUGGUUUAAAAUUAGAAUAAAUUUUAACAAAAUAAUGUUUUUUUUUGAAAAAAUCAUGCUAUCUAAAAGACAUAUGAAAGAAGAUUUUAAAAAACAUAGACAUUUUAGAAAGGACCCUUCCAAAAUUAGGAAAAAAAUUAUGACAAUAGGACUCAUGUCACCACACUUUCUAAAUUGUAAAAUUGGCAAAUAUAAAAGUUGAUAACCAUAGGAUUACCGUGUGAUAGCCCUAUGAUUACUGUCUGAUAGCCGUCUAAUAUCCUAUAUGCGCAAUAUAAAGAAGAAAAAAAAGUGUCAUUAACUAUUUUUUUCUAAAUGUUUUUUGUGAUUUGAUGUAAUUUUUUUUAAAAAAAUAACAAAAUAGCAAAACUAUUUAUAAAAUGUAACAAAAUUUAUCAAACUAUCUAUACUUUGUUUAACUUUUCUUUUGCUAUUUUUGAAAACGGUACCUUCUAUUAAGAAUUUAAGCAUAAGAGAAAAAAAAGUAGAAAAAAUAACUUUUACCCUCUCUUUCAUCUUAUUCCAUUAAUUAGAUUUGAUUAAGUUGAACUUAUCUAAUACUAUAAAUCUUUUUCAUGUAUGCUACUUUAAAAUAUUAAAUUAGAUUCUAUUUCUCUAAACUUUUAACAUUUUAAAUCAUGAGAAAAUUACAAACGUGCGUGAAGUAUCUGUCUAAUGAAGAUGUUCUGAUGCACCUAUUGAUCCAACUAUAUCAUUUUAAAGAAAAACAAUCAUGCCUAUAUAUUAUUAAUAUAUUUUUUCCCAUAUAACAAAAUUUGGAUUCAACUUUCUAAGUCUACCAAUAAUAUAGACCACCGAUAAAAGUCUAUCAUCUCUAAUAAAUUUAGCUAUAUUUACAAUUCUAUAUACUCAAACAAAAUUUUGAUGGACAUAUAUACUCACUUUCUACUAUUGUUCAUGUGCUUUUAAAUUGCUAUCUUUGUUCUUAUUUUUCUAUGCUCUCUAAUUUUUAUUGGCUAGUAGUGUGAGUGUGUAGUACUCCAUUUAAUAGCAAACAUUCUCAUCUCACGUAAUGUAGAAUUUUCUUUUUGGUCUGAGUAAUUUUGUUUAAAGCAUUAGAUAAAGAAUGAGAUACCAUAUGUAUUUAUUUAUAAUUUAUUUUAUAUAUUGUAUGUAAUCAAAUCAUCACAUAAAUAUUUUGCAUUUUUGGAGAAAAAAAAACUAUUUACAAUUCAUACAAAUUUAUAGAAUAAAUACUUUGUUAAUUUUUUUUUUAUUUUCAACAAAUUUUCUAAAUAAAUUUUAUAUUAUCAUGAUAUUUUUAGAUAUUGGUUUAAAUCAAAUAUUACAAUUAAAAGCAAAUCAUCACAACAAAAAAAAAAAACAAUUAUUUUUUAUUUUGUUUUUGUGUGCAAAAGUAAAAGAAAUUAAUAUUUGUUAGGGAAAACUAUUCAUUUAGAUCUAAGUUUGCAUGAAUAUAUGUUUUUGAUGGUAAGUUUUAAAAAUGAACAUUUUUAGUCUCACGUUUAUAACAAUAGUCUCAUUUCGUUUUCAAGUUUUAAAAAAUACCUCUUUGAUUAUUGAGUUUUAAAAAUUAGGUUUAUAAGGUUUUAAAAUAUUUUGUGCUUGAUUUUUUUAAAAGUAAUUAUCUUAUAUUUAAAAUUUUAAAAAAUAGUUUUAGGAAUGAUAUGAUUUUUAGAAGUGAUGCUUAUAAUUUAAAAUAUCAUAUAAUUAUUAAAAAUAAAAGUAUAUUUGAGAUGCUCUACUAAAAAUGUACAUUUUCAAAACUAAGGACUAGAUGAAUCUAUUAUUUAUAAACAUUAAAAAAAAAAACUUACUUUUAAGACUUAGGGCUCAAACAGACAUAUUCAUACAAAACAUAGGACUAAAAAAAUAAUUUUUCCUAUUUUUUAUUUAGAUAAAAAGUUGAAAUUAAAUUUUUUUAAAAUCAUUCAAAUAUAAUUAUUCUUUAACUUAAAAGAUAAAUUUGAAUUAGAUGUUAUUAUUUUGAAAAUAGAUUAGUUAGUUACUAUAUUAAUAGAUUUAAUACUAAAAAAAUGAUUUUGAAUUACAUUUUCAAGUAUUUAAUUUAGAAAAUAAGUUAUUUUGAAAAAAAUAACUCAAAAUAGAUUUUUAAUUGUAUUCUAAACAAUAAAAAUGAGUUUGUCGAUAAAUAUUUUUUUAAUUUAAUCAACUGUAAAAAUUUAUACGUUAUUUAAAUAUUUAUUUUAUUGGGAGAUUUUCGAUGAUAGAAAAUAAAUUAAAAUAUCUACCAUUAUAAUAAAAUUUUGGAUUAUAUUAAUGAUAAAAAUUAAUAGGAGCAUAUUCGUGUCCAUCAACAAAUAUAAAACUUUGUUAUAUAUGUUUAAAUAUUUUGUCAAAUUUGUUAUUUUUGACGAUUUUCAGGUAUCUGGUUGUACAUAAUAAUUUUAUUGUUGUAUUCAAAAGAUUUUCUUUUUUUUUUAAAAAAACAAUUCUUAAAAAAAUUGUGUAUAAUUAUUUUUUAACUUCACGAGUUUCGUUAUUAAUAAUUUAUAUUUAAGAUAUUUUUUUGAAUUUUACCUAACAUGUAUGCCAUGCACUUAGUAUCAAACUAGUAUAUUUUUUUAAAAAAUAAAGCAAGAAGGGUCAUUGAGUGCACGAAGACAUCUCAACUGAAUUGACACUUCUAGAAUACUCUUCAUCCUACACCAAGACCAAAAGCGAGGUCAUUCCUCACGAAAAAAAGUAAAAACUGAGUCAGAGAGAAACUAAAAAAAUUAUGCAUAGAUUACAAACAUGCAUGCAAGUUAAGCAAUAUAGAAGUAAUGCUACAAAAAAAAUUUAAAAAGGAAAGUUUUUUACACACCAAAGAGCAGCAAGAUUAAGAAUAUCAAACAAAUUAUCCUUAAAAGUGUUAAACAAUCUAAAUACUUUUAAAUCUUUUUUAUAGUUUAGAGAUAUUUUUUAAAAAAACUGUAUGAAAUGACAAACAUUUAGAAAAAAAGUAGCCUAUGACAUUUCUUUUUAUAUAUUGCGAAUAUGACAAAUAUGACGACAAAAAGCUAUCAGAGAGUUAUCGACCUUUAAUUUUGUUAGUUUUGCAAUUUAGAAAAUUGAGUAACAUGAACCAUAUCAUCAUAAAUUUUUUUUGUUAUCGUUACAAGUGCAUCUAUUUUUUUUUUUGACACAAAGUAUAAAAUUUAAAUUACUUAGUCAACAAAGAAAAAAGUAAAGUAACUAAGGAUUCUCAAUUAUCCAUAUAAGUGAUUUAUGGUUGCUUAAUCAUGAAAAAUAUAAUAGUUAAAUGAGACAUUUUGAAAAAUAGUAAAUUAAAAUAAUUUAUAAACUAUUCCAAAAUCUUUGGAUUUUAUGAAACUAUGAAAUAGUACAUGAAUAUCAUUAUCUAUUAAAUGUUUGUUAUUGAUAGAAAUUAAAAUUUUGAUAUAUGUUAUAUAUAUUUUAUAAAAUUUGCUAUUUUUAACCAUUAUGUUGAAUUACUUCUUUCUUCUAAAAAAAAUAUGUAUAUAAAUAGAAGAGGUUGGGGUAUUCGCAUCAGUACUCACACCUUGAGAAGUGUAUCUAUAUAAGAAGAAAACUUAUACAUACUCACAAAGUCAUCUCUCUCUUUGCAUCUGGUGAAUCUAUAAUAAUGUCAUUCCUCCCUAAGUAUGCAGGUUUCCAGAACCACGCAGAAAGGAAGUACCUUGAAUACGUUCGUGAUGGUUUUCUUAAGGGUAAACUAAAAUACUCUUCUGAUCAAGCUUUGACCCCGUUUACAAAGUUUGAGAUUGUGCCCGACAAGGAUGGUAAAUAUUGGCACAUAAAAUGUUGCUACAACGGCAAGUACUUAGCCUCUACCAAUGACGGCAAUCGCUUCGUUGCUCCCUUCGUUAGCAAGCCAAGUGAAAACGAAUCCUCAUGGCCAUGCACAUUGUUUAAUAUCAUCCCUGGUCCUACUAUAGGGACUUACUAUUUAUUUGAUGUCAUGAUUUACACCUAUGCAUGUCGAUGUACCGAUCGCAGAGUUCAUCACGAUGUUCUCACAACUAUAUAUAAUCUCGAGGAAGCACGAGACAGCGACAAAUUAAUUCUGUUAGUCGACUUUGAAAACGUCAUCCGACUCCCCAAAUAUGUUGCCUUUAAGAACAAUGAUAAGUUACUCGCUUCCUUUUCGUAUAAUAAUUCCAUGUAUCUGCAGUUCAAUACCGAUGACAUUGGAAACCCUUGGGCGGCCCACGAAGUUUUCAAUGUCGGCGAUGGAACUAUUAGAAUCAAGAAUGAUUAUACGAAGAAGUUUUGGAGACGUGACCCAAACUGGAUCCUAGCUGACUCAAACGACCAGACGAAAAACAACAAGAACACCUUGUUUUGGCCAGUCAAGAUUGCUAAAAAUAAAAUCGCGCUUCGAAACGUUGCCAAUGGCAUGAUCUGUAGGAGAUAUAGUGCUGAUAGUAAGGUGGAUUGUCUGAAUGCUCGUGCUGAUUCUAUCAUUAAGGAUGCAGAAUUGGAGAUCGUUGAGCUAGUUAUUUCAAGGGAAAUCUACAAUAUUCGGUAUCGGACUAUGGAUGCGAAGAUAUACGACGAACAGGUACUAACAAUGGCAACAGAGGAGGCUAUUAACUCGAGCUCGAAAGAGACGGUUAUGGCUGUAAGUUUGAAGUACCUAGAAGAAAAAACUAGAAGUUGGGAAUCUUCACUUACCAUAGGUGCGGUUAUAGAGGCUUCCAUUAAAGCAGGGAUUCCUGAAAUUUUAGAAAGUGAGAUUAAAGUCACCUACAGUUUUGAAGGGAAUUACACAUGGGGAGAAACUCUUCAAGAAACUAGAGAAGUAACGUCAACAUAUACUGUUACUGUACCACCAAACAAAAAGAUGAAAGUUUCUCUCCUUGCAACUAAGGCCAAAUGUGAUAUUCCGUUUUCGUACACGCAACGAGAUCUUCUCCAAAAUGGAAAAAAAGUUGAGAUAGACUGUGAUGAUGGUCUUUACACUGGAGUCUACACCAUUAAGUUUGAUUAUCAAAACAAGACUCUACCUCUCUAAUCUAUAUAAUUCAUCAUCACUAUACCACUAUACCACUAUACCACUAUAUCCAUCAUCCAUUAUGUCAUCUUGUGUGUGUUUCUUAACUUUUAUUUUACUUACUUUUGAGUGUGUGUAGCUUUAUCUCUUGUCUUGGAUAAAGUUUGAAAUAAAUAAAAAAGUCUAUCUUAUUAUUAUAAAGUUCAGUUUGUUCGUCGUCGUCUGUCAUUGCUGCUAUUUUUCAUCAUGCACCACUGUCAUUGUCUGCUGCCAGUCCACUUCCAGUUAAAAUAAGACAGGUUUCAAAAUAGUUUUGAAAGAGUAUCAAAAUCUAGUUAAAAUAUACGUCGCUUCUAAGCAUACCAAUGAGACUUCAAAGUACUAGAAUACAGAAGAUAUAAUAAAAUUUAGAUCCACUCAAAAUUAUGUGUGAUAGAUUAUAUGUUUUACAGAGUUUGUCAAUAAUAAAUGUAUUAAAUAAAGAGUUGUCACGUAUAAAAUUUGUGAUAACUCCGAUUGCUUUAGUUUUUUUGGUUGAUUUUUGAAAAUUAAGUCUAUAUAUACCUUAAAAUAAGUCAAUAAUAGUAAUAGUGUAUAUCAUAUUUAUAACUUUCAAAAACAAAGAAAAUGAAGAAUCUAAUUGAUCUCUAUUCUCUAUCUUUAUCUUAUCUCUACUCUAUUAAAAGGGACUAUGAAGAGAGAAUCUUUACGUGUUCUUUUAUCCCUACACCUUUCAUAAAUUUUUAUAUUAUCUUUUGUUGAGUGGUUGUGAAAUUUUAGAUGACUCAAUGCAUUUGAUGUUGAUGGAAUCGAUCUUUUAAGAUACGAUGCAUUUGUUCAAGAUGGAAGCGUACUAACGUUACAUUGGUACAUUGAUUCUUGCAAUGUAGAUGUGAGAUGAAUAUGUAAAAGAAAAAAAACACGUACAUGCAUUUAUAUUCUUAAAAAAACAAAAUUAACGAGAUUAAAAAAUGAAUGAAAGUGAUCCUUAAUACAAUGAAAUAAGACAUCAUUUCAAGUUUAAAAACGUUAAAAUAAAAGUUAUUAAAUUAUAUAUAUUACAAUAGUAAAAUAUUAAUAUAUUAAUUGAAAACUUUAGUUAAUUACUUGAACACCUUUUCUCUCUCUUUGAACUAGAUAAAAUUAAGGAUACAUUUUCUUUAUAAAACGAUGUAAAAACGUUAAAAUAAAAAUUAUUACAUUAUCCAAUUUCUAAAUUUAUUUAUUAUAUGUUCAUAAGCUAUUUAUGAAGCAUGAAUGGUGAUGGUGCUAAGGGGUAUUUACUAAUGGAGAUGUCCGAGUGCACCUACUGACCAUGUAUCAUUUUCAAAUAGUUACUAUUAAAAUAUGAAACUAAUUGAAACUACAAUAUUUCACGUGCAUUCUACGUGUUUUCCCACAUAAAACAAGGGUGGUUUUGAAAAACGUUUAAUUCCAAAUAUUAUUAAAAGGAAAAAAAAUGAAAAAGAAAACAGACAACACAUUAUUUAGAAUAUAAGAUAAAGUUAUACCUUAGGGUUAUGGUUAGAAAAAUACAACACACGGUUGCCUACAAUAGAAGCAAAUUAAAUGAAUUAGAAGACCUAUGCAUGGUUUGCUCAUAAAGGUAUGUAAAGACCAGCAAAUUAAUGGCCAUUUGCUUGCUUCUUCAAACUAGUAAAGUUGUAGCCAACUAAUGUUAUAAUUAUUAAAUGAUCAAAGACUUUGAGAAUAUGUAGAUUUGAAGCUUUAAGUUAACUCCACAAAGGAUUGCUUUAAUUAAUUAAUUAUUAAAACUAUGUAUUACUUAAUUGACAUUGAUUAAUAUAUAAUGUACGGAUUAAAAAUAUAUGUUCUCCAAUACAAUCAUUCUCAUUUGUUCUAUGACAUUUAAUAAAAUAGAUACUUAAAUGUAUAUUUAACCUAUGAGUCUAAGGGUUUGGGAAGAAUUAUGGGUGAUUUUUCCACUUAAUAAUAUUAAUAUUAAUUUUCUCCUCUAUCGAUUAGUAUUAAUAAUUUCAAAGUCUAUACAUAAAAGAUCAAACAAUAAUAUGUUUAAUAUUAAAUAGUUGAAACAAUGGGAAUUAGGUAUACGUAAAUGGUGAUCAACUUAGGAUCAUUUUUCCAUGCCCACAAAUAAGCUCCAAAGUCGGUCAUUUUGUAAUAUAAUUAAAAUUAUUCUCUUUUCAAUGGAAAUGUUGUAUUCUUAAGUUAUAUUAUAUUUGGCAGCUUCGUUUCCCAUGACAAUAUGUCAAGUGGGAUAAAGUUUCAUCAACGUAGAAAUACGCAAAAUUGUGGAUCUAGGAUUCUAUCAGAGUGAAGCACACGUUCAUGUAAAUAUAAUUUUAGACAUAUCGAUAUGAUAUUAAAAUCAUAUAAUAUCACCAAAACGAGCAAAAUUAUCCGAUGGAUAGAUCAUGACAAACACUUUUUCUUAAAGAAAUAAAACUGACAUAAAAUGACACAAAAUUCGAAAUUUUAUGGAAAGAAUUUGAACCCAAGAUGAAGAUGAUAUAAGCGGAGAUGAUGUGGGUGCUAAGAGAGUGUUCAUCUAGUGGAAAUACCCGAGUACACCUCCUGACCUAUAAUAUCAUCUUCCAAAAACAAAAAAAAGAUUAGAAUGAUAGGAAGUUGCACCCUUACCACUGAAUAAAAUAAACUACACAAGUAAGACUUGAACUAUGGUUGUAAGAGUAUUGACAAACAUAGUUAUCACUAAACUGCUUACAAAAAUUAAGUAUUAAUAAGUUUUGUUUAUAUAUAUUAUAUAAAGAUAAUAAAGUUGAGGGGACUCGAAUCUCUUGAACCUAUACUAUCGUCGGUGACCGCACUACCUUAAUAUUUCAUUAAUAAAGUCGAGGGAUACAUCUGUCCCACUAACCUGUACAUAGAUGUAAUAGAUCCACAUACGGAUAUACAAGUGAUUUAGAUUGAGAAAGAGAAAAAAAAAUCCAUGCAAAAUUACUUAGAGGUAUUUUUUUAUGAUAUAUAGAGGUAAUCAUAGAAAAGGGAGGACGAUGCGAUGCAAAUAUAUAAUAAAGUAUAAUCUAUUGGGAUCUCGAAAGGACAUUAAUUGAAGGCAUCUAAUGUAAAAAUAAAAUAAUAUAUAUAUAUAUAUGUGUGUAUAUAUAAAAGUUGUAUUGAAUCUAAAAAGAGUAAUUUAAUUGCAAAAGAAGUUUUAAAUAAUUAAAGAGGGUGAGAUCGAUCAUAGAAGGUCUAAAAAGGGGAAAGAAAAAGGUUAGAAUCGAUGGAGGGUAUGUGCAUGUGCUUUUCUUCCUACGAAACGUGUGUUGACUUGCCUUUGGGAGAAUGUCAAGACUCUUCCCCAUGCAUGUGUUCACCCAAUGCCAUAACUAUUACUUUAUUUUCUUUCUACUAUCACAUUGUAUCUAUAAUAAUCAAACUCUAAAGUAUUAGGAGACAAUAUGAUAUACAUAUACAAAUUUUCUUUUUAUACCUAUAACAAGUUUGGAUCUCAUUUUUUAAGUCUACUCGUGAUGUCAAUAAUACACUCUAUCAUUUAUAAAUUCUGUUUAUUAUACAUUUUUUAAUUAUUUAUUUGUCAUAAAAAGUGCUAUCGUUACACUUACUAAAAAAAUUAGGAACAUUUUCAAAUAUAGAAAACUCAAAGUUUUGUUAUUUAUUAUUUUAAAAAUGGUUAUAUACUUACCUAUAUCUAUAUCUAUAUAUAUAAUUUGAAUAGUUUUUAAAUAUUUUUAUUCUUUUGUUUUAGAAAAGAAGAUAGUUUGACUUAUUCAAAGAUAUUUUUUUAAUAGAUUAUUUGAUUCUUACGUUCAUGAAAAAUGUAAGCAUUGAGGAGGAUGCUAAGAAGAUGUUUAUCUAGUGAAAAUAUUCGGAUGCAUCUACUGAUCCAACGUAUCUUCGAUAAAAGAAUUACGUUCGAGAUAUACAUGAAAACUUCUUCACCUUUUUAUGUUUGGUUUGAAAAAAAAAAAGCACAAAAACGAAGGAAUAAUAAAAAUGAUUCAUUCUUUUAUUUGUAUAUAACCAACAAAAAUAGAAAUGAUCGUAAAAUGAUGAAAUCUUAAAAAUUAUUUAUAGAAAGUGAAUUUUCUAAAACUCAAUAUAACUAUAGAUUAAUUUCCAAAAAAAGUAUAAAGACAAAAACGCGUUGGCGUCACUCACACAACACAUGGACUGCGAAUAAAAAAAAGUUAUCAUGUAUAAAUAACCCAAACCCAAAUCCUCCAUUGUUGAAUAUUUGGAGUAAGAGAAGCAAUACUUAGGGAAGAGAGAGAGAGAGAAGAAAGGAUGAUGAGAGAGAGAAGAAAGUGUAUGAUUGUAUCCCUUGUGGGCAUAACACUGAUGAGUUUAUGCAUUCUUGCGAAAGGUGAAAAUACAUUACAACCACCAGUUAAGCUAAUAUGGCAUUACUACAAACUCAACACAACUUGUCCAGAUGCUGAGGAAUACAUAAAACAUCAGGUCAAAUUGUUUUGGCAAGAGGAUAAAAGCAUUACUGCCAAGUUCCUUCGUUUGCUCUCUGCAGAUUGCCUUUCCAAAAAUGUACUAUAACUCUUCUCCUUCUUCUUCCAUCUCUCUCUCUCUUUUUCCUAUACUAUUCGUUUCAUUCGAUCUAAUGUUUUGUUUGUUUGGACUGAAUCCAUCCGUCUAAAUAUUUAAGAAUAUACGUACAUGUUUGUUGUUUGUAGUUUCUUAUUUCUUAUUCAUAAAAUUAUUGUAGUUAAACGUUAUAUUAAUUUUAUCUUCGUCCAUUGUGAUUUAAAAUGGUAUCAGUAGGUGGUUGUCUAGAAAAGUUUUAUGUUCAACUCCUUGCGUCUGUGAUUUAUAUUCAAACUGUCAUUUUCUUGGCUCUUCUUCAUACAAUAAGUUAAUUGAGGAGGAGGAGGAGGAGUAGGGUUAGAAAUUAUAUUAGAUUUGUUUUUGCUUAUUAGUUUUAAACCUUUGGAUUGAUGGGUGAUUCAAAGGAUGAUGUAAAAGAUAAAUAUUGAUGUAUAUUUGAUUACUUAAUACAGGGUUGUGAUGGCUCAAUUCUUCUUGAUGGUCCAAACUCGGAGAAAAAUGCACCACAAAACAAAGGCCUCAAAGGGUUUAAAGAAAUUGAUAAGAUCAAAAGUGUACUCGAAGACAGAUGUCCGGGUGUUGUUUCUUGUGCAGAUAUUUUGAACCUGGCCACUAGAGAUGCUGCCCAUUUGGUAUUCAAUACUUCUAUCGAUUUUGUGGAGACGACUUUGACAUUUUCCUAUAUUUAAAUAUAUUUACAAUAGUUUUGUUAUUUAAAAUAAAUUGACGGUAGACUGAUUGGAUGCAGGCAGGUGCGCCAUCUUAUCCUGUUUAUACAGGAAGGAGGGAUGGUUUUACAAGCAGUAUUGAUGCAGUGGAUUUGCCAUCUCCCUCCAUAUCAUUGCAACAAGGCCUUCAAUAUUUCGAAUCUAAAGGUCUUGAUGUUUUGGACAUGGCAACAUUGCUAGGUAAGUGACACAUUCUACACAUACGCUCCCUCCUAUUAUAGUUUUCUAUUUUUGAAAUUUAUGUUUCUUUAAAAAAAUUAUCAGCAAUUUUCGAAAACAAUUUGAUUUGUCGUAGUUUUCAACUUUAGAUUUUAUUUUGGUUGAACUUGUUUACUUAGAUCAAAAUUUUAUUUUAUACUCCUAAAGAAACAACAAAAUCGCUUGGAAAACCACUGAUCCAAUUUUAUUAUCUAUUAAGAACAUAACUGAAAAGAAAAGAAAAAACUUGUGUUAAUUAUAUUAUUUUUGAAUUCUUGAUAACAUUUUACAUUGUUUAAUCAUAUCAGCUGGACAUUCAAUGGGAGAAACACACUGUCGAUACAUCAAGGAUAGGCUAUACAAUUUCAAUGGCACAAAAAAGGCAGAUCCAUCAAUGAACAAAUCACUCUUAAAAGAUCUUCGAAAUAAAUGCCCAAAAAAUUCAAAAAAAGAUCCAACAGUGAACCUAACACCAAAACCUGAAAACGACUAUCAAUUCACAGGUCUUUACUACUCGAGAAUCCUCUCCAAAAAGGCGGUACUCGGUAUCGAUCAACAGCUUAUUUUUAGUGACGAAACGAAGGAAAUCAUCCAGGAGUUUGCUCCAAAAUCUGGAUUUGAAGACUUCCGUCGGUCCUUUGCUUUGUCCAUGAGUAGGAUGGGAAACAUCAAGGUUUUGACCGGAAAAGAUGGCGAGAUUCGACGAGAUUGUCGGAGAAGAAACUAGCCUUGCAACUCCCAUUUUCUUGAGGAAGAAGAAGAAUAAGAAUACGGUUUGUGUGGAUCAAGAUUAUUUAAUUUACUAUCACAUUGUGAAAUGUGAAGAAGAAGAAGAAGGAAAAAAGCUACCUAUUAAUUACAUCUUAUAUGAUAUAUGAUAAUAAGAUUAUAAACAAAAUUAUAUAUAUGUGGUAAAUAAUUAAUAUUUUUCCUCCAAGAGGCUUUCCUAUGAGAUAUGCAAAUUAUAUAUUCCUUGUUUAAUUUUGUUAGAUUUCUCAAAUAUUUAAAUCAUUAUAUUGGAUAGACAAAUUGUUUGGAGUUUAAGUUUUCGUUACGAGAUGUGUUCAUGACUUUUAGGUAGUGUUGUUCGGUACGUGGAAGCGUACGCAUUGAGUAAUAAUAUAGUUAAAUGGUCAAAGAUUGUAAUUAUUAAAUUAUAUUUAUCUUAGUUUCAAUAAUGCUUUGUUCUUUUUCUUCUAAAUUUUUACCAUUUUUUUAUGGAAAUUAGAUAAAGAAAAAUAAUUAUAAAUAACAAUAACGAAAGAUAUUUACAAAAUAUAAUAAAAUUUAAACAUAGUCAAACUUUUAUCUGUGUCUAUUAAUAUCACCCGUAGAGAUAGAUAAAAGUAAUAGAUGAAAUUGUGUUUUGGUAUUAAUAAUUAUUAUAGGAAUUAUAAUAUUUUAGAAUUAUCCAAAUGUAUAUUUGAAAAACUUGAGUGGGUCAUCGUCUUUAAUUUACACAUAUUCCUAAGAAUAAAAGCAUCCAUUUCAUACGAUGCAUCUUUAUACUUUUUUUUAAGGUUGAAAAUUAAGAUCAAGAUGAACUUUUUUUUAUUAUAAUUUAGAAAAGAUAGUAAGAAUCUUUUGGAUAUAAUUAGUACUAUAAACUUCGAUUAUUGUUCUCUUUUGAUGGUGUUGUUCUGGCAAAGAUGUGAUGUGUCAUUGUACCUUAAAUCACUUUGUUGAGAAGGCUAGAACGGAGUUUGUUUAAAGCAUCAAUUGAUAGACUUUGACUAAUUUUACUAUAUUUUACAAUACUCAUGAGAAUAAGGAGCAUUAUCAACGGUUAAAUGGUCAAAUGGUCAAUUGUUCAAGCAACCACAAAAACAAACUAAAUCCAGUCAAAUGGUCAACGAUUAUAACCCCUCUAGACAUUGGAGGCCUUGGUAUCUCUCCAGUUUCUACUACAAACUUUGUUUUGCUUACAAAGUGGCUUUGGAGGUAUUGCAAUGAACCUGAAGCUCUCUGGAGGUCCAUCACUCAUGCUACAUAUUCAACUACUUCUCUAAUUGAUUUGUCCAGUACUAUUGCGAAAUACAGCAGUCCCAAUGCGCCAUGGAGACAAAGGCGGACUACUUUAAAGCUCAUUUGGGUUGGAAAAUAAACAAUGACAAGUUGUUAUUUAUUUGGCACAGUUACGGAGCUCAUUUGGACCUCUUUACAGUUCUUUCCUUAGAUUGUAUGCUCUCUCAUCUCAGCAAAAUGGUUCCCUCAAAGGCAUGUGGAACUUUGAACACAAUGGAUGAGGUUUACACAAUAUGAGGCCCCUACGAGAAAGAGAAGUUUCACAGUGGAGCGACAUUUUAACAAGUCCCCUCCCUUCCAGAUAACAAUCAAAUAGAUUGCCCCUUUUGGAAGCCAAAUAGAAAUUUUUCUUUCUCUCCUAAAUAUGUCAUCCUUGCCUCUACCCCUCUUCAUCUACCUUGGAUGGAAUUUGUCGACAUCUAAGGUUUCCAAAAAAUACAAUUUUUUCCUAUGGACACAACUAUUCACAAAGGAAUUUUUACCAAUGAGAUGAUUUAAAACAGGCUCGAAAAUCUCUGUCUCAACCCAAAUAAUUGGUGCAUUUUAUGUAAAAAUAGUAGUGAGACCAAAAAUCACAUCUUCCUCCAUUACUCACUUGUCAAUUCUUUCCGAGCAAAGCAAAGGAUCUCAAGGGAUGGACAAUUAAUGUUGACAGCCUUAGUGCUUUAUGCAAUCACAUAUGCACAAUAAAUGAUAAGUCUAAAAAAAGUUUGAUCCUUUUUAACCUUCUAAUAGUCAUCACUUGGACAACUUGGUUGGAAAGAAACAAUAGGCUAUUCAACAAUAGUCAUGCCUCCUCAAAUAAUCUAUGGGAGAAUAUAUGCAAUCUCACUGGUUCUUGGUCUAUCAAACACAAGCUCAUAAAAAAUUAUUAUGCUUCUACAGUUGCUUUAAAUAUCAAUGCUUUUUGUAAGUUUUGUGAGCUUUACAUUAUAACUUAUCUCUAGCCUAUUUGUAACUAUCUUGAACUUUGUAUUCCCCUCUGCUUUACUUAAUAUAUUUCUUGCACUUGCUGAACCUACAAGUAUCUUUUUCUAAUUCGAAUUUCAUUACUAGGGAGGCACAUUUGGAGAUCGUUGAGCCUGUUAUUGCAAGGGAAAUCUACAAUUGUAAGUAUCAUACUAUGGAUGGCAGGAUCUACGAUGAAUAAGUACCGAUGAAAUUAAAUUAAUCUAAACUUAUACAUGAAUUUGCAUUAUAUUAUUGCAUAUGCACCGAUAGUAGUUGAGAUACAAGGAAUAUUUAAUUGCUAAAAUAAUGAUGGUGCUAUGAAAGUGUCCACCUAGUGGAGAUGUCUAGAUGCAUUUACUAACCUGCAUCGUAUUUUUUAAAAAAAUAUUAUAUUCAAGUUCUUAUUUAUUAUAAAUUGUGUGGAAAGAAAAACAAAUCUUCUUAAUUCUCUUGUCUCUUAGAUUGUAUUGUGACAGUUUACUACGUUACAUGUACUAAUAAUGGCAACCAAGUAUGCUAGCAAUGGCGGCAUGAGCGAGGCAUCUAUGGCAGUAAGUUUGAAGUACGUAGUUGAAACUUCUAAAUGUUGGGAAUCUUCAAUCAUUGCGGGUUGGGGUGCGAUGGUGUCCAUUAAAGCCGGGAUUCCUGAAAUUGCAGAAUUUGGGAUUGAACUCAACUAUAAUGAAGAGAGAAGUCACACUUGGGGACAAACCAUUACAGAGUACAUGAGAGAAGUGAUGGCAACAUAUACUCUUAAUGUACCACCAAUGACAAGGAGGAAAGUGACUCUUAGUGCAACUAAGGCCAAAUGCGAUGUUCUGUUUUUGUACACGCAGCGAGACGUUCUCGUCGAUGGAAGACAAGUUAUUACAGACUGUGAUGAUGGUCUUUACUCUGAAGUUAAUACCUACAACUUUGAUUACCAGAACAAGCCUCUUCCAUUCUCAUGAACACCCAUGUGAUCAUCUUAAUGAAUCAAACCUUCCUGCCCAACAACCAUAUUUAAUUUAAAUCUAUGUAUUAUGUAUUUGGUUUUGUGCUAUAAAACAACAAAGCAAAAAAGGCAUCAUUAAAUUCAAUACCAUCUCGACUGUGUUAGGAAGGUUUGAAUAGAAAGAAAUGCUCAUAUGGGAGGAGAUAGAAAUUGUUUACCAACCAAAGAUAGAAAUUGUUCGAUCAUUAACAUAUGGGAGGAGAUCCCCUUAAUUUAUUUACCAACUACACGGCUAGCUUUAUUGCUAUCAAUCUUCAUGCUUUCUAAUUGUUUGUACUUGCUCGAUCGAGACUUAUCUCUAAUCGUUAGUAUUUUGUUUGGGUUGCUCUCUUGCUUCUUGUGUAUUUCUUUCUUAUAUAUUAAAGAACUGAGGAUGAUGAUGGUGCUAAGGGGUGUCCACCUAGUAGAGAUAUCCGAGUGCAGCUACUGAUCCAUUGUAUCUUUUUUUUUUUUAGAAAAAAAUUAAAUCUAUACAUAUGAUUAGAUUGUCAUAGUUUGUUUUAGAUUAAACAUCGUAUUUUGUGUCCUAAACUUUUGUGUAUGUAACAAUUUAGUAAAAAAAACUUCAAUUUAUACGAAUUUAGUAAAUGUACUCUCAGUUUCGUACCAACACUGGAUGAAUAAACUUAAGUAUGUAACAUGAAUAUAUAUUCCCCUAAACUUUAAAUUUGGUAAUGAAUUUGGUCAAUAUCGAAUACCCCUGCAUUUUUAAAAGGGAGACAUUUCACAUAUACGAAUAAACAACGAGAUUCCAUGCCAAUUUAAUAAAACAUGGCUCCUACGUGCAUUCUUACCACUAUCAGAAUCUUGUUUUUGUGAAUAAUUGCAUGCACUGUUAGCUCUUUAUUCAGCUAAGAAUUUAUCUAGGAUGUAAUUGAGUUGAGUUGGUAACUACUAUAAGAGACUAUACGAUGCAAUUAUUAAACGUUGGUAAUUAACUAUUAUAAAAGAGAUUAAUUAAGAGUUUAUGUAAAUAAUGAAGUAAAAACUAUAAGUUAACACAAACAAUGAGAUAAGAAACAUGAGAUAAAACGAAUAACGAGGUGAUCUCUUUGAUUGUUGGUACACCCAAACGGUGGGUGAGUUUUUUUUACUCACUCAACUCAAUUACAUGUCAGUUUAAUUUCCAAACGCCCUCUAAGUUAAAUACACUCUCGGAAAAAGUUGUUUAAAAUGAUACUUGUAGGUUAUUCCAUAUAUAUGUUAUUUGACCCAAGGUUUGUCCUUAACAACUUUUUGACAAUUUUGCUUGAUGACCAACAUCAUUAUUGUUGUUUCAUAUUUAUUGCGCUCCUUCAACUUUUUUCUUAGGGUGUUCGUCUUAAGGGUUGGGUUCAGGAUCGAUUAGACACCCUAAACUCGAAAGGAAGUUAUCCAAACCUUCCUACACUCUUACUCAUGAGAUUGAAUAGAGACGACCAAUAGGUUAGAUUUUAUUUAUUAAUUAAUAACUAGAAAGUGUACGGGUAACCUUCCUACACUCUUAUGAUUCUUGUGCCGGUUAGCCUUGGGUCUCCACUUCUGAUCCACUGACCUACUUGCAAACCACCUGUUAUAGCCAACUUCGAAAAACAUUAAUAAAAAAGAACUAAACAAACUUGUUAUUAAGAAACAUUUUCUAAAAAAGUAUCGUAAAAAACUCGUGUGUUUUUAUUAAUAUUAUAUCUUUGGAUUUUAAAAAGUAGAACUUCGAGAAGUAAACAAAAAUAUAUCAAGUGUUUGUAUGAAAAAGUAUGUGAAACAAAUUGAAGGUUAGUGUCAUCGAUCAAAACUUACGUUUGAAGCAUAGUUUGUGAAUGAACCAAUGAAAACUAAAAUGUGUAAAUUAAAAGUGAUCAGACCUUUUAAUUUUUAUUCUGUUUUAGACCAUUAUUUAUGAAUUGAAAAGAUAAUGAUAUCUUCAUUCUUCAAAUUUGAAAAGAUAACGAGAGAUUCUUUUAUAACUUCACUUUUUUUAGUCUAUAACAUGGAUUUUCAACCUUAUUUAUAGUAACGGAAUCCCCAAAGUUAGAAACUAAAAGCAACAUUAAAAUUUCAAUCAAAACCACAGUUUUGGAUUUAGUAUACAUAGGUCAGGAGUUCUCAUAUUGUAUGUACAAAACUAACAUAAUAUCAAUAAUACUGUUAGUUUCUAAUUUCUUUUCUUGAGUAAAUUUGUCUUCCAGCCCCUCUGUAGACUCAAAUUGAAGUAUUACUCUAUAUACCGAUUUUCUUUCACAUUACUUUACUGAAUUAUUAAACCCCGUCAACGGAUGUUAUAAGUGAUGGAAUAAAAAAAAAAUGGAAGCAUUACUGUACCCUCAUAUAGGAUAAUACUUUUUGCCUUUUUCAACUGCAACUAUAUUCUUUUUGAACAAGAUACUAAAGGGAGAAGAUGGGAUUAGGAGGCACACCAAAAUAUCUCUAACUUUUAGAUCGACACCUUUCUAAGAAAGAGCUUUUCAUUUGCAAUUAAAAGAAGAAUACAAAGUCUCAUUUUAACUGUAUAUGGUUCUAACUUAUCCCAAUAUACAACUAUACUUUUCUAUGAAUAAAAGGGAGAGGUUGGGAAUUGGGAGGAUUCAUCACACCUCAAAAAAAAGAAGAAGAAAUCUAUCUCUCGAGCUCCCUCUGUAGUAAUUAAUAUAAUGGGUCUCCCCAAGUACGGUGCAUUCAGAAACAAAAUAGCUGGAAAGUUCCUUCAAUACAUUCAUGAAGGUUCACUUAAGGGUUACCUACAAUACUCUUCUGAUAAUGCUAUGAGCAUGUUCUCAAAAUUCACAUUGGAGCAAUCCAAGACAACUAAUUAUUUUCACAUAAGAUGCUGCUACAACAACAAGUAUUGGGCCUCCGCCAAAGACGGCGAUCACAUGGUCAGUCCGUUCGUUAGCAAGCCCUCCGAAAACGAGUUCUCAUGGCCAUGCACAUUGUUUAGGUUUGUCCAAGCUCCUACUGAAGGAACUUACUAUUUAUUCGAUGUGUGGCGUCAAUCGUAUGUGUGUCGAUGUACCACUAGCAAAAGUCACGAGGAUUGCCUCACAACUAGAUACGGCAACCAAGACCAUUACUAUGACAGAACCCACAUAUUAAUCGACUUCGAAACCUUGAUCGUGUUACCCAAACACAUAGUGAUUAAAGGAGACCUUAAACAGUAUUUAUGUACCUAUUGGUAUGAGGAAAAUGAACAUCUGAAAUUCAAUUCCGAUGACAUUGGAUCGUCCAGGGCAGGCCACCAAGUGUUCAGCAUGGGUGAUGGAAGCAUUCGAAUCAAAUGUGACCAUUGGAAUAAGUUUUGGGUUCGUCAAUCAAACAACUGGAUCUUAGCAAAGUCAACUGACACGACCGCAAACAACAAAGACACCGUGUUCUGGCCUAUCAAGAUUUCUCAAAACACUGUCGCGCUCCGCUGCCUUGGUAAUAACAAGAUAUGCAAGAGAUUAACUGCUGAGAAUAAGGAGCAUUGUCUCAGUGCAAAUGCAGAUACCAUUACUAGGGAGGCACGUUUGGAGAUCACUGAGCCUGUUAUUUCAAGGGAAAUGUACAACUGUAAUUAUCGUACAAUGGAUAGCAGGGUCUACGAUGAACAGGUAUACGGUUGAAAUUAAAUUGAUCUAGACUUGAUACAUGAAUUUUAAUUUUGCAUAUGCAUGAUGUACUUUCCUACUCAUUUUAAUUUUGCAUAUGCAUGAUGUACUUUCCUACUCCUACUGGUAUAAAUAUGGGUAAGGUUUCUCAUUUGCAUGGAAGAAAGAAAGUAAGAAAAAUAAAUUGAUACUAAUUAAAUAUUAUUGAAGUUCUUAUUUAUUUAUUUUAAAAAAGAACUUCAAUAGGUGGACACCCGAUAAUCACUCCCGCUUCAUUAAAAGGUAAAAAAAGUAAUACAAGAAGCCAAGAGAGUACAGGGCUAGAGAUAAGCUCAAAUAGUUAUACAAAAGCAUUGAUGUUUGAAGUAAUAGAACUAGUACUAUAAUUGGAGAAGAGCUUUGAUCCCCUAGUCCAAAAACCCGUAAGAGUUUGUAUAUCGUCUCAGAUUUCAAGAGCAGUACGUUCGCAGUCUUUGAAAAUCCUCCUAUUCCUUUCAAACGAGAUAGUCCAUAAAGUAACAGCAAAGGAGUUGAAAGUAAUGGCCCUUUUUUCUGUUUUUAGUAUUGAUGUUACAUAAGUCUUUGCCGAGAGAAGCAACAUUAGAGAACUUAUGGCCCCAUUUUAAUCUGUUAACAGUUGUUUUGUGUGGAAAAGUGAAACGAUCUUCUUCUCAUGUCUCUUGAUUUCUAUUGUGGUUUACUACGUUUCCAACAGGUACUAAUAAUGGCAACCGAACAUGCUACCAACGGCGGCACGAAAGAAGCAUCUAUGGCAUUAAGUUUGAAGUAUGUAGUUGAAGCUUCUAAAUGUUGGGAAUCUUCAGUCAGUACAGCUUGGGGUGUGGUGGCAUCUGUUAAAGCCGGGGUUCCUGAAAUUUUUGAAGUUGGGGUUGAGGUCAACCAUAAUGAAGAGAAGAGUCGCAGUUGGGGAGAAACCAUUACAGACAUGAGAGAAGUGAUGGCAACAUAUACUGUUAAUGUACCACCAAUGACAAAGAUGAAAGUGACUCUUAUUGCAACUAAGGCCAAAUGCGAUGUUCCAUUUUCGUACACACAACGAGACGUUCUCAGGGACGGAACACAUGUUAUUAAAGACUGUGAUGAUGGUCUUUACACUGGAGUCCAUACCUACAACUUUGAUUACAAAAACAAGCCAUUUCCAUUCUCAUGAGCACCAUAUGUUCAUCUUAAUUAAUCAUCAAACCAUCCUACCUAUAACCAUAUCUUCUCUACGACUGAUCUACUCUCUAUCAUGGAAAUAUAUCUAUAAAUUUCCAUUUAUGUCUUAGCUUUGUGUUUACUCUGCUUUGUCUCUUGUUCUUUUGAAUAAAGCUGCAACUAAAUAAAUGUACUCUACAUUAUUGCUACAGGGUAUUGUAAAAUAUACAGCUUUGAUUUUUAUAUAUAAAACAACAACAGAAAUGUACACACGUAAUUAAGGUAAAGGAGAAACAACAAAAGGCCAUACUUUUUGGCAACAACAAAAAGCUAUAAUUUAAGGGUUUUAUCCACAUUUAUAUAGCGGUUGUGAAUAGAGUAGAGUUUGAUUGCAGCAGUUCUCAAAAGUGUUGGAAUAAAAAAAAGCAAACCGAUAUGCCAUAUAUAUCCUAAUAGAAGUAUUUUUUUUAUUUACCUCAACAAAUCAUCUUUUUUAUAAAAAAGAAAAAAACGUUUGCGCCAGAAAGUGCACCGAACAUCUCUAAUAGGUAGACACCCCUUAGCAAUAUUAACAUUCCCUAGGUAUUCAAUAAGAACAAAGGUACAUGAUGAUUAAAUAGUUUGUUAACUUUUUUUUAGGAUUCGUUUUUAUUCGUAAUUAAGUUAUGUUUAGGAAAAUUGUCAAAAAUAGCAAAUUUGACAAUUAUUUGUGGGAAACUCUUACCAAAAAUAGUUAUCUCUUAUUGUAAAAGAGAUAUAGCUAAAUUUAUUAGUUUUAACUUCUGAUCUAACUAGAGUUUUACCCCUUCGAAAUUGUGAACAUCACCAAUGGAAUAAAAUCAAGCAACAUUUCAAAUCCCCAAAUGACAGUAGAUGUAUUGACCAUCCCACUUGGAAAUUGAACAUUAAUGGUAAAUUCUCCGUUGCAUCGGUUAAGAAAGUCUUUUCUAGCUUGAACCAAAGAGAUGAUUUUAAUAUUGAUGAUAACAUUUUUUUCUCAACUUUGGAAAACCAAAAUCUCCAAGAAAUGUCAUUUUUUCAUAUGGUCUCUUUUACAUUGUUGUAUUAACACUGCUGACAUUCUUCAGAGAAAAGUUCCAACUCUCAAUCUGAGUCCAAAUCGGUGUUCUUUAUGUAAAAGACACUCAGAGGAGAUUGAUCAUAUUUUCAUAGAUUGUCAUACUGCCAAAAUUCUAUGGAACAAGCUUGAAGGACUUCUUGGAUGGAAAAACCAACAGCAGAAUGUUGUUUCCUUAUGCUCUUUCCUCUGCUCAAUAAAACAACGCAACAAAAGGGGUAUCAUCUUUUUUAAUACUAUUGCAUCCGUGUUGUGGAUCUUAUGGUUGGAGAGAAAUAAUCGCAUUUUCAAGGGCAAGGAAAAAUCUACCAUUGAUCUCUGGGAAGACAUCCUUUCUCUCUCAGGGCUGUGGGCUAGCAAAUACUCUAUGUUUGCAAAUUGUAGUGCUUCCUCUAUCGCUAUCAAUUUAAGUGUUUUCUAACUUUUUGUUGUGGGCUUAGCUCUAGCCCUUUAGCUUUUCACGCUGCCGUUUGGUUUUUGUCGUCUACUGUAAUUGUACUAAUUCUUCCUAUAUUAAUGAAAGUCGGGAUGAUGAGGGUGCUAAGGAGGUGUCCACCUAGUUGAGAUGUCCGGGUGCACCUACUAACCCAACGUAUCUUUUUCAAAAAAAAAAAAAAACUAGAGUUUUAACUAAGAGGCAUAGGAAAGUCUAUAAAUACCUUGUAUCACUUGAUAUUUCAUAUACAACAAAAACUGAAAAGAAAUAAUACCUUGUUCCCAAAGCACACUGGACGUAGGCAUUUGCCAAACUACUUUAAAACGUUGUGUGUUCAUCUUACUCUUCUUCCUCUCUUCAUCUUCUCUUCAUCUCACCAUCAUCCAAAGAAAACUCAAAAGAAGAAAUCCAGAAAACAGAGGCAAAGAAAGAAAGAGAAAAAAAAGUCUUGAGAGCUCCUUUAAUCUUAUGUAAACAUUAGAUGUACACGCAAGUGAAAUGAAAUGAAAAGUAAAACACAAGGAAUGAAAGAGAGAGUACUCUUACAUGUAAAUAAGUGACCACUUUGUGUCCAUACAAGUGACAACCCAUUCGUUAUUUACAAUAUAUAGCAAAAUUUUUAGUGAUAGACACUUAUAUACUUCUAUUAGUGACAUUGAUAGACAAUAUUAAUAGAAUCUAAAAUUUUGCUAUAUCUUGUAAAUAUUUUAAUUUAUUUUCCUAUAAGACUCUGUUAUAAACCCAAUUAAUAUUAAAAAAAAUAAAAAUAUGUAUUAUACGUAACAUAUUAUAAAUUAUACAAUAUUACAAAAUAACUAUACAAAAAUUAGUUACCAUAUAAGGUGUUAAUAAACUAAUAAUAGUUUAUUGUCAAAUAAAAUUAUUUCUUAUUUAUAACGGUAGUAUAAAAACACAUUGUUUAAAAUAUAAUCAAUUUCUAAAUAUUCUAAUUAGAGCUACCAUUAUGUGAUUUUAUUGAAUUUUUGUUUUGAGAUCCAUGCUUGUGGUUUAGGUUGCAGCAACCUGCUUUGAUGAAAGUGAAACUUUCGACACAAGCAAAAGCACUUGGAGCUCAACUGUUUCAAUGAAGCUAGAUGAGAAAACCAGCAUCAAAUCAUACAUUCCUGUUGUUUUCGAAGAUAAUUUAGCAACUGGACCGGAGUUUUUGGGAGAAAUAUCAAAUGGGGCGGAGAACCUAAGAACUUCACACCAAGUUCGUUGAUAUUGUGCACAAGGUUGUAGUGCAGCCAUUGACAAAGGUGAAAGUGAAAUUAGUGGCAACACAAGCUUCGUGUGAUAUGUGCCACUCUCUUAUAUACAAAAUGAUACUCUCCUGAUCAAUUGCUAAACCACUAUUACAUGGAUGAUGGGAUUUACAAACACUACAAGAAAAAUGGUCUACGACGACAGUUAUUUACUGUCGCGAACAAAAUUCAUGACAGUUAUUUUCAGUCAUAGAAGUGGGAGUCAUGAAAAGUCCUUCCAUGACAGUUUUCAAAAACUGUCGCAAUAACUUAUUUCAUGACAUAAAAUAAAUGUCGUUAGUUAGCAUUCUACGACAUCAAAUAACUGUCAUAUUUUAUUUUAUGACAAUAAAUAACUAUCAUCAAUUAUGUAUUAACCGCAGUUAAAUAAAUGUCGCAAAUUCGUUUAUUGUGACAUGUUUUAAAUGUCACGAAUAUGUCAAUCGCGACAGUUUUUUUUUUAAGAAAUGUCAUUAUUUUGCUAUUGAUGACAUUUUUUUUUCUGUCAAAGAUAGGACAAUCGUGAUAAUUAAUUUUGUAAAAAAAAACUGUCAUUGUUUUGGUAUCCACAACAAUUAAUAACUGUCACAAAUUCAUAUAUUACGACAUGUUUUUCCUGUUGCAAAUUACUCGACUACUACAAUUUUUUUCUGUUCUCUUUGCCACUUCGCCAUUACACGAACCAUUUGAAUGACAAUAAUGUAGCCUACAAUGACAAUUUUGAAUUUAUACUAUUGACACUCAUAUAGAAAAAAAUAGACGACACUUAAAUAUAUACGCUAUAAUACAAUUUAUAAUAUUCGUACAUUUCCAAUCAAGUUCCAACAAUUUACAAGUACGAAAUCCCGGCCCUUAAUCAAAAAAUAUUUUAAAUAGCAUCAGAAUACAUAUAACAAGAUUUUAUGCUAAAGCAUAAACGACCAACCGAGAAUGUUCGUCUCUGAAAAUUUUCUUUGAAAGUAAAGUCAUGAAGUUGUCAACUCCAGUUGAACCUACAAAGACAACAUGAAUACAAGCAUCCAUCAUAGGACAAGAGAGUACAACUCUUAUAGAAAAUUUCAACAUUGAGCAUUACCUAUCACUGCAAUUCAAUAGUUUGUUUUAGCAUAUAUAACCACUAAAAUUGAAUAUACCAUAUGAAGAACAAUGUACCAUAUUGAAACAAAAUAGUAAAAGAUGAUAGAAUGAAUUGCUAUUGUGAACUUCCAAAUAUUGAUCAGAAAGUAAAUAGAGAAGAAAAUUUAAAUGCUUAAAUUAUAUAUUAUCUCAUAAGGCCAACCAUCGAUGAUAGAAACAUUAAGAGAAACCAUCAACAGAGGAGAAAGCAUGAGCUUCUUACACAUCAAGUCCAACAUCAACAAGUAAGGAAGUCAACUGACUAAUUACUCAAUUCUUAAGUUACAUGUGAGAUUCCUAAAGAGACAUAAAUAAUUAAAUGCUUCAUUAGCUUCCUGAAGUACACUAUAAAACAGGUAUCCUAAAUUUUGUAUCUAAAUAACUAAGUAUUAUGAGAAAUCCGUGCAGAGUCUUGUAACUUAACUCAAUCCAUUUACCUUACUUGAGUGGUGGAAAUGAAACAAACCAUUUUUUAAAAGUGAUAGGCUAAAAGAAAUAAGCAAAACAUUACAACCAUUAAAGCCAUCAAAUUAACAAAACAAAUUAAAGCCAAUAAACUAAAUCAAACAAAUUAAAGACUUCACUUACAUACAACCAACAAAAUUAUUACUUCAUUUACAUGGAGAAGUAAAACGCCGUUACAAACCUGAAACUUGUCUUCAUCAGAGAGUUCAUCAAGAUCUGCUAGAAAGGAAUCAACCAAAGUAGCCUACAAACCCCAAGAAAAGAAAUUGGAAAUUAAUAAACAAGAUAAAUGACAUGUACCUAAUGUUGUAAUUCCAUGGAAAUCGAAGUCCCAAAUGAGCUUCCAUAAGUUACCUCUUUGAAAUUUCUUUUCCUUUCUAUUUUGCUGCAUUUUUUUUUUCAAUAUGGUCUUGGCACAAUGCAAUAAUUAAGUGUGUUAUAGUUUUUGCAUCAGAAUAUUACGAGUUGAGUACAUUGGCAAGAAUUUCCAAAGAAAAUGAAGAUGGAAAAGACAAUUUGAAUGAAUAAAGCAUAAACUACCUUAAUAAGUUCAUCAGAUGCAACUUAUCCUAUCACUUCUUCAAGGCUCAUCUCUGCAUUUAAGUUUAAAAUUAGAUGUUAGUGUGAGUAAUCACACUUAGGAAAAGAUACUAAAGCUUUUCAGCCUACUCUUGUCCUGACGUUCUAGAACUAAAUUCUACAUCUUGGAUACUGAAUUCACAAUAACACUAAAAUGUAUACAAUUGGAACUCAAUGUAAAAAUAACAUACAAGUCGAGGUGGAGAUAGCUUCAGGUUUUCAUCUUUGCAAGCAGAACGGAUAUUGGUAAGUUUUCUUUACUUCCUACAAGAUUAACGUGGAAAAAAAGAAAACUGCUUACCAUGUAAAUCAAGUAGAAACAACUUCGAUCCAAAGUUUAAACAUAAAGUUCUCAACUUACAUCUAGAUUUGAUUCCCUAGAAUGUUCUCCAAUAAUCAUUCCAUCAUAAGUCUGCAACAUAAAUUAUCAAGAAAACUAAGCAGAACAUUUUCGAGGACCGAUAUAUUAUCUACAAUGAAAAGAUAGUGGAUCCUUAGUCUAAUGGAGACAACAAAAUGUACAUUUAGACCAACUCAUAGCAUAAAAGAUAAUAGGUACCUAAAUGCAAUAUCCCCAAAGAAGACAGGAUGUAUGAAUGAAAAUAUUUGGCAUGAUGUGCCAGCAAAAUUAUAGUUGCUUACUAUGGAGUCAACUAAAGAUAUUCUUCAGGAGUCACCACCAUGGUAGAAUACACAUUCACAAAUGAUAGCAAACAUCUCUCACCAAGAAAUAAAGAAAAAAGAAAUAAUAUUUUGCCUAAGAUCAGUUAAAUAUGAGUCAUAUAUGUGAAGUUUAUAUAAUAUUGGCAACCGACCUUAGAGCAUGAUUAAACCUACAAAACAGAAAAACAUUGAAGAAUAGAACACCAAUAUUCUCAUGACAAAUAAACAAUAAGAAACAUUGAAGAAUAGAACACCAAGUAAUUGCAUUCACAACACACAAGACUUGUGAGUGAGGUUAUGUUAUGGAGCUGAAAAAAAAAACAGAAAUAGUAGCUAGAUACUAUAUAGUAUUGAUAAGGUAAUACAAAUAAUUAAAUGCUUCAUUAGCUUCCUAAAGUACACUGUAAAACACGUAUCCUAAAUUUUGUACCUGAAUAACUGAGUAUUAUGAGAACCUAGUAAGUAAUUGUAGAAGCUAAUAUACUUAGAUCCUAUCAUAAAAACCACAGUAGAAGUAUAUACACCAUUUACUUCUAUUUUGUUCAUUCUUUAGAGAAACGACAUAUAAAACCACAAAAAAUAGAAAUUAUUAUAUUUUCCUGUGAAAAAAAACUACCAAAUCCUGUAACUCCUUAUUCCACCUUUUUGCAAGUUAAGAUUAAAAAUUUUAGAUAAGAAAAUUAACCCAAAUUUAAGACUUUCUAUCUUCAUUGCUGGUAUUUUAUUUAUUUGUAGGAAAAUUUUUUGUUAACUCAAAAACUAUGAUUUAGAUAACUAGAGAAAAAAAAAAUGAAGCUAACAUUACAAUAUCCCAAGGCCGUGAAGCUUUGGUAGAAUCAUUGUUUCUUAAAGUGUAUUGCAAGCAACAAAACCUCCCAAACCUAGCAACAGUAAAAUAAAAUAGAUUCACUUCAAAUAUCUCAGGUAAGAAGAGUUGAACUUUAUUGGCAUAAUAAAUAGAAAAAUACCAAUGAGUAUGAUUGUUGCAUCUGAUACUCCGUAGAGCAUUACAUCCUACACAUGAAAACAAAUCAGAUACAAUAUAUCUCUUUUGAAACACUUCUCUAUUAAGCAUUUUUUUUAGGGAAAGAAGUACUCAUUUUCAGUAUGCAAGUAGAGAAAGAAAGGAAGACAGAAGAACUACUAGAGUGUUUCUACUUUACACCUUGGCUUGUACAGCUUUGAAGCCCAUCAAGCAUGCAGUAAUAUGUAAUUUCCUAUAUUUUCCAAAAUAUUCCCAAAAAAGAAUGAAUAGUUAGUUAUAAAGAAAGCUAAAGUUUAGACAAAAGAAAUGUCGUGUUUUUAACAUUUUUAAUACAUAACACAUAUAUAUACAUAUACUGAUCUAACUUUUGAAUUAGAAGAGUAUAUAUAUAACAAGAUCAAAAUAAAUUAGGAUUUGAAGUAUCACACCAUAUAUGUACAAAAUAAUCAAACAACAACAAUAUUGUAAUUAGAAUUAUAUAUUAUAUUAUGAUCACUAUCAACUUAAAUGAUUUAGCAUCUAAAUUUGUUUAUAAUAUAAAAUGAGUUUCACAAUAGAGGGGAACUAACAAUUAUUUACUCACAUGUGAAGAAUAAAUGACCCUUAAAAAGGUCAAAAUAUCCAAUUAUACGUCUUUAAAUCUUGUUCGAUCAAUCUAAUUAAAUUUAAUCUAAAUCAUAUAUACAUAUAUAAUAGGGAGAAAUUCAAAGUUUGAAACAUAAAUUUAAUUAAUUAAAACAAGAUUUUCAAAAGAGUUUAUAACAAACUUUACCUUUAAAAGGAGUUUGAUAAAGGACUUCAAGCGUGAAAGUUCAAAAUCACAAACUUAAAUAAAAUACCACCAGAUAUGUACCACAUUAGUUGAUCAAAGCAAACACACACACUAAAGAGAGGGAGUAGGGAAAUGGGAAGGAAAUGGCACCAUCACUAAGAACAUGAUUUAAGUAUCAAUAAAAAGUCAAUAUUCUCCAAGCAAAAACAUGAAAACUAAUCAUAAAGAAUUAGGAUUAUGUUUUAACCAAUCAAAAUUUUAUUCAAAGAGUCUUAUCCCCUACUUCAAAAGAAAGUUAACUAAUAAAAUUAGAACCAUUAAAAUAAAAUCUUGUUCACCAGGAUUCCACUAUAAUAACAUUCUAAAAUGAUUUCCUCCCAUGUACAUUCAAUAUAAUCAAGAUUUCCUCCCAUGGGCAUUUCAUCAAACAAUUGGUGGGCAACACAAAAGAAAGAAUAUUCAUUUACUUAGUGGCAACCAGGAAACUAGAAAAAUUAAGAAAUAAAUACAAAAAUUUGUGAAGAACAUAUCUUAGAUGCAAUGUUGAGAAUUGAGUUUCAAGUUUAAUUGAAAAAAUCGGCAGGAGAAAGAACUCGAUUCUUCUUAAAUUUCGACCAUGAGGAUUUUGUGUCCAGAAACCACUUUGCAAUCUAGCAAAUAGCCUAAAGCUUUAUUCAAAUGCCAUAAAACUAUCUUUUUUGGGAUGACUUACUCAAAGAAAAGUACAGAGAGUAACGAUUCAAAACCUUUCAACCCUUUCUCAUAAAGACCUAAACUAACAUUCAUCCUUAAUUGGAAACUAAACAAAGAACAACAGAAGAGGUAAAAAAAAAAAAAAGUAAUAAUAAGGGAUGAAGAAAUUACAAUUGCCUUCUGGAAAUGAGGAUAAGAGGUGGAACGAAUCUGGGAAAGGCGAGAUUUGGAGGCUUCAGUGGCAGACUCCAAACAGUGGUCGUAGCCCGUUCGUCGUGUAGUACAAGAGGUACGGGAGGCAUUGGAGUGGGGAGAUGACCAUGAGGGGGCAGUGCCGAUGAUGGACCUCGUCGUCGUCUGGAGAAGGGAGUUCAAGGAGUUCGGAGAUUGGGAGGCGAAAGGGGAGAAAACAGAAAGGGGAGGCAAAAGGAGAGAAAAACGAAAGAAAUGGGAAAGGGGAGAAGGGAAUAAGUUAAAAAUCCCUAAAAAAGAUUAUUUUUUAUAUAUUAAAUAUAUUGUUUUAUUAUUAUUUUAUUUCUAUUUUAUGAUCUUAAAUAAUUGUCGCGAAAAAUAUUUUCUGAAAAUUUUUAUCUUUUCACUUCAAAAACGCAUUUUUUUUUUCAUUCCGUGACAUAUUUUUUUCUCCCUCUCUUUUGUGAUAUGAAAGGAAUUAACCUUUUAUAACUUAGAAGUUCAAAAGCGAAUCAUCGCAGCUGUGAAAUGUCGAGAAUGUGCUAAAUAAUGGUAGUGGAUGAAAUUAAGACCACCAUGCAUGCAUGCACCACAUAUACUAAAAUAAAUAAUAUGUCAGCCAGAGCAGAGCAAAGGAGUAAUGAUAUUAUGUAUAUUAAUUAUCCUUUUGUUUUGGCUAUGCUUUUAAUUACCUGUACUGUUGUUUUGAGUGUUUGAUUAAAAUAAAGAUACAUCUUUUAAUUGUCAAUUUAAUUAUCUGUACUGUUGUUAUAAGGUGUUUGUUUCUCCCUCUCUCUCUUUAUAUACAUAUAUUAACCUACACAUGCAUCCUAUCUAUUAAUUGGAAAAAGUUUAAUUAGCCAUUUGGGUGCACCUACUACCGAUCUCUCAACUACUUCUAGUAUUUUAUGUUGAAAAGAGUCGAAAGGAAAUUUAAGAACACAUACAAAUAUUUAACUGUAUAUUCAAUAACCAUAACCACCUUUUCUUUCUAACUAGACAUUUAAUGCGCUAAGUUAAGUCUUUUUUUUCUUUCUUUUAAAUUACAAUACCAACAACUAUUUUUUUGUCCUGAUUCACCAAGAUCGAUAUAGAAUUUUUAACCAUAUCAAUAUUCAAAAUAUUGAUGACAUAACAUUCUAUAGUUUAAUCAUCACAAUGUGGUAGACAUUUAGAAUGCCAUGAAAAUAUUAUAGUUUAAUCAAUCCGUAAAAGUUGACCCAAAAAUUGUAUGUAUUAAAUUGAUCUAUAUAAAUAAACUGCAAUAUAAAUUAAGCUGACCUGAAUUUGCAAUAUAAAUUUAAGACGACUUACCAUUGCGUUUAUAAAAAAUUUCAAUAUAAAUUAAGAAGACCCAAUAUAUUGCAAUAUAAACUAAGUAGACCCAGAUUGCUAUAUAAGUUAUCCUGAUGAUCACUUGAGUUAGAAUUAAAUAGAAUUAAUAAGAAAAAUAUGGAACUACCAGAGUUCAUUGGGUUGCAAUGCAAAAACUAUAACAACAAAUACUUGCGCUACAUCUAUGAAGACAAUGAGGCACAUGGUUUGCAUCAAUUCUCCAGCGACACCGUGGUGAGCGGCUAUGCAAAAUUCAAGGUGGAAAAGGCAAAUAUUGGGAACGGAUACGUUCAUAUCCGAUCCCUCUACAACAACAAAUAUUGGGUUCGUCGAUCUCCAACUGAAUGGUGGAUCACUGCCAAUGCCGACGAGCCAGAUGAGAAUGAAUGCACAUGGACAUGCACAUUAUUCGAACCUAUUCAAGUGGAUAGCUGCAACAACAGUGGUCUUACAAUUCGCCUCCGCCACGUUCAACUCGGCCACUUUUUAUGUCUUUGGCGGAUCCCUCCACCCUACGAGGCUUGCUUGUUUGCAGCGUCUACAGAUCAUGACGAAUCGCACUUAGACAUCUUUACGGUCUUUGAUUGGGAUUCUCUCUUCGUUUUACCCAAACACAUUGCUAUCAAAGGUGACAAUGGCUGCUACCUUAGGAAAAAUAGGUUCCAAGGAAUGAACUAUCUUACUUUUGACUGUACCAAUAUAAGUAACAAAGACGUCGCAAUUGAGGUCUUCGACACCUCUUUUGGCGACGGUACCAUCACAAUCAAAUCUGUUUGCUUCGAUAACUUUUGGUCGCGUGAAAGAUGUGAACAUUGGGUUGUGGCUGGGUCUUGUAACUGUAACGCCAACGAUCCCAACAAUUUGUUCUUUCCCAUAAAAGUUAGCAAUAAUGUUGUUGCUUUGCGUAAUAUGGGUGACAGUUUGUUCUGCAAGAGAUAUACUGACGAGGGUGUCAUUAGCGGCCUCAGCGCCGUCAGCUCUACCAUUACUGUAGAGGCAAAACUCGAGGUGUAUGAACUUGUUGCCUAUAGAGCGAUCGAAAAUGUUCAAUUUUGCCUCUCGGACGGUCGGAUCUAUGACAAGAAAGUUAUCACUGUUGCUACUGGCUUUGCUGAAAACAGGUUAAAUAUAAUUCUGUUACCAUUCUCUUUUGCCUUCAACAUUUCAUACUUAACCAUUUUGAUGUUUUCAGCUUUAAAUUUAGUUUUGGUUCAAUAUUUUGCAAUUUUACCAUCAAACUUGUUGCCUAUAGAGCUCAUUUCUCAAAUUUGAAAGUUUUUGCAAAAAAAAAAAACUAGAUUUAACUUUUUUGGGAUUAGUGGACACUAAUCACGUGACCACUAAUUAAGGAUUGCACCAAUGACAUUUUAAUUAGUUAAACCCAUAAUGGUUGACGAGUAAUUUAUGGGCAUACAAUUCAAUUAAACUAUUCAUAAGCUCAAAUAAAAUGAAAAUUAUUAGUGCAUCUUUGUACAACUCUCCCAGUUUUAUACUUAUGAACUUAAAUAAUUAAGAAAGAUGCAUGAACAUGUGUGUAGCCGAUUAUUAAUUACUCAAAUGAUAUUUGGUUCGACGGUGGUGAAGGACAAAACAACUCGCUGUGAUAGAUGUGAAACUUUCAUACAACGACACGAGGGUAAGUGCUUGGAGCUCUACAGUUUCGGCGAAGCUCGACGUGGAAACAAGCGUCAUCAAAUCGAGCGUUCCCAUCAUUUUUGAAGAGACUCUGGCGAUUGGACCUGAGUUGUUUUCAGGAGAAUAUGAUUGGGGAGAAGAUACGAACUUGACAAAGAAGGUGGAUACUGUGCACAAGGUUUUGGUGCAGCCAUGCUCGAAUGUUAGAGUGAAUUUGGUGGCAACACAAGCUUCAUAUGAUGUGCCAUUCUCUUACACACAGAAUGAUACUCUCAUUAGUGGCGAAAAGAUUUCACUCAACAUGGAAGAUGGGAUUUACAAGGGAGUUAAUCUUUACAACUUUAAGUUUGAAACUGAAUGAUCGCGGUUUUGAAUGUUGUUGUGUGUGAUUUGUGUUAAUAAUGGUGGAGGAGUCUGCAUGUUCUUAAACAUGUUUGUUCGCCACAGCAAAGGAGCAGCGUUAUGCUUCUUAGUUUGCAUUUUCUCAUAUAUCAGUUGUGAUAUUAUGAGUGCAUGUGUGUUAAUAAGCUACUGAUCAUAUGAUGAUCUUUUCAUGUUUUUAUGGGAAUUUACCCAACGUUUAUUAUAAGAUAUAUUUUCAUUUCUAACUUUGCUAAGAGGUAGGUAUGGAUUUUUUAAGUUAUUUUUAUUAUUAUUACUACUAGCAAAAACGAGAAUAUCACAUCUUUGAAAAGAUAAUUAAGAGAUCUAAUGCAAUUUGAUCAAUUGGAUAGUUAUCUAUAAUUCAAUUAAUCCACACGUCAGUUAGAUUUUAGUCAAACGUUUACGUGAAAAAAAAAAUUGCAUGUCAAAUUCAACAAACAAUUUAGAAGUACAAAUAACUAACACUACUAGAUUUAUAAGUUUUUAAUAAUAAUUAAUUUUUAACAAGUUUAUUAUUCAUAAAUUAAAAAAUUUUAAAUACUAAAAAUAUUUUUAAAUAUAAUCAAAAUAUCAGAUCGAUAGUGUGACAUAGUUUGUGUAUAUAUAUAUAUAUAUAUAUUUGUUAUUGGAAAAUUGCAUUAGAAAAAAGCAAUUCACAAUAUUUUUUUAUAUUACAAAUAUAAUAAGUAAUCAAAUUUUAAAUUUAUUAUUUUUGUAAUUAAAAAAAAUGUAAAAAUAUGAAUUUUAUUGUUAUAAUUUUGUUUGGUUGGUGUUAUUAAACGGACCUAAAUGAACUUUUUUUAGAAGAAAAAGUAAAAUAAUUAUAGUGAGGUUUGAUAUCACAAAAUAAUGCAUGGCGUGGCUGUUUGCAAGCCUUAUGUUUUGAAGUAUCAUUCAAUAUAAUGUUGUUUACAAAGGGAAGGUCCACCGACAACCUUUAAUCCCACAGCCAAAUGACCACACAAUCAUUCAAUACCAACCCAUACCCAAAGCCUGCAUAGUUGCCACGACCCACCAUCUAUUUUCAUCAUUCCCGGAAUUCAAGACAAAGGAUAGCCAAUAAAGCAACUCAAGAGUCAAGUUUUUGUUUGCUUAAACAGCUCCAGUGACUAAAGGAUGACUAUCUUCAAUCUCAUCCACACACUUCACCUACCCCUCUGCCAUAGCUCUUAACACCCCAAAGCUUUUACUGCUCCAUCCAAACCCAAAUUAAGGUAGGAAAUAAAUUUGUAAUGAAGAAAUAAAAAGACUGUGAUAAAGGCUAUAUAUAAAGACAAGCAGAAAAUAUGACAAUCAAAAGCAUCACUUGCUUUAUCUUGUUGAGAAGAGCUGAUCUCUUGAGAAAAGAAAAUAUGACAGCUUCAAUCUCAGCCAACCAUUUCCUCUUCCUCUUCCUCUUCCUUAUUCUCUCUUCUUCCAUAGCUUAUACACAACAAGAUGAAGCUUUCUUCAUUAAUAAAUCCAUGGAUAAAAAGCUUCUAGGCCUUGAAACAGAGCAACUAAGCCAUUUGCGGGUAUACUGGCACGACGUUUUAAGUGGCAACAAUCCGACUUCGAUCGAAAUCGUGCCCCCAAUUUCAGACAAAUUCAUUUCAGGAUUUGGCUACAUUAGAAUGAUCGACAAUGCGUUGACAGAGGAACAAGAUCGAAGUUCGAAAUUAUUGGGAAGAGCUCAAGGAUUGUACGCAUCAGCUUCACAAGACAAAGUUGCAUUGUUAAUGGCUAUGAAUUUUGUGUUUACAAGUGGGAAAUACAAUGGAAGCUCCAUUUCCUUAUAUGGAAGGAAUCCAUGGAUGGAGGACGUUAGAGAGCUGUCAGUAAUCGGAGGAAGUGGUCUGUUUAGGUUCGCAAGAGGGUAUGCUAAACUUCAUACUGUUGAGCUUGAUAUUGCCAAAGGGAAUGCUGUUGUUGAGUACAACAUUUACAUAUUCCAUUAUGCCGAUUCUAUUGCGUUGUUUUAAGGUCGACAUGAAUUCGAUCUUCUAAGUGAUUAAAAAUAAUUGUUUUUCCAUUUAAGAGCACUUUUUUUUAGUCAUCCGAAUAUGUAUUCUUUAAAUUUGGUUUAUGAAAGAAAUUCUCAUUUCUUCGAGAAACUUUAAGAAACGUUUCUCAAAAAGUGCAAAAUUUGUCUAAAAUUUUGUAAAUUUAAUUUUCUUUUUAAUUUUGCAGUACAUAUAUAUUUAUAUAUUAUUUUAGUUUCAGCUCCUAUUUUUCAUUGGAAUACAAAACCAUUUAUAAUUUUGCAAUAUAUAUUUUUUAUCACUAAAACUAUCAAGCUAGAACACAAAUAAAUAUGACAAAAUAAAUACAAUUAUAUAUGAUUGUUAAGAUGAUGAUACGUACCCGAUGAAUGUCUCCUAUCAAGAACUAUAAAAUUUUGCUAUAUUUGUAAAUAUUUUCAACAACUUUGUCAUUUACAAUCAUUUUUUUAAUUUAAAUAUGAAUUAAUAGUCUUUUAAAAAUGAAACACAAUUAUUUAACAAAAAAAUUUUUGAAAAUUACCUUCUAGCAAGUGAUUUUUAUGUUAACUCAACUGAUACAUGUAUAAUGUAUGUAGUUGUAGUUGAAGACGAGACAUUUAUCAAAAGUCACUUGAAAUCAACUUGUAGGCUUACAAGCAGUGAUUGAGUGAGAAUCAGUUUGAAAUCAACUUGUAGGCUUAUAAGUGGAGUGAGAAUCACUCUUAGGGAUUUGGUUUAAAGUGUUUAUCGAUGCUUGAGAAUAAUGAACUUUAAGAAAUAUGAUACAUGCGAAUAAGAUUGUCGAGAAUCAGAAUCGACGUUGGUUUGAUUGUGUAUACAAAAUUUUGAAUCAUUUGUAAAUCAGCAAAUGAAGACCUGAACCAUAUUUUCAUUCAUUGUUCAAAAGGGCAAGAAUUAUGGAAGAGAGCUAGUGAGGAAAUAUACAAAUACAAAGGCCCUAUGUCUAACUCUAUGUAAACUCAUAUACAACAAUAUAUAUAUAAAAAGUAUCAUCAGAUUCAACAUGGGGGCCGCUAUCAUUUGGGUGUUAUCUGGUUGGACAGAAACAAUUUGAUCUUCAAUGACAAAGAAAUUAGCAUGUUAGAUACUUGAGAAAACAUUUGCAACCUGAUAGGAAUGUGGUGAUCAAGUAGACACCAAUGUUUCAAAAACUAUAGUUAGAUCACAAUCUCUCUAAAUUUAAAUGUUUUCAUUAACUAAAUUGUACUUGAUUUUAAGGGGCUUCACUCUACUCCUUUAUCUCUAACUUCCCUGAUCAAUAAAUGGGUUAUGUGUGGUCUAAAUAUAGGAUUAAACAAUAAUUAAAUUGAGAAUCAAUAAUAAUUUUAAUCACUUUUUCAUCAUUGUCACAUGAUAUAGGAUCACAAAUAAUGUUAGAAGAACAGUGGUUUUCAGUAUAUCAUAAGCAAUUUUGAUCCUUCCACAAUAACUCUUAAUGAUCAUUUUAAGACUUUGGUAGGCGAAAUCUAAAAAUAACACAACAAACAAUCAAGACUAUAUAUAUAUAUAUAUAUACAUACAUAGCCUUAAAAAACUUUAUUACACAAAACUUGACAGAAUGAAGAAAAAGGGGUAAGGAAAAAGGAAAUGAAAAGGAGAGUAAAGCUAACACACAGCUCAGCUAAUUAGUUGUGUGUUCUAUUGAUCUCCAUCACUUGUUCCUGUGAGCAUAUGCUAUUGCGUAUCCUAAACUGUCCUCAUAACAACUUUGUUUUCUGUCUUCUCCCUCAUGAGUACUGGAACAUAGAGGUCACUCAAGUCAUAUGUUUGCUUCUGAUCUUCAUAUUUCUUUGCUCCAAACAAAUUAGCAUCACCCAAAUUCUCGGUCACCUCCCUGCCCUUGAUCUCGAUCACCUUCCCCAUUCGAUCAUCGACGACUCUGCCCACUACACCACCGACGAACGACGAUCCAGGCUCAUCCCCCAAUGGUUCAAUCGCAAACCCAGACCCAUGAACUACACCUCCAAAUUUUCCAGUACUGGCUUUCCCUGGUCUCUUUACAAAAUCUAUUUUUUCUAGCUCUCUUUUAAGUGCUUAUAAAUUAAUUCCUUUGUUGUUUAAUGGCACAUUCGAGCCCAAAGGAAAAGAAGGUAAUUAUAAGACCCAAUCAAGGAGAAAUCAAUAUUUAUAUAUUGGGUAGAGAUCAUAAUUUCAAAAAAUAGCCAAAUAAAUGAAAAAUAUUUACAAAAUACGACCAAAUUUUAGAUCUUUUUAAUUCCAUAGAAACCUACCAAGGAUAUUGAUGGACACCCAUAAAAUGUAUAUUAUAUUUUAUAAAUAUUUUCAGCAUUUUUCAUUUAUAAUAAUUUCUUAUAUUUUUUCGAUUAAUAUUAUUAUUGAUAGGGGUGUAAGUCCAACCUGACUAACCCGAUAACCUGGACUACUCAACUCAUAUAUGGGUUGGGUUAGAUUAGUUUAAAAUGUGGAUUGUAUUGAAAAAUUUUGGUCUUUUUUGGGUUAGGUUGUGUCUUGAGUUGAAGUCGAAAAAUUCAGUUCAAAACAACUCAAUCCAACUCGAAUUAAUAAUAUAUAUAUUUUAUUAUUUAAUUAAUAAAAGCAAAGUUAUAAGUAUCUCGUUAAACGAUUAUGGACGAUAGUAUGAAAAGUUAGUCGAUUGUGUAAGAACUAUUCUAUUGUUAGGUAGGUUGAAAAUGAAAAAAUAAUAAUAAUUAAACCCUAAACCCAAUCCAUAUUUUACGGGUUGGGUUGAGAAAUGAAUUCGCGUUAUUUGGGUUGUCAACCUAACCAAUUUGAAAAUAUGAGUUAAACUGAAAAUGUCUCUCAACCCAACCCAACCCGUCCACAAACUUAAUUAUUGGCCCCUCCUUUUGUCAAUCAUUCUUCUUUAUUCAUUAUUACCUCCUCUCAAUAAUUCAUGCAUGUAGCUCCUCCAAAAAAAUAUCUUAGCACAACUUCUCUCCACAAUCUCAAACUACAAAAGCAAAGCAACCUUCCCGGCCUCGACAAAGCUAAGAGAAUCAUAACAAAAAAAAUAGAGAGAAAGUUAAAUUAUGGAGGAAGAAAGCCAAUUAAACACAGUGCCUAAAUACUUCACUCUCAAAUCGAGGCAAAAUGGUCGUUAUCUUCGUUACAUUAACGACGAUAAGACCAUGCAUGGGUUUCUCACAUUCUCUGGAACUCAUGUCGUGAGCCCUUUCGCAAAGUUUGAAGUUGAAAAGGCUAAAGAGAAAUCUAACAAGGGUCUUGUUCAUAUCAGGUGUGUAACAUUUAUUAAUUUUCUCUAAACAUUUCUGAAAGCUUGUUUUACAAAUUUGUAUAUAUUUUUCUGAAAAUAUGUUAGGUUUGGAUCGAGCCUCUAUCAGUUGAUAUGCUCAUUUUAAUAAUACGAGUUCAAACUUGACAUAUUCAUUGAAGAUGAUGAACCAAAUGUGUGAUGGUUUUGGGGACAAGAAUAAGAUCCAAAAGCAUAUACUGUUAUGCCAUUUGAACUAAUUGGGUAUUUGAAGCAAAAGGAAAUCUACUAAUAAAAAAGAUACAAAAGACCAAAACCUCACUCUCAAUCACACACAAAUAUAUUUGUUAUAAACUAUUGUUCUCUAAAAAAGAUUUCCUUUUAAGGUGUUGUUACAACAACAAAUACUGGGUUCGAUGGUCAGAAAAAUCCAAGUACAUUGUUGCAAAGGCGAACGAACCGAAUGAAGACAGAACAAAAUUCUCAUCGACUUUGUUCGAACCCACCGUCUUCAACAACGAUCAAAAAAUCUUCCGUUUCAAACACGUGCAACUCAACCAUUACGUUGAGCUACGAUACCACAAGGCAAAACAAUUCCAAGACGCUCUGUUCGCCAAUGGCUUAGCAUUCGGAUUCGACAAGUCAGAUCUCUUUACCAUAUUCGAUUGGUCCACCCUGUUCGUACUUCCAAAACAUGUAGCAUUCAAAGGCAACAAUGGACAUUACCUCAAAGUUCAUUCCUCAGGAACCAAAUAUUUAGAGUUUUCAGGAUCCGAUGUGGGAGGUCCAAGAGUGGGAAACCAAAUCUUCACCACGGCUGAUGGACAUGUAAGGAUUAAAAACGAUUAUUUGGGGAAGUUUUGGAUACGUGAUCCGAAUUGGAUUCUUGUAAAAGCUAGUGAGAGCGAUUUUGAUGAUCCGAACAAUCUGUUUUGGCCGGUUCGGCUUGGCGAUGGCCAAGGCAUAGCGCUGCGAAACAGAGGAAAUGAUAUGUUCUGCAAGAGUCUGAGUAAAGAUGGGAAAAAUAAUUGUUUGAAUGCUGCUGUGGACAGCAUCAGCCCUGAGGCUAAGCUCCAGAUUGAAGAACUUGUUAUUUCUAGGACCAUUUAUGAUGUCAACUUUCGAGUUUUAGAUGCUCGAUUCUACAACGAGACGCCAAUAACUAUGACAUCUAAAGAGGUUAAUUCAACAGCUUUAAUUUCGUUUUGUUUGAUAUUCAUUUUACCUUUCAUCUAAAAAGGAUGCUAAGGAGGUGUCUCAUUUAGUGAGGAUGUUGAAUGCACCUGUUAUGAACCUUCCGUAGUUUUUAAAAAAAAAAUGAAAAAAAAUCAACCAAAAAUGUCCUGCCGUUUUUAAAAAGCAGUUUAAUAUGAAACCAUAAUGAAAACUCGAGCUUAAGAAAUCUAAAUCAUCAUUUACAUAUUAUGUUAAUAGAUGGUGAACAGAAGUAGUGAACCAGAGUUGCAAAAGCUGAAACUUAGGUAUGAGGAUACGAAGUCGUCGACAUGGACAAACUCGGUGGGAAAGAAGUUAGGGAUGAAAAUGUCAAUUGAAACAGGGACUCCAGAGAUAUCAAGUCAAGAAAUAGAAGUAUCAGCUGAGUUCAAAGAGGAAUAUACAUGGGGAGAAACUAAAGAAACUAAGUCUCGAAUGGAGGUUGAGCAUCACGUCACAGUACCACCCAACAGUCGAGUGAUAGCCAAAGUUUUAUCCACUAAAGGAUUUUGUGAUAUUCCAUAUUCCUACACUCAAAGAGAUGUUCUAACCAAUGGCAAAGUUAUAAUUCAACACUUCGAUGAUGGGGUUUACAUUGGAAGCAAUUGCUAUAACUACACCUUUUCCGCAGAACAAGAAGAUCUCUGAUUCAAAACAACUAGUACUGAAUCGUCACAACUGAGAUAUAUUCCAGUGCACCGACGGAUCCCCAAUUAAUCUUGUACUAAAUAAUGAUGGUUUGAGUGUGAUUUUGUGCUAUUGUUUGUGCUUUAUGACGUGUGGUGUUGAUAAACUAUAUCUGUUCUGUGAAGCCAAUAAUAAGUGAUCCAUGCAUGUACUCAUUUCAAUUAUUCUGAGUUUGUUUACCAUUGGGAACUGUAUGUUAGAUUUAAUUUAAAUCUAAAAAAUUAUCAUUGGUGUGACUGUAUAUUGUCUGUUAUCUUAUUUCUUUAAUUAGAUCUAUUUUAGUAGGUCAAUUAAAUAAAAGGUAGUUCCCAUGAUUAAACAUUAGUAAUGCCUUGCAGUUUUUUUCUUUUGAAAUGGAUAUGAUGAAUCAGUAGGUGCAUCCGAACAUUUCUACUACGUGAACAUCCCUUAACACUUUUAUCAUUUUCGCUUCAUUAAUAUAGAAAAUAAAAAUAUACGAGAAGCAAGGGAUCAAACCAAACAAAAUACAAAGGACCAGAGACAAGUCGAAAGCAAGUAGUACAAAAAAUUAGUUAGCGUUAUAGUUGGUAAACAAAGGGGGAUCUAUUGGCUGUCCAACAACUAGAAAGAACACAUAUAUCAUCCCAGAUGUUAAUGAUCAAACAAUUUCUGUCUUUGAAGAUAGUGACAUUUCUUUCCAACCAAACCUUCCAUAACACAGUCGAGAUGGUAUUGAAUUUAAUAAUGCCUUUUUUGCUCUGUUGUUUUAUAACACACGGCUCAGAACAUAGAAAUGAAACGUUGUGAUGUUGAAGCUUCCAUGAUAAGAGGCUUAAGAGGCUUUCUAUCUUCGACCAUAACUCUUUGACAAAUCUACAGCCGAUGAAAAUGUGGUCUAGGUCUUCAGAAUGUUGGCAGCACACAGUUCUAUUGCUGUUUACUUUAAUCAAUUAUCUAACUUAUGUAUAACAGAUUCAUGCAUAAAGCAAUUAAACAUAUAUAAUCUCCAUUUGGUAUUCUUCACAUUUUCAUGGAUAUACAUUGUAAUCAAUAUAAUAGUAAAAAAAUUCAUGAAGCAUAAAAAAAAUAAACAACAAAGUGUGAAUAAUAUAAUGUAAUUAUACGUCAAUAUUGUUUUUUUUCAACAAAAAAAAAAGUCAGUAGAUGCAUCGGGACAUCUCCACUAGGUGGACACCUCCGUAGCACAAUUAUCAUUUCCACUUCAUUAAUAAUAAACGAUCGAUCAAAGAAGCAAGAAAACAAAACCAAGGGCUAGAGGAAAGCCCAAUGGGGACCCAAAGUCAUGAACCAACCCGAAAAAGUAGAUUAUACAAAACCAUUUAAAUUAAGAGCAAUAGAGUUGAGUGAGUAGUUUGAGAAAAGAAAGGAUAUGCUUUUCCAGAGACUUGAGAGAGCUUUAAUGUCUUCCCAAAUCUCAGUAUAUGAUUUUUCCGUCCCAUUAAAUAUUCUUCUAUUACUUUCGAGCCAAGUAGACCAUAGAGAGGCAGCCACCAAGUUUUUAAACGGGUGCAACACGAGAAUUUUUCAAGUGGCCACCCAACCUAGUACUACCUUCGCCAAGCAGAGUUUUGAUUGGAUUUGAUGCAAUAGUGCGUAGUUCUGAUCGUCCAAGCCACCAAGUUGAAAUUAACAAUUUUCUUAUAUUAUUGUUAAUAUUGUUUUAAAAUCAUAAAAUAUUCAUUUACUUGUUUAAAUCUUUUUUUUUAUUUGUGUUUUUAUAUUUUGGAACACUUGCAAAAAUGACAAAAUAAGUUAUAAUAAUUAAGUUCAUAUCACACACAUUUUAUUAUUUGCGAAAAUGACAAAAACGAAGCUCAGCCCACACAUCAAGAGGUAAAGUGUCAUAAAUGUCAUCGUUACUAAUAUAUGUUUGAUACACCUUAUACACGUUUGAUACACCUAAUACACCAAUUGAUACACCUGACACUUCUUGAUACACACCCGAUAAAUUUGAUUGAUACACUUGAUGCACCUGAUACUCUUUGAUACAAUCGAUACCGAAACAUUACUAAUAUAUGUUUGAUACACCUGAUACACUGCAGAUACAUUUUGUAUUCUUCACUUAUACAAUUGAUUGAUUAAAUGCACUUGAUAUGCUUGAAGUCCUAUUUAUACAUUUGAAAUACUAUUGAUAUACACUCGUAAACUCGAUUCAUAUACUUGAUAAUGAUUCAUUUUACUGAUAUUAUUUAACAAUAUAUUGUUGAUAUACUUGAUAAUGAUACAGUGAGUUGCAUCAUUCAUAUACUUAAUAAUACUCUAAUGAACGGCAUAAAAUUUGAAAAAAAAAAUCACAUAGUAAGUAUAUUAACCAACUAAAACAUAUAAUAUAAGUAUAUCACAACACUUAUAUAUGAAACUGAGACAAAGUAAAACCAAAAAAAUAAUGUAAAAAAAUAAAACAAAAUCAUUUGGAAUUAGAUUCAACUCAAAAUACACAUCGAAGAAAGUAAAAAAAAAAUCACAAAUGAAGUUAAAUUACUCCGAUCAAUAACCAUUAUAUUAUAUUUCAUAUUGCAAUUAUUGUAGUAUUGAUAUUUUUAAAUUAAAAUUAAGACAUAAAGAAUAAAUAAUUUUUCUAGUAUAAAAAUAAACAAAUAAUUAGGGCUUUAAAAAAUGAGAACAUAAAUAAAUAAUGAAUAGGACAUUAGAAAGAGGAAGAGAAAUAAGUUAUUGAAAUGUAGUUCAGGAAUAAUAUAAAAUUUAAGAUGGAGAAGUGAAAAUUUUGCCAUAUUUACAAAAUUCUAGAGCAUUGUGAUAUAAUUGCUAUAUCAUAUUCUCAAAAUACUAUUCUAUGCAAUUUUCUUUAUAUUUUUGUGAAAAUAUUAACCGAUAUGAACAUUUUGUUCUAUAGAAAUUUUCGUAAAAUUAAGAUCUUACUAUUUUUGCUUAAACCAUCCUAAUAGAAAAUGUAAAGAGAGAUUUGGAUGAAUUUGGACGUAAGAAGCAUAUACUUUAACAAUAUUAGAUGAAAUAAAUAAGACAUUAUAGGCAGAAAGUCACCUAUGUAUUUCUGUAAUAAUUAUAAGGUGACUUUAUAAAGUUUUAUCUGUCUUUUUAGCCAUAUGAUCACCGUAUGAGAAAGAAAAAAAAAAAUUUAACACCCACCAAAAAGUGAUGUUUCAAAGUAAGUUGUGUCAUAUUCAAUUGGGACCUAUAACAAUGAAAGUAUAUAUAUAAAAUGAAUCACAUGUGUAUAUGUAAUAUAGGUUUUGGUUGAUAUUUUUGUUUGUCGUGAAGCAAACACAUUAUUGUCCAAUAUUCAUAUGAUCAUUAUUGAUAUACAUAUAUACACACAUCUUUAUCCCUUUUGCAUAUUUCGAUAAAUCUUUAGCCAAAACUUUUGAAAAUAAUGUGACAAAAGAGAUAGGGUGUUUUAGUUUUUCUUCUGUCUUUGAUGUUACAUUAUUAUAUUUUAUGUGUAUGAUUGUCCUAAAUAUAUGUUGGAAUUGUACAUGUGUUCAACCUCUUUUUGGCUUAGCUCACUUUUUAAUUUCUUAAAGUCAAGAACGUGAUAUAUCUCUAUGUUUGAUAUAGUGUUUAGACGUCGAAAACUCAAUACAUGCACCGUACCCAUGUGACUAUAUAUAUAGAUAUUUGUUGAGAUGAUUCUAUAUUCUCUUUCAUCUAUUAUUGUAAUAAUAGUAUUAAAUUUCUGUCGACGAUAUUUUAUGUAUGGUUCUACGUUAAACUCGAUAGUGCAUAUCAAUAUCGAAUAUUUUAAAGUUUGAUAUAAUCUUUAGAUGUGGAAAUUAAAACUCCAUAGUUGCACUGUACAUCCAUGUGACUAUAUAGAUAUUUAUUGAGAUGAUUCGAUAUUCUCUUUUAUCUAUUAUUGCAAUCAUAGUAUUAAAUUUAUAUCGACAAUAAUUUUACGAAUGUUUCUACGUUAAACUUGAUAAUACAUAUCAAUAUCGAUAAAUUUGAUAGAGUAUUUAGAUGUCUCAACUAGUUGAAACCACUGUUGAACUCUUAUAAUCUCUCAAAGCAAUUUUCAUCCAUCAAUAAAAGAAGUGCACAAGUACUGUUAUUUAUUGCAUGAGUAUCACCUCCAUAUAUUUUCAUAUAUCAAGAUUAUUUGCUUUAGUAUAUACCCUCCAACUUUGCUACUGCAUAUUAUUACUCUCACAAUAUGCAAUAGUUUAAUUUUUUUCGACAAUAAAUCUACAAACACAUCACUAAGAUAAUAAUGAAUAAGUCGCUCAUGAUCAGGAUACAAAACGGAACUUCCCGUUCAAUGGCUAAAGAAUGAGCAACAACACCAUUGCAAAAUCAGAGAUAGAAACAACACUUAACGAAUGGGAUCUGCUUCGACCCAAAUCAUCUGUAAUCUCCUCCAGAAUAACGCCAAUAUACAGGAAUUGUGUAAUUGAAAUUGUUAUCAAUGUCAAUAAUUGUUUGUUGCAUGCGAAAAUUAUCAGUGUAGCUUUAUAGAGUACAAGGUUUGUCUUCUUUGAGUGUAGCUUUUAUAGUUUUAUCUUUAAGUUCAGACACUAAAAUUCUCAUAUUAAAAGAGGUGUCAUCUUUUUAAUUUGUAUACUAAAGAUCUUCAUAUAUAUAUUUGUGAUGGAGAUGUGAGUUUAUAUAUAUACAUACACGAUUUUUGUGGAUAUUUAUUUUGUGAAUCAAAUGUUGUACGGCAAUCUAAUUUCCAUGUGAUUGAUGUAAAGAUGCUUUUGGAGGUCUAAAAGAGCCAUUUUCUAUAUGACGUUCUUGCAAAAUCCAAAUGUAAUCCUACCAUAGAAUAAUAUCACAGAACAGGAACUAGAACUAGAAGCCCUCUUCUGUCUGUGGAUAAUUCUACCAUCUAUCCUAUUUUAAGAUCGUGUUAAAACAUCAUGGAUUUCAAAAUCCUUGAGCAGAAAGAAGACGUUUUAACAGGUGGCAUGAAUUAGACUGCUGUGACGGAGACUUCAUAUAAAUCUUCCUUCAAUGUCAUAUCAAGUUGAUCAAGACCUCUGCAGCUUUCUGCCUCAGGGGGUCUGUUCUUGAUUAGAUAUAGCAAAAUGAAGAAAAAAAAAACUUAUAUAAAAUAUAGCAAUAUAUUUCAUAAUCUUAAUUAAAUUUGGCUGGUAAAUAUUUUGAAUUCUCUUAUAAAAUAUAAAAGAAAUUUAAUCCCAUUUGAUAAUGAUAUUGAAAUUUAAACUUUGUCAAGAACUCUCAAAAUUUCAAUUCAAAUUUCCACUUUUUGUUAGAGAGAGAAUUGAAUUCAUGAUCCUAACAAACCUUUCUUAUUUUUAAUUUUCAAGUGUGUGGUUAUAAGUUGUAAUUAACAGAUUCAAAAGUUUGAGGGCCUCGUAUAUUUUAAAUAUUAGUUUUUAGUUUUCUCGUACUUCAAUAAUCACUUGUGAGGUUGGAGUCGGUUUUUCAAUCAAUUAUGGUUGAUUUAGUAAAUGUUCAAAUUAUGGAUCGAUUUUUAGUCAAUUUAAAUCUUUGAAAUUUUAAAUUUAUAAUGUCAGUUUGGAUUUAUUUCAAACCACUCCUUAAUUAUAUACGACCGUUUGAUUAAUAGAAAGAAUAUUUAAAAACCUAUAGUUUGGAUUGACAAGAUAAGUUUUUUAUUUUUUUCACGAACGAAUUAUUUUUAUUUAUUAAAAUAUACUUAGAAAACCUAUUUUCAAUUGUCAAACACUCAGAUUACUUUUUAAAAUAAUAUUUUUAAAGAAAAAUGUCCGUUUAAAUCUUAAACUAAUAAUUAUACCAUAAACUAUUAGGUGUGUGUUAAAGUAAAACACAAUAGAAUGAGUUAAGUUGAUACAUUUAUAUAAGCUAAGGUCUAACUUCACUUGAAAAUGUAUAGAUUAAUUUAAAGCAAUUCAAUUUUGGGUGAAUUGUCAAAAAUAUUAGCAAAUUUGACAAUAUUUAUAACAAUGUACCAAAAUGUUAGAUGUUUAACACAGAAUGAUAUGUUUCUAUAAGUGAUAUGAUAAAAAUAUAUUGAUUUUUAUCAUUAAUAUGAUCCAAAAUUUUGUUAUAAGUUGUAAGUUUUUUAAUUUAUUUUUGUUGUUUUUGAACCAUAAAAAAAUCUCAAGCAAAAGCAUAUUUGGUUCAUUGAUUUUCUAUAACUUAUUUAUAUAAUUUUCAUCCAAUAAACCUCCCCACAACUCUUGAUGAGAGGUUUGGAUGAAACUCUCCUAACAAAUUAUAGGUUAUAUGUUAUAUAUUGUCCAUUUUAGUGGCCUGUGUUUUUUCUUUUUUAAAAAAAGAAUUCAUGGUCGGUAGGGACAUCUGAAUAUCUCUACUAGAUGGAUAUUCCCUUAGCAUACUCGUUAUCAUUGCUACAUUAAAAUCAAACAAUCGAAGCAUGGGUCAGAAAGUAGAGGGCUAGAUUAGAAAAGCCCAACAAAUCCAACAUUAUACAAAAGCAUGUAUAUUUAAAGCAAUUGUGUACUAGCAUUGUAUUCAUAAAAGAAAUAAUAGAACUUUCAACGAGAAGGAAAAACCACCUUCUGAACUUUGGGAAGACAUAAAGGCGUUUAUCGGUUUGUGGACAAGUAGAUCGAACCAUUGCUUUAAAUCUCAAUGCUUUUGUUUAGAUUUGUAUAGUUGGAUCGUUGAUUGGGCUUCUCUUUGACCCUUUUUGUAUUUGUCUUGCUUCCUGUAAUUUAUUGUUACAGAUAAACGAAACAAGCAUGAUGAGGGUGUCCACCUAGUGGAGAUGUACAGGUGCACAUACUGAUUCAAUCGUAUCUUUUUUUGAAAAAAAAAACAUUGUGUUCAAAAAAGAGUUUCGCUCUAUUGCUUCAAAAUUCAGUAAGAGCUUUUAUGUUGUUCGAUAUUUCAUGUCCAUUGAAGAUUAUGUGAUUUCUCUCCAACCAAAUGGUCCAUAAGGAGAUGGUAAUGGUGUUGAACACGAUGCAUGGAACCCUACUUUCUAUUUUUCUGGUUUAUGUUACUUGGUUCUUUGCAAAGAGAAUGAAAAUACCAUUAUAUUUUUUGUUUCAACUACAAGAGAUAUAAAAGCUAAGUCUUCUCAUGUGACUCCAUGCAUUUAGUUUCAUACAACAUACAUAACUGUCUUUGCUUAUACUUUAUGAAUUAUUUCUCCCUUGCACUACCAAAAAAAGUUUGUGGUACUUUGUAAUUUGCAUUUAACAUAUUUCUCCAUCCACAUAAACAUAAACAUGGUUAUUCUUUUAUAGAUCUUAUUAGUAAUAGAAAUAUGGUUUAUUUAGUACAAGAUUAUUUCCAAACUCAACAUUCGCAAGUAAAAACAAACACAUACCUUUUAUUCUUUGACCCCUCCCCUCCCCUUUGAUUUAUCCUUGGCAUAACAACAUCAAAAUCACAGUCUAACUCCUUCCUCACACAUACAAACACACAAAGUGAAGCUAAAUUAACACAUCAAAUUAAACCAACAGCACACACAAUAAUAUUAUUCUUCACACAUCAUGAAACGCUAAAUCACAAUGAUUCUACUUUUUCAGUCUCAAUUUUAUAAUCAUAAGUUGUAACACCUCUAAAAAUCCCAUCGUCCAAACGAUGUGUCACUUGUCUCCCAUCUUUCAAAGUGUCCCUUCGAGUGUAGGAGAAAGGAAUAUCACAACAAGCUUGUUUUACUACUGCACUAAACUUCACCUUCGACAUUGCCGGUAUCUUUAUCUCCUCUCCUGACUCCACGAAUGAUUUUUCCUUCUCCGUUUCUUCCCUUGUCUUUUCCCCCGAAACCUCCAAUGAAAGCUCAAACUUCAGACUUCCAACCGUUGGAAUCUUGGAAUUAAACCUAGUAGCAACUCCAAAAGUCGACGACACUGAAGAACUCCAUGUUCUUUCCACCUUCUUCUCAUACCUCAACUUCAAACUUACUUUAUCAACGACUUUCGUGUUGUUAAUCGCAACCCCUUUUGACACCGUGAGAGUCUUGUUGCCAUAAACCCUUGCAUCAUUAACACGAUAGUCAACAUCUUCUAUGCUUCUUGCAACAACAAUCUCUGUUACUUCCAAACGUGCGGUUUCUGUUAUCGUUGCAACAGCCGCAUUAAGGCAGUCGGUCUUGCCUUCGGUUGUCAAGCUCUCGCAAAAAUGGUUGUUUGCUUUGUUACGAAAAGCCACAAUAUUGUUAUCAACUUUCACAGGCCAAAAUAAAGUGUUGGGGUCGUCGUUUUCAGUGUCGAUCGAUUGACACCAUAUCCAAUUUGGAUCGCGAAUCCAAUACUUACCUGAACUCACAUGUUUGAUACGAACAUAUCCAUCUUGCAUGGAUAUUAUCUGAAACACAACGGCAGGUUCCUCCGAGCUAGAACCCGAGAAUUUGAGGUAUUUUUCAGAUGGUUCUAGAUAUUUGUCGUUGUUUCCUUUGAAAGCUACAUAUCUUGGUAGUAUGAAUAUGGAGUCCCAAUCCAUGACGGCUGAGAGGGCAAGAUUCUCAUCAAUAGUUGAUAUAUCUUCUACUCUUGCAACUAAACAAUCGUUAUAAGGAAAAGGAGCUCCUUCAGCUAUGCAAAGGAAGGCGUUGAGUUGAACAUGACGAAUGUAACAGAGUCCAGGUUUCUCCGAUACAAAAAUCGGUUCGAACAAAGUGCUCGACCAUUUUGAUGUAUCAUCUUCUUCUUCAUUGGCAAUGGCUGCAAUAUAGUCAGAGUUUUCGGAUAAACGAACCCAGAAUUUGUUGUUGUAACAGCACCUUAUGUGGAAGAAACCUGGCUUAGUUUUUGAUGAGCGGAUGGCAAACUUCGAAUACGGGCCAACAAUGUUCUUGCUGGAGUAUCGAAGAAGUCCAUCCGUGUUUUCACUUUCGCUUAUAUACCGAAGGUAUUUGUUGUUGCGGACGCAUUUGAGGGAGAAGUUCUUUGGGAUUACCUUUCCUGAUUCUUCAUCUUCUUCCACUUCUUCAUAGUUUGCAUCGUUUAUAUCACUCUUCAUCAACUCUUUCUCUGCUUCAUCUAUCUCAUCGGCUUUGUCUUCUUCACCACGUUCUCGUGCCAUUUCAUCAUUAAGCAUCUUCAAUAUAUCGUCAGGGGCUUUUUCGCUUUCUUUUGAAUCGCCUUGGUCAAAAUGGAAGUCAUCACCAUAAUAAUCUUCAUUAAUUUGGUCCAAUAUAGUAUCUUUAAGAUCCUUUUUCGGCUUCUUUUCUUUGUUUUCAAAUACUUUUUCACCCAAAUUCUCAGUCGCCUUACCAACAUUUUCUAUAGCCUUUCCGGUGCCCUCCACGACAGUUCCAAUGCCACCAACGACAGGCGCCUUCUCAGCCGCAUUCCCCACUGUUUCAACAGCCUUUCCUGCUCCUUUCACAGCUCCUCCCAAAAUGUCAGUCCCAGCUUUUCCCAAUCCUUUGAAAAGAUUCAUCUUUUUUCUUUCUAUUUUGUUUUUCUUCUUCCCUCUUCUCUUCUCUUACUAAAUGUUGUGGUACAACUGAAGCUCCAUUGAAGAGGAACUAAUUUAUAUAGGAUGAUGAGAAGUAGCUUUUCACCUCUCACUUUGCUUACAUAAAUAAUUAUUUGAGGUGUAAUUUGUCCUCUUUUUUGGAGAUAUUUUUGAAGAAAAAGGAAGAUAAAGUAUGGGGACAAGUAAUAAUACACUCCAAUUAUUUACUCUCAACUCAAUCAAACAUGUGUAGAAACCUUAGGAUCAUAAAUGGUGGAUCUCUUAGCCUUUAGGUUAAAUUGGUCAAAUUGGAAAAGGAUAACACAGCUCAGACGAUAAUGGCUAUGUUUCAAUAAUUGUGUAUUCCAAUUUUGCAAAAUAGAUAACAUAGCUCAAUUAACAUAUAUACGGUAUUAGAACAAACAUUAUUCAAUUAGCAAACUAUAUACACACUGACUGUCCAUAACUCAUUUCCUUCACUGUACGAAUAAUCGACAUUAAUAUAAUAUUCAAUAUUGGUAAUGGUUAUGAUAUUGUUAUUUGGUAUUAGCAAAUACAAACAACAUUGAUAUUGGUUUAUCAUAUGACGUCUAAGUGAGAGAAAGGGGAAACUUGAAUGUUAACACAAAAGAGGCAUACGAGCUAGGUGUUACUAAUCCACAUAAUAUAAUCCAUGGUAAUCAAAUUGAUUGCUCCAACGGCAGGAAUAUGAUUGAGCAUAACUUGAAUUCCACAAAGCUUAAGAAGUGGGAUACCACAUUUUCUUAUUCCUAUGGAUCCUUUACGUUUACAAGUGCGCGGAACACAUGGUCUUAAGUAUAGGUCCAAGACUCCACACUUAUAUGGACCCAAAUGGUUUUUUCCUUACUAAAUUAAAAGCUCCAGCAUGCUAUAUAAUGUAAGUUGAAUUGAUGAUAUCCCUCAGCCAAAACAAUGAAAUAAUGGACAACCCAAUUGGGAGAUUCCCUAGCUAGCAAAAUUGCAUCAAGUUUGAGUGAAAGUAUAUGUUACGGAUAAUUUAAUGGUUUUAGUUUGAUUCCUUGAGCUGAAUAAUGGCAUAAAAAAAAGAGCUUGUCAUCUGCUUCAAAUUGGUCUUCAAGAUCCUCGUGUAUAGCUUUGCUCUAUUCACAAGUCUUUAACCACUUUUGGACCUUCCUGCUACAAAUGUAAAUUUUUCCAGAAAAACACACUAAGAUAUGGAAUGCCCCAGCCUGCUGAAAUGUUAAUUUUCUAUUCUAUUUGUACCAACAUAAAACUUUCAGGGUAUCAGGUAUCGGUAUCGGGCACGCUAUCCUUUUAUGGGAGGUUUGAAAGUGAUUCGAAAAUAGAUGAUCACUUUUGUGAAUUUUAAAGCAUUCUAAUACAUGUCUUGAAGAAUCAAUGAAAACCGAAGUGUAAAAUUAAAUACUAAAAAUUGUAGUGAUUUUAGGUAUACUUUGACUUGAAUUGGGCCUCCAAAUUUAACCAAUGAUAAUAUAGGUAAAGCAAUAGAAAUGGACUUCAAAAUUUUGGGCUCCAAGUUCUAUCUCCACAAAUGACAAAACCCAACUACUAUAAUAUCUCCUCUGUGUUAUUGCCCUCAAUUGGAAAGCCUCUCUCUACCCUCUCCACUAUAGCCUUUGAACUGAUCUCUACUGCCUUGACAGUGGCGUGGCGCUGUAAGGCAGAAUGGUGCCUUUUCGUGAAAAGCUCACAACUAACCCCACGGUGAUAUAUAUUAAUUAAGGAAUACCAUUCUCAUCACAUUACAUAAAUAAGUUAGAUGUAAAUUGAUUUAAUAGAGUUAGUUAAAACGUUAGAGUUAAUUUAGUAAGAGUUUCAUAUUUAUUUAAGGGUAAGUUUUAAAUUGUUGUGUCUAAUUUGUGGUAUAAGUUAUGCUCAUGACAAUCAUAUAAAUAGGAUUGAAAUAUUAUAAUUCUAUAUAAUCCAAGUGAGAAGUAGAAUACACACAAAAAAAGUUAAAGUCUUCUAAUAAGUGUGUUUUAUUUCCUCUCAAAAUAUUCUAUUUGGUGAUUAUCUAUUUCGGGUGUUUAUCACGCGGUUCCAACAAAGUGGUAUCAGAGCUUGAGUUUGUAGUAUAAUUUUUUUUUUUUUUCAAAUGGCAAACAAUAAUUUAGUUCCCCUCCAAGUACCUCGACUUACGAAAGAAAAUUAUAGCACCUGGUGUAUUAGAAUGAAAGUUUACUUGGUUCACAAGAUGUGUGGGACACUGUUAAUAAUGGUUAUGAAGAACCAGAAAGUGAUACGGUUUUAAGUCAAGCUCAAUGAGAAAAUUUACAAAAUACAUAGAAAAGAGAUAAAAAUGCUCUCACCAUCAUCCAUCAAGCCAUAGAUGAUUCAAAUUUUGAGAAAAUUUUUAGAGCAACUACUGCACAUCAAGCAUGAGAAAUUUGGGAGAGUACGUAUAAAGAAGUAAAUCAAGUCAAGAAGGUUGAUGUUCAAAAAUUGAGAGGUGAUUAUGAAUGGCAUAUGAAGGAGUCUAAAUUGGUUUCAGAUUAUACUUCAAGAUUGCUAGCAGUAGUAAAUGAAAUGAAAAGAUUGGGUGAGACAAUAAGCGAUGAUCAAGUAGUAGAAAAGAUACUUCGCUCUCUUUGGAUGAAAAAUUCAAUUUCAUCAUUGUAGCUAUUGAAGAAUCAAAGGAUUUGAGUACAAUGUCCAUUGAUCAACUUAUGGGUUCUUUACAAGCUCGUGAAGAGAAGCUUCUUAGAAGAACAAGGCGUACGACUGAGAAACUUUUUCAGUCAAAGUUGAAUUUAAAAGACAAGGAAGACAACCUAGAAAAAGGCAAUCGAGAUCAAGGACGUGGUGGUAAUCGUGGAUGUGGUGAUUUCAGAGGUUGUGGUCAAGGAAACUAUAGUUAAAGAAAAUUUGACGAGACUAAGUCAAACUCAAAUUCAUCAAAGGGUCAUGGAAGACAAUAUUAUUUGAGAUCAAAUGGAGAAAGAUGAAAUAAUGACAGGAGGUAUGACAAAAGACAGCUUGAAUGUUAUAAUUGUCAUAAAUUUGACCAUUAUUCAUGGGAAUGCAUAUAUAGAGUAGUUGAAGAAAAUGCAAAUUAUGUUGAGAAAGAUGAAGAAAGUGGUAAUUCAUCAUUGCUUCUAGCAUGUAAAGGGGUGGAAACAAUGCAUAGUAUCUCGAUAGUGGUGCAAGCAAUCAGGCAAAUCAAU